rnacentral:lncRNA from 1 species
GGGGGGGGGGGGGGGGGGGGGGGGGAGAGAAGUUUUUUAGAAGGAGAGACAGAGGGGGAACACUCGAAAAUUGGGGAAUAUUCACACAAAUUCACAAACAAAGUCACAAAAUCAGAAGUUUUGUUUCUUCUUUUCGGUCUAGGUUCGGGCUCCCGGAGUUUGCGUUGGAUAGCUGGAAAAUCUUGGCAUCGAAGCCCCAUCUUGCUGCCCCAUAAAAGUUUCAACGGAAACUCGGUUUUGACCCAAAGAUUGGGUCGAUGGGUAUAGGAUCACAGAGUUCGGGGUCUAAAUUGCUAGGAGUCAAUUUGCUUCCAUAGGAAUUGAUAGUAUCCCAUCCUUUACCUUUCUCAUGACUUUCUUAUUCACAUUUGUUUCAUUAACUUUGUGUCAUUUUGAUAAUUUAUUUUAUAUGUCUUUGAUUGAAACCGAUAUCACUUUACUUUGUUUAGUUUUGUUCGAACUUUAAACCACCUAGAAUUGAUUUUAUUCGGUCAUUUUUUAUUUAUUCGUCAUUCAUAAAUAUAAUAACGGUAUAUAGUUCAACCACUUAUUUUUAUAAUUUUGCACCUACGAAUCUACCUUUAUAAUAAAUGGCAAACUCUGCUUUUUAUAAUUACAAUAUGGAAUACAUCUCUGAUUGAACAAAACAACUGGUUAUUAUUUUCGAUAUGCAAAAUAUUAAUUAACGGUUUUGUCACCUUAUCCAGAGUAUUGUUUUCCAAAUGAAUCAACAUAAGUAUUAAAUAGGUUUCAUUUAUUCCAUCCGCCAUGUUUGCAAGUAAAUAAUCCACCAACAUCGAUUUUUUCAUUCAACGCUGUAUAAUUUAAACACCUACUACAGGUCAUAUCUGCUUCUCAACUCUAUUUCAAAUUUUCAGAUUUUAAAGGCUUUCUGAACACAAGAUAUAUAUAUAUGUUAUACACUACCACAUACAAGGUAUAUUUUACUACUAUCAUUAUAAUUGCUAUUACUAUAAUAUUACCACUUACAUUAUUAUUAUCAUUGUUAUUAUUUUCACUUUAUUAUACCUAUGUAGGCUACUAUCACAUUUAUGUUUACCUUAGUUCAAUUUAAAUCUAUUCGGGUUGCACAAGCGAAAAGAAUUUUAUACCUUUUCAUACAUUUCUAAAUCCUCAUGCAUUUAUAUUUAUUUUAAAUAAAUUUUUUCACACUUCAAAAGUAUACUUUAUUUACCUUGUAAUGAAUUUUAUUCACGUAUUUAACUUUGCAAAGUCAUAAGAUCUUAUACUCGCUACUUUACAUAUUAUAACAACAGAAGCUACUACUCUCUCUCAUAAUUUUUCAAAAUAUUCAUUUAUUUAUAACUAUAUUAUUUCGUUGUAUGUGAUAGUGUUACAUCUUUAUGUGCCUUGACUACUAUUUUUUANNNNNNNNNNNNNNNNNNNNNNNNNNNNNNNNNNNNNNNNNNNNNNNNNNNNNNNNNNNNNNNNNNNNNNNNNNNNNNNNNNNNNNNNNNNNNNNNNNNNNNNNNNNNNNNNNNNNNNNNNNNNNNNNNNNNNNNNNNNNNNNNNNNNNNNNNNNNNNNNNNNNNNNNNNNNNNNNNNNNNNNNNNNNNNNNNNNNNNNNNNNNNNNNNNNNNNNNNNNNNNNNNNNNNNNNNNNNNNNNNNNNNNNNNNNNNNNNNNNNNNNNNNNNNNNNNNNNNNNNNNNNNNNNNNNNNNNNNNNNNNNNNNNNNNNNNNNNNNNNNNNNNNNNNNNNNNNNNNNNNNNNNNNNNNNNNNNNNNNNNNNNNNNNNNNNNNNNNNNNNNNNNNNNNNNNNNNNNNNNNNNNNNNNNNNNNNNNNNNNNNNNNNNNNNNNNNNNNNNNNNNNNNNNNNNNNNNNNNNNNNNNNNNNNNNNNNNNNNNNNNNNNNNNNNNNNNNNNNNNNNNNNNNNNNNNNNNNNNNNNNNNNNNNNNNNNNNNNNNNNNNNNNNNNNNNNNNNNNNNNNNNNNNNNNNNNNNNNNNNNNNNNNNNNNNNNNNNNNNNNNNNNNNNNNNNNNNNNNNNNNNNNNNNNNNNNNNNNNNNNNNNNNNNNNNNNNNNNNNNNNNNNNNNNNNNNNNNNNGCGCCUGGGCACUUGACUCAAAAGAGCUUCUGGAAACAGCUAUCUACAAAAGUGGAGUGAGGACGAAGGAUGUGGUUUGUUAUGACCCAUUGCAAGAAGUCCCACAUAGUUACUUGUCAGUAGUAACUGCAAACGUCUAGGUUGAACAAUAUAUGAACAAACAUUAGGUAGGCGUUUGGCCGUGAAAACAAAAAAUAAUUAACCUUAUUUGGAAUUUUCAGAGUUAGAGUUGUAUUACACAUUUACAAUUUAAGCAUAUUUUUUUCUUCUUUCUCGCGGUCGCUACUCAUUCGCUAUUUGUUCAACUCUUUUUUGCUGAGUUAUUCAAACACAAAAUCAUUCUUUUGCUUCAGCGACUGUUAUGCCAAUACCAUGACUCAACAAUAUGUGUAUCGAGCAAACUUGGUUUUGAAUAGGUGGACCAAUAAUGCGAUGAAACUUAACAUGCCUCCAUUGUUCAAUCGUACUCACAUCAUUCUAUAAAUAUAGCCAUUCAUAAUCAAAAUACUACAUUGAAGUCCACCAGAUGAACGAUAAGAACCUAAUUGUUCCUACUAACAAAGCAAGUCUAGUAUAAAACCUUUUUGCCGAGGGAGCUUGGAGUCUAGUGCAACAACUCGACCCCUCGUUUUGAGCAUCUGUGUACAUAGAGACGAGCAGACAACCUUCGCAUCAACUGGAGCUUCAUUUGCGGAUACCAACACCAGCGCAGAGCAGACGGUCUUUCUUGCUAUUGUCUAUCCUAUAUAUUUUGUGAGAGUAUCGAAUUGCCAGUGUCUUGCAUAUGCAAAGAUCUUCCGGUCCAACCUCCGAAAUUGUUCUCUUGAGCUUGUUUUCGGGAUCAUCACGACACAGAAACACCCCUAAAGAAGUAAUCCUGAAAGAAAAAGCAGGCAAAAACGGAUUACAAAGUGAGUAAUCGAAUAAACAUACUAGACCUCACCCCUACCGUAGAGGUAGAAGGCUAUUUCUGAUAGACCGUCACAAAUUUUCUUCUCACAGACUAAAGGAAAAACCUAUCGAGAGAUUGAUAUAUAACUUUUUUUGUCGAUCUUACUCAUCGAGGAGAAUUUGUUUCCAGAAAUUUGUUGACGGUACAAAACACAUACAGCAUUCAGACAAAGCUCGUCAUCCGUAUAAAAUGCAGAACGAAAAUCGUCUUCAGAUGACCAUUCUAUACCCGACCUAUCCCCGGGAUUAACCAAUUCUGGAAUAAAUGAUGUCAUUUGACCAUCAUUCGCGCUUCUUUUUCUCUUUCGCGUCGAAUUAGAGGAGCCUUUCACGUGCACUUCCUUUUUCUGUCCGCGACUUUUUGAAGCAUGAGCAAUUUCAGUUAACGUCAGUUCAUCAUCACUAUCGUUCAUUGUAUGAACCAGCAUAGUUUCUGGUUCAUCUGACGCUUCACUCAAGACUACUGCUUUACAUGCUGAUGGAUCUGCAAGAAGAUUAUAUGCAAUAACAUCUUAAAUUUUCCUCUUUUAAUAUGAUGCACGAAACUUAUCUGUCCAAUAAAAGUACGAUAGCCGCCAAUCUAAGUCACACAAAAACAACAACUUACCAAGUAUAAUCCUCAUGUACACUGACCUUACCUCUAUCUUUUGCGAUAGAGAGGCUGUUUAAGAUAGUUCCUUGGUUCAAAAGAAAGAAAAAUGAAUCACGUUUGCAUGAAAACACGACAAUAUCCUAGUAGGAUACAAAGCAACUAAAAGGGGAAACCAAGAGAGACGAGAAAGGAAAAAACUAACUGCAGCAAAGUGGCUAAAUGGACACAACGUGUAACAGUGGAUGAAGUGGAUGUAGCAAGUGUUUGUCGGAAUUGCUUUCUACUCGAGAAUCUACUGUUUCUUUUUUCAUUUUUCGUGUGUGUCUGUGUGGUUGUGGUGUGUUAUUUUCAGUAUAUCAUGAAGAAUCAUCAGAAAAUAUCAUACCUAUAACCGUUUAACAGAACAACAAUAACUACUAUACCACAAUCCAACGAGUUGACGUCGGCUAUAUGAAUCCUAAUGAAAUAUCCACAUAAUACAAACAGAUCGUAACAACAAGAAGUUGCCUAUAUCAGAAAACCGUUAUACCUUUCUGUCUCGAUUGGCCAUUGCUAUUUCCGGUUGAGGUGCCAACAAGUUUCAGAUCAUCCAAAAUCACGAUUGCCCGAUCUUCUCCCUGAGUAGAUUCCACGUUAUUAGCACCAUUCGCACCAGUAGCUUGAAUGCCUAUUUCCACCUCCAAAUCUAUAGCAAAUUUUCAGAAAACACACACAUCAAGAUAAAGAAUUUUCCAAAUUAGUUAAAUAAUUGAAUGCAACAAAUAACUAAAACAGGUUUUGCAAAUGUAGUAAAAUCAAGAUAUACUAUCAACACACAUUAUGAAAUGAUACGUAAAAAGACAUAAAAGGGCAUCCCGGUGCACUAAAGCUACCGCUAUGUGCGGUGUCCGGGGAAGGACCCCACCACAAGGGUGUAUUGUACGCAGCCUUACCUUGCAUUUCUGCCAGAGACUGUUUCCAAGGCUUGAACCUGUGACCUCCUGAUCACAUGACAACAACUUUACCAGUUACGCCAAGACAUAAUAACAACAAUACCUUCAUCAUUUUUUCUCUCAUUUUCCACCAUAAGAGAAACUUCAUCCCUCAACUCUCUCAGUUUCUCCGCGUAGCAAGCCACGCUUUCAUUUUUCGUGUUCUGAUAAAGAAAUAGACCUUGGGCCUAACUCAACCUCAAAAGCUAGCUCAUACAGAGAGGAUUGCCCAAGACCAUAUAAGGAGACCAAGGACGGUUUAACCCACUGAUGUGGGACUCCAACACCCCCCGUACGCCCAUGGCUGGACAUCUGGAGCGUGGAAAAAUAUAAGAUAGGGGGCCAACAUCGGAAACAAUAAACUAGGUGGGCCUGGAUCUGAUACCAUGAUAAAAAAAUGGACCUUGGGCCUAACUCAACCUCAAAAGCUAGCUCAUGAGGAGGAGGAUUGCCCAAGCCUUAUAAAGAGACCACCCAUCUCAUUAACCAUCAAUGUGGGACUUUCUCUAUUUCUUUUAACACCCCACUGCACGCCCAGACCUCAACUGGGCCCAGACCUAAACUGGGCGUGGACACAAUCUCCCUGAUAUCUCAAUUUGAGGGCCAAACAUUGGGUGAGAAUGGGCACUGCUUUGAUACCAUGUUAAAAUUGGUCUUGGGCCUAACUCACACCUCAAAAGCUAGCUCAUGAGGGGAGGAUUGCCCAAGACCAUUGUAACACCUCGUAAAAUUCAUGCAUGUGUUAGCCUCUAGUAGUAUGCUCAAAGAGUUGAAAGGACUUGAAAAUUUUUCUAAGUGUUAAAGAGACUUAGUCUUAUUUUUUUUAGCUUCUAAACUUUGAGAAAUUUAUUUUUGACCUUUCCGACCUUCAAUUUUAAAUUUUCUUGUUGAUUCAUGAUUGGGAAAGUUGAUGGUGCAUAUUGAGUGAGUUUCGGCAUUUUUGGAUGUUGUUUAGGGCAUGUUUGGAUUCCCAAAAUAGUGGCAUCAUGCGAUAUGCAUGCGUCACAUGGUCCAACGCACGGUGGAAGCAUGCGAUAUAGCAUGCGUCACAUGCUCCAGUGCGGUGGGAAAUAGCCUGCGACGCAUGGUCUGCUGCACGCCUGAAAUUUUCAGCAUUUAAGCUCCGUCACAUUAAGGGCAUAUUGGGUGUUUUCCCACACCCUUAUCAGCUCAAGCACAAAAUUUCAACCCCAAUUGAGCAUAAUAUUCAUACAUUCACCAAAAUUACUCAAGAAAUCUCUCAAGGGUUUCAAAAUAAAAACCCAAAUUACUUGAGAUUCAACCGUGAGUUUUAGAAGACAAUUAGAGAUUCGGAAUCCCUACUCCGCAAGCUUCAAGAAUCACCCAUUACUUUCUGAAAUAGAGGUACGCGUGUUUUUUUCUAAAAUCUCAUGGGUAUUGAAAUCAUGGUUUUAAGAAAGAGGUUUUUAGAUUUAUGAAUAUAUUCAUGUUUUAGAAACAUUAAUGAUAUUGUUUUGGUCUUUAGGCCUUCCCCAAAUUGAUUUGAAUUGAUAUAUGUAUAUAUGUACAUGUUUUAAUGUUGAUGAUUGAAUUAAGAGCAUGAUUCAUGUGAAAAUCCCUCUCUUGUUAUGAUUUUCCUUACUUAUCAUAUGAUAUGGGUUGUUUUUGAAAGGCAUCUUGAAAAACAUGUUACGAAGUAUCUUAAUUUAUGAAUGAUUUGGUUAUGAAUCUUGAAUUCCAAAGAGAGGGUUGUUUAUAUUGAAAAAUUUUGAAAAUACAUAUAAUGAAGGAGUGCAUGGAUUUUUCCUAAAGCACAUGACCACCUUAUGUUUGAAGAGUUCUUGCAUAGUUUUGACUUAUGCUUUCGGAACAUGAAACCUCUUAUAACAUUUGCAUGUUUGGGUGGUCUGAACUAUGUUUUAAUGAAAAAAUUAUGCAUGGUGCAUUAUGACUCAGAAAUAGGACUUGCAAGUCUUGGUGUGUCGACACCAAUUCGGAUUAUGUCAUGGUAAUUCAGAAUAGAAUACAAAGCAUGUUUAAAGUUAGAAUUUUCAGAUGUUGAAACUAGAAUAAUGCAUGAUUAAGAACAUGAUAAAAAUUAGGCAUAAAGAGAGCGUAGGUGGUUCCCCGAAGAAGACAUGAGUUCAGACAACUCGUUGCCCAAAGUCGUGAUUUUUCGAUUCGGGUAUAUUUAUUACGCUGGCCUUGUUCUGUGUGGCGUAUCAGAAUCAGAAACUCCAAUCCUUGCGGCACACUCGGGUUGAGGACUUCCCCGCCGAGUCAAUGGCGGAUUCCAUACCGCCCAUGGAAUAUUAGAAUUGUAGGGGAGUGCCACCUAAUUCAAAAUUAAUACGAAGAUCAGAACUACAUUGUCAAGAAUGAUUUAUGACUUUUCAGAAAAGUGCCCAUAUAAUUUGAAAACUAUUUUAUGUAUGAUGUUUUGACAAAUUGCUCUCUAUUAUUUUAUUUAUAUAAAAGCUUUAUUUUGGAUUACUUUGUGUACCAUUACAUCUCUAUUAACCCUUCCCUCCUCCUUCCAGGUUCUGAGGCUCAGUCUAGGGUCCAAAAAAGUAGUAGCAUUUAUCAGACAGAUUUGCAGUGUCCAGUUGGUGAGCCUUCUCUAUUUCGGAAGGCCUGUCUUAUCAAAUUAUGUCAUUUAUUUCUGUUUUGGUCUACUGGGGGCCUUAUCCCAGUUUCAGAUAGUUAUCAGAUUUUCUUGUAGUAGAAAUUUCGCAGACCGAUGUUCGAUGUUAUUUAGACGUAGUUGAUCUACAAUCUCCAUACUUAUGUUGAUUUCAGAAUUGACAAUGUUUCCGUAGUAAAUUAUGUUUUCCGCAUUUUCUUUAUUUAUAUGACUAUUGUGCAUGAUUACCAGAUAGAGAAGGGCAUUCCAUUCCUUCAUGAUUCUGGAUGUCUGUCACAGCCAUGUAACGCCUCGCAUUUCGGGCUACAAUAUAGACCAUGAUUUUGAUGUGUUGAUAAUCCCGAAGCCAUAAAAUCCUAUGCCAAUACGGAAUGUUAAUUAUUUAUGUAGCAUGUGAAUCCAUUAAAGCUUAAAUUUAGACCAUAGAGGUCCUUCAACUCAUGGAUGAGUUGAAACUAUUUCGAUCGACUAAGUUUUAGUGGACGUUGUAAAGUGUGUCAGCUUCGAGUUAGCUUUCCAACGAUACCAAUUUUUUUAAAAUCCGACACCCGAGCAAGAAGUUAUGGCCAUUCAAAGUGAUAUGAGUUGCCUAACCAAUCGCCCAUGGCCACUAGAAAGCAUCGACGCUAGCCUAUGUAAACAUAGACGAUAGCCUAGGAGGCGCCUAUGGGAUGGGCGGCUCCUAUGUAAAGAAUUCAAGUGACUUAAACACUCCGUUUUGGGGACAAAGUGGUCUAUUCCACCCUUACUUAGCCCUAAAACAUGAAAUUCAGUUCCAAGGACCCCAAAAUACACCUUCAUUCAUCAAAAGUGCUCAAAUAUUCUCCUUAGGGUUUCAAAAUAAAAACCCAAGCAACUCGAGAUUCAACCGGAGGUUUUAGGAACAAAUUGCAUAUUUGUAAUCCUCUCAGUGUAGGCUUCGAGAAGCAUCUAAUAUUCAUAGUAAUCAAGAUACGUGGGGUUAUCCUAAAAUCUCAUGGGUGUAGUUUUUAUGAACAUGCAUGCUUUUAAAUGGGGGUUUUCAAUUAAAUGCUAAUAACUUGCUUUCAAUAUGAUUUCUAAGUCAUUUUUCUUUAUGUCAUGGGAAUUGUUUGCCUAUAUACUUCAAUGGUUGAAACCAUGCAUAUGUGAUUUGAGAUUUUCCAUGGAAGUUUGGUAAAUAUGAAUGAUAAACUGCUUUCAAAUUCCCAUGAUAAUGUCUUGAUACCCCAUAUCAUAUUGUGAUCAACAAAAGAGAGCAUGAAUUUGAAAUAAAUAUUGUUCACCACUUGUAAAUAAUGAAGCACCUUGAUUUUUACAUGAUUAUGCGUAUGUGGAAGUGAUAUUGAGGACUUGCAAGUUGGGUAUGACGAUACCCUACAGAACAUGAUAUGUGAUUGAAUCUAAGAAAAUUUGAAUGCAUUGAUUUUACAUGAGAAAGGUGGAUGCUCAAAGAAGGCAUUUAAGUGUAAGGUCUCAUCACUGGAAAACAUGUUUGCUGACACGAAAUUUCAGUACCAGGCUAAGUGAUCUUGUGUACUUGACUUUAUGUCAUUCCCAAAUUGGGACUAUAGGUAGGAUCCCGGGCUAAGUGAUCUUGGGAACUACCAGUGGGUCGAGACACCAUGCUUUGUGGUCUUGAGUGUCUCUCCCUCACUUAUACUCUAAUCGCAGCGGCAACCGAGGUUAGACAGUUGGUGUAAAUUAUGCAGGGUAUUCCACCUAGCUCAGUUGCAUUUCAUUGUUGUUGAGAAACUAUUGCAUUACACCCAUGUGUUUUCAAAUGAUUUGAUACGAAAUUGCUUUAUAAUGUCUCUCAACUAUAUUUUGUAAAAAUAUUAUAUUUUGUUUUGAUAUCUCUGCGUGCCAGUACUUUUGUGCUGACCCCCUUCCCUCUCCAAUCUCUCAGGUUCAGAGGCCCAGUCUAGGGGUCAAGAGAAUUAGUAGAUCAUUCAGACAGAGUUGCAGAGACAAGUGGUAAGCCUUCUAUGUUUCAGAAGGUCUAAUGUCCAGUAGUCCUUUUAUCUUAAAUUUAGUUUUGGGGUCUACUGGGGGCCUUGUCCCAGUUUAUAUACAGUUGCUUGACUCAGUCAUUUGUUAGAGAUUUUCGUAGACAGUUGUUUAGAGGUUGACUGAUAUUGGGGGAACCUUAUCUCCCCGUUAUUGUUUCUUUUCAUAGUUAUGACCAUGUUUCCGAAUUACUGUUUUUCUUCUGCAUUACUUUGAUCAUAUGAAUUAGGUGCAUGAUUACCAAAUAGAUAGGGAUGUUUCGGGCCUCUAUGGUUCAAAAAGGUCGUCACGGCCAGGCCCUGGUUCAGGUUGUGACAAAAUUGGUAUCAAAGCAUGGUUCAUGGUCCCAGGGUGUUUGCAAAAUUACGUCGGGUAGAGUCUUGUUUAUGGGUGUGUAGCGCGCCAUACUUAUAAGCAUGAUGGUACUAGGCGUUUAGGAAAUUUUUCCCUUCUUUGUGAUUUAGUUCGUGCUUUAGAGUCUGAAUGUCCCCUAAUCAAUGAUCACUUGUGUUUCAGAAACACAGUUAUGCCUCCACGUCGUAUCAUCUAUCAGAAUGCUCAGGCAGAUGAGGUCUGUCCCACCCAUGGGAUGCGGACCCAUAACAGGGCUCACACUCCAGAAUUUGUCCCUACUCUAGGAGUCCCUUCAGUCCCGACCAGUCUACCUCGGGCUCUGCAGACUAAUGCCAACCGUCUCCCAACUGCUUAGGGAGAUAUUUCAAAUGCAGAAUUUAGACGGUCCAUUCAUAUUCUGACACAAUUGGUAGCUAACCAGGCUUAACAAUCGAAAGAUAUUGGGUCUGCAUCUAUUAUGUCUGAGGCUACUAUAGUCGGAUAUUUCAUGAAGAUGAACCCACCUAAGUUCACUAGCACCAAGGUGGAGGAAGAUCCACAGGUGUUCGUGGAUGAGAUAGAAAAGAUCUUUAAGGUGAUGCAUGUGGAUGAGGUUGAAGGGGUGGAGCUAGCAACCUAUCAGCUCAAGGAUUUUGCGAAUCAGUGGUAUACCGAUUGGGAAGAUGCAAAAGGUGAAAGUGCUGAGCCCACAGUUUGGGGCGAAUUUGUGGAAGCUUUUCUUGAUCGAUUCUUUCCUCUGGAUUUGAGAGAGACCAAAGCAGAAGAGUUUAUGAAUCUGAAGCAGGGCAGUAUGAGUGUCCCGGAGAACACUUUGAAGUUUAAUAAACUAGCCGGCUAUGCACCAGAGUUGACUAGUAAUAUGAGAUCCCGAAUGAGGAAAUUUGCCUCUGGCCUUGCUGAUAACCUAGUACUUGAGUGCUAGGGGGCUAUGUUGAAUAAGGAGUUAGACUUUUCUCGGCUAACCGUUCAUAAGCAGCAGGUGGAAGAGAAGAAGAAAAAGAUUACUGAAUCUAGAGAGAAAGACAGACAGAGUAAGAGAGCUAGAUCUGCGGACCAGCGCCAGAGUCAGCUGCAGAGUGGUAACUGGGGUAAUAAGUGGUCGAAGAAGAAAAAGUUUUGGAAUAAUGCACAGUCAGCAGCCAGCGCCCCAACACCUAGACCACCGACAGAUAGACAAACCCAAAUUUUUCAGACUCCUUAUGGAUCCAAAGCUCUAGGUACACAGUCUCAGGGCAGUGUGACCCAGCAGCAUCGUACUUAUCCACGGUGUGAGGUUUGCGGAAGGAAUCAUCUAUGGAAGUGCUAGUUUGAGGGGAGAAACUGCUAUACUUGUGGCAAAGUGGCUCAUCUUCAGAGAGAUUAUCCUUCUGCUGGAGAAAAUAUGGGGGGGGUAAGUCCCAAGCCAUCUCCACAGCUCCUUUUCCUAAGGGUGCCCCUUCAGCUGCCGGGAGCGGUCGCAACUGGUUAUAUUCUUUGACUAACCGCCAGGAGGCGAAAGCUUCACCAGAUGUUGUCACCGAUAUGUUAUAAAUCUUUUCUCGUGAUGUUUAUGUGUUGCUUGAUCUCGGGUCUACUUUAUCUUAUGUGACCCCUUAUGUGGCUGUUGGUUUUGGGUUUGAGCCCAAAGUUAUUGUAGAACCCUUCUCUGUUUUUACUCCUGUAGGUGAUUCUAUUAUUGCUAAAAGGGUGUAUGGAAAUUGUGUCGUGUCUAUUCAUAGUAAGGAAACUGUGGCAGACCUUAUAGAACUGGAUAUGAUAGAUUUUGAUGCCAUCCUUGGGAUGUACUGGCUCUAUUCGUAUUAUGCCACCCAUGAUUGUAGAACCCGAAAGAUCACUUUUUCUUUCCCGAAAGCGACACCAAUUGUAUGGGCAGGGAGUUCUGUGGAACCUAGAGGUCACUUUAUCUCUUAUCUUAGAGCCUGAAAGCUUAUCUCCAAAGGUUGUAUGUAUCAUCUAAUCUGAGUAAAAGAUUCAAAAGUUGAAAACCUUCCUCUGCAGUCAGUCCCUGCAGUGAAUGAAUUCCCAGAAGUCUUUCCCGAAGAUCUCCCAGGAAUACCCCCUGAUAGGGACAUAGAUUUUGGCAUUGAUGUGUUACCAGACACUCGUCCUAUUUUUAUUCUGCCAUAUAGAAUGGCUCCCAUGGAACUAAAGGAGUUAAAGGAACAACUUGCAGACCUCCUAGACAAAGGUUUUAUUCGUCCUAGUGUUUCCCCAUGGGGUGCACUCGUGCUCUUCGUGCAAAAGAAGGAUGGGUCCCUUCGGAUGUGCAUAGACUACCGCCAGUUGCCUAGGAUUGACGACCUUUUUGACCAGCUUCAGGGUGCCAAGUGUUUUUCAAAAAUAGACCUUCGUUCGGGUUAUCAUCAGUUGAAAGUUAGGGAGUCAGACAUACCAAGACAGCCUUCCAAACCCGAUAUGGUCACUACGAAUUUCUAGUCAUGUCCUUUGGGUUGACUAACGGCCCUACAACCUUCAUGGAUGUUAUGAAUAGAGUGUUCCAUCAGUUUUUUGACAUGUUCAUCAUUGUAUUUAUUGAUGAUAUUCUAAUCUAUUUUAAGAGUAAAGAGAAUCACGAUAAUCAACUCCAAAUUAUUCUUCAGACCCUUAAGGAUCAUCAACUGUAUGCCAAAUUUUCUAAGUAUGAAUUCUGGUUAGAUACAAUUGCCUUCCUGGGGCAUAUUGUGUCCAAUGACUGAAUAAGAGUGGAUCCCCAGAAAGUUGAAGCAGUGAGAAAAUAGCUUAGAUCCAUGAUUCCAAUCGAUAGUCGGAGCGUCUUGGGUUUGGCGGGGUAUUACAGAAGGUUCGUAGAGAGUUUUUCUUCCAUAGCUGCUCUGCUUACUAAACUGACUCAGAAAAAGAUGAAGUUUGCGUGGUCUGACUUGUGUGAAAAUAGUUUUGAGAAGUUGAAGGACAAGCUGACUACUGCUCCUGUUUUGACCCUUCUCGAGGGUGUAGAUAAUUUUGUGGUUUAUUAUGAUGCGUCCCGUGUGGGACUUGGUUGUGUAUUGAUGCAGCGUGGUAAGGUAAUAGCUUAUGCAUCUAGGCAGUUAAAGGUGCAUGAGCGCAAUUACCCCACUCAUGACUUGAAGUUAGCAGCCGUGGUGUUUACACUUAGAAUCUAGAGGCACUAUCUCUAUGGAGUGCAUAUUGAUAUUUAUACUGACCAUAAGAGUUUGCAGUAUGUUUUCUCACAGAAAGAAUUGAACCUCAGUUAGAGGCGUUGGAUGGAGCUUUUGAAAGACUAUGAUAUGAGUCUGCAUUACCAUCUGGGCAAGGCAAAUGUUAUAGCCGACGCCCUCAGCAGGUUGUCUAUGGGCAACUUUGUCAUGUAGAAGAAGGAAAGAAAGAGAUGGUGAAGGAUAUUCACCGCCUUGCAAAUCUUGGAGUGCGACUCUUAGAUUCCAAAGAUGGAGGGGUGAUUGUUCAUGAGUUAGCUAAGUCAUCCCUUUGUGCUGAAGUUAAGGAGAAGCAGGUUGAAGAUCCCAUCUUGAUGCAAAUCAAGAAAGAUGUGGGUCAACAAAAGGUUAUGUCAUUUGAAAUUGGUGGUGAUGGUAUUCUGAGAUUUCUAGAGGUAUGCCAUUCACCCAGGCUCUACUAAGAUGUACCAUGAUCUGAAAACCUUGUAUUGGUGGAAUAACAUAAAAUGUGAUGUAGCUGAUUUUGUGUCCAAGGGUUUGAACUGUCAACAAGUGAAGGUAGAACACAUGAGGCCAGGUGGUACUUCCCAAGAGAUAGCCCUUCCUUUAUGGAAGUGGGAGAUGACAAACAUGGACUUCAUUACAGGACUUCUGAGAUCCCGAAACUAGUAUGAUUCUAUAUGAGUGAUUGUUGAUCGGUUGACAAAGUCAGUUCACUUUUUGCCUGUGAGGACUAAUUAUUCGUGAGAGGUUUAUGCUAAUAUUUACAUUGAGGAGAUAGUUUUAUUGCAUGGGGCACCAGUGUCCAUUAUAUCCAAUAGAGGUACACAGUUUUCAUCUCAGUUCUAGAGAUCUUUUCAGAAGGGUUUAGGUACACAAGUAAAUUUGAGCACAGCUUUCCACCCUCAGACGGAUGGGCAAGCUGAGCAUACCAUUCAGAACCUCGAAGAUAUGUUGAGGGCAUGCGUCAUUGAUUUCAAAGGUAGUUGGGUAGAUCAUCUGCCACUGGUUGAAUUCUCUUACAAUAAUAGUUACCAUGCCAGCAUCAAGAUGGCUUUUUUUUGAGGCUUUGUAUGGAGGAGAUGUAGGUCUCCGACAGGAUGGUAUGAAGUGGGUGAGACUCAGUUGUAUAGGCCUGAUCUUGUUCAUCAGGCGAUGGAGAAAGUGAAGAUCUUUAGAGAAUGACUCAAGACUGCUCAGAGUCGUCAGAAGUCCUAUGCCGAUGUUCGGAGAAGACAACUAGAGUUUGAAAUUAGUGAUUGGGUGUUUCUAAAAGUUUCUCCUAUGAAAGGAGUUAUGCAGUUUGGAAAAGGGCUAAAUUGAGCCCUCGCUAUGUAGGGCCAUAUUAGAUUAUGAGAAAGAUUGGUACAGUUGCUUAUGAGCUAGAAUUGCCUGCAAGUUUGGGUUCCGUUCAUCCCGUAUUCCAUGUAUCCAUAUUGAAGAAAUGCAUUGGAGAUCAUUCUGUGGUAUUGCCAGUAGAGGGUAUCAAAGUAACAGACUUUUUGUCUUACGAAGAAUAGCCCGUUGAAAUUUUAGAUCACCAAGUUCAAAAGCUGAGGAGCAAAGAGAUAGCCUCAGUAAAGGUACUGUGGAGGAAUCAGAAAGUCGAAGAAGCAACUUGGGAGUUAGAAGAUAACAUGAGAAUUAGAUAUCCCAUUUUGUUUGCUUUGAUGGAGGAUGAGAUAGAAGGUACUAUUCCUAUCUUAUCUUUCCUAGUCCUUUAUUAUGCUUGAAAUCGUGUCCGCCUGUGUCCCACAUCAUCAUUCGGGGACGAAUGAUCCUAAGGGGGAUAAUGUAAUGCCCUGCAUUUUGGGCUAUAAGAUAGACCAUGAUUUCGAUGCGUUGAUAAUCCCGAAGCCAUAAAAUCCUAUGCCAACAUGACAUGUUAAUUAUUUGUGUAGUAUGUGAAUCCAUUCAAGCUUGAAUUUAGACCAUAGAGGUCCUUUAACUCAUGGAUGAGUUGAAACUAUUUCGAUCGACUAAGUUUUGGUGGACGUUGUAAAGUGUGUCAGCUUCCAUCGACCAUAACUCUCUGUAUAUGUAGAAUUAGGAAUCCUACUAUGUGUCAAAUGAUAGGUAUUCAAGUUAGCUUUCCAACGAUACCAAUUUUCCUAAAAUCUGACACCCGAGCAAGAAGUUCUAUAUUUCGGAAGGCCUGAUGUCUGUCAGUUCAUUUAUCAUUUAGUAGUUUUGGGUCUACUGGGGGCCUCUCCCCAGUUUUCAAACAGUAAUUUAUUUCUGUCAUGUAUUAGAGAUUUCGCAGACGGUUCUUCAUAUGUCGAUAGAUGUUGUGGGACAUUAUUUCCCGUUUGUUGAUUUUAUUUGAUUUAUGACCAUGUUUUCCAUAAUAUUAUGUAUCUUCCACAUAUCUUAUUAUCAUAUCAAUUAUGUGCAUGAUUACCAGAUAGAUAGGGGUGUUUUGGGCCUUCAUGGUUAGGAAUGCUCGUCACGGUCAGGGCCUCGGUUCGGGUCAUGACAAACUUAUCAAAGCACGGUUCAUGGUCCCUGGGUGUCUGCGAAAUCGUGUUGGGUAGAGUCUUGUUUAUGGGUAUGUAGCACGCCACACUUAUAAGUAGGAGGCUACGAGGCGUUUAGGAAUGUCUCUCUUUCUACAUGUUCUAGUUCGUGCAAUAGAGUCAGAAUAUUCCUCUUUCAUAUUCUAAUUCGUGCUAUGGUGUCGCCCAUAUGAUAGUAAAAAAAAAGUCAUCCCAAAUUUUUUCCUUACUCUAAUGUCCUCAGAUAUGUCUCAUUAUUGAGGUGAUUCAAGUGCAGAAUUUUAGAAUUAAAAUGGUAUGGUCCUUUCUGAUUGAACUAUUUAAGAGUUAAAAUUUGUGCAAGGACUUGAGAAAAGUCUGUUAGUGCUUCAAUGUGUAUUGAUUCCGAUGUAAACAUUGAUCCUGAUGGAAUCGUGCUUUUCAGCUUGAGGUAUUAAUUGCAUUUAGUCCCCUUCAAAUUUAUGUUACAAAUGUCUUGCUUAAGAGGGGAUGAUGUGUAGUAGAAUGUUGGAACUGUAUUUUCACCCGAAUAGUAGUAUGCAUUAAAGUGUUGUUGUCAUGACCUAUUGAUAGUGAAAUUAGACCAAGAAGUUGGUGAUGUGAAGUCACAAAGUUAGAAGUCAGAGCAAGGGUAACUUUUGCGUAAAUGAGUUUUCAGUUGAAUAACCGAUGUUCGAGAGUGAUUUACCCCUUAUGAUGAUAGACUAAUGUGGUAACUAGUAGCAUGUGUGGAUGGUGUGGUAGCCCGUGGAGGAAGUGUUUGACUCCGAUUUUAUUUAUACAGAGUAAGAUGUAUAUUCUUAGUUCGUUGGAUAUUGCAUAUUAAAUUUCUCUCUCAUGUAAUCUUGUCAAUCAGGGUGUUGUUGAAAAAAAUAAAGUCUAGUGAAGCCGUGUGGGGCUCUUUUGAUUCACUAGCAUAGUUGACUUGUCAUUCAUCUCAUUUUCUUGUUCAAAAUACAAAAUCAGAGUCUAGUGAAGCCGUGUGAGGCCUGUUUCGAUUCACUAGCAACUUGUUGUCCAACUUGUUGUUCUUGUGUUGGCUUAAUAUAUGUAUAGCUAAAUCUGUUUGCAUGAGAUUGAGUUGGUAAAGAGGUGAUUCAUCCUUGCAUGAUAGUUUAGUAGAAGGUAGAGAAGAAUUUGUUAGUCAAGGUGAUUUUUCGGUUACUUGAAGUGUGAAAAUGAUUAUAUUAGCCAGUAAGUUAUAAUUAUAGACUCAUGGUUGUAGUUGAAAUUGAAGGUAGUCUAAAGGUAUGAUUGAGUAAGUAAGUUUGGAUUGAGAAAUUCGUAUAAGUAGAUAAUAUUGUAUGGGGUUAUAAUAUCAGAUUAAGGUUGAUCAUGUCUAGCAUGAGAUUAAUGAUGUAUGUUUCGUGGGAAAAAAAUUAGUAGGAUUGAUGUGUUAAAAUAGCACGUGCUAAUGAGUUAUGAUAAGGAAAACCGUAAGGUCAAGAUCAAUUAUUUGUUGUUUGGAAGUUCUAGUGUACUAGUGUUUCUUGAUGUCUAUUUCAUGGUAUCCAAGUGAGAAUCAUGCGUAAGGUUGGGUUGUAAAAUCAUGCUUAGCAUGAGAAAUUAAGUUUUGAACAAUUGAUGUCCAUGAAGGUGGAUGUGAUGAUUUCUUGGUUAAUGAUACUAGUUUUAUGAAAGUAAUCUAAUAGUCUUGAACGGUAUAUGCAAGAGCUUAAGUUUAUUUGAUUCGUAGUGAAGUAUGAUGUUGCAUAUAUAAUGUAGAAGUAUGCCCAAGGUGAUCUAAGGUUGCGGUAUUUACUAAGACUAUUACACGUUAUGUGUGACGAGUGGUACCGUUGAUUUGCUUGGUGGAGAAAGACUAGUUAGAUGGUAUAUAGUGUUCUAAAUAGCCAAGUUAAGGAGUUUUGAUUGAUAGUGUUGAGCCUUUUUAUAUGAUCUUGAUUCUCAUAGUAGAGAGAUGUAAGUUUGGAGUCGUGAUAUUGGUAGGUUAUGUCGGAAGUAGUAUGAUUCAUUGAAGGCUUGGUGAUAUCCAUGUUGAGUGCUAGAUUCUAAGUUUGAGUUUUUGAAGGUUGAACUAAUAGAAAUAAGAGUUAAAGCACUAGAGGAUGUGCACUUCGACUAUGGGGGUACCCAUGAAUACCUUAAGUUAGUAAGUAUGCAAGUAUUAUAUGAUGACUACUGGGUCUAUAGAAUGAUAAAGUGUAUCUCAGAAGGUAGUAUUAAUAGUGGGUUUUCCAUUUUUAGGUGUAGUUAGUCGGGUUAAGUGCCAUGAUAUGCGUGUAUAGUAGUUUUCCAGACCCCAGAGUGCAGUGAGUGUACUUCAGUUUAGAGUCUAGUAAGGGAUCUCCCAAACUUAAUAUGAUGGCUUGAAGCUAAGGGGGAGAUGAUAGAGCGAAUAACCAAGUGAUGUCAGUAUGACAUAGAACAUCAGAAGGGAAGAGUGAGGCUCAACCCAUUCCGGUCUCAGUAUUUUUCAGUUAUCCUAAUACCUACUCAUACCUCACGUUUUAGUUUCAUGAUCAUAGUUCAUGUUCAUGUAUACGAUAGAAAAUCACGUGCUCUUCCAGAUUCCUAAAUGAGGAACUUUAGUUCAUUCAGCUGUAGUAAUCACAUUCCAUAUGUUAUGAACUCUAAAUUGAGGUCAUGCAGCUUAUGACUCAUGUAUUCACGCUUCAUAGUGUGCUCAGUUCCCAUAAUUCAUGCUAUACUCUUUACGAUUGGUGGAAUAUAGUUCAUAGCCAUGUAUGCCCCAAUUCAGAUUUUUUUUCUUUGAUAAAUCCCGAAUGUUGAUUUGCUAUUCCCCAGGCCUCAGUUAAGUGUCACUUUUCAUAUAACAUCCUUCCAUGCUUCAAGAUCUUAUGUUCUAAUCUUUAGUGACUCCUCUUUAUGUGAUGGUAGUGGUGAUGAGUAAAUGUUUCUAGUUGGUGGAAGAUCAUAGUAUGCUUCUUUUAGAUAAGGCCAUAAGUGCGAAGUAAGGUUGGGGCCAAGUCUUUGAUGCAUUUGAUGGUUAGCUGAAAGGUGUGUAUGUAUGUUCUUGGGGUAGAGUGUGGGAGCUAUAUCGAUAGAUGGUUAGUAGAAUAUGUGAAGUGUGUCUUUAUGAGUGUUUACUUUGAAGUUUAUAUGUGGUUAUAGAGAUAGGCUUGAAUGACAUGUUGGAAUUUUUGGUAAGGAACGCUAUAUGCACUAGCGACUUCGUAGUAAUAGUUCAUAGUUAGACAUUGAAGUGGUAAGGCAUAAUAGGCUUAGGGUGUGAUCUUAUAGAAGGUGGAAUCUUAUGGUUUAGACUUGUAUAAUGGAGUGGCAUGUAGUAUUUUGCGAGUUGGAGUUAGGCUUGAUCACGGUGAAGAGGAUUUAAGUUACUAUAGACAUUAGUAGAAAGAUUUAUAAAUGCAAAUACAAGAACAAAUAAGUUGGAUCGAAUGAAUGUGGUAUCUACGGGUAAUAGUACAGUUAAGGGAGUAUUCGAGGAGUGUGCUAAUCUUUAAAGUAAGAAGUCGCAUUGACUAAGGCCUGGAAAUUCUAUCCUAAUUUAUGAGUUAUAUGUCUAUAUUUCAGACUGCAGAGUAGUGUAAAUGUUGUGAUUUCCAUCAGUUGGACGUCUUAUGUAAUCCAUACCCAAGAUUCGUGGCUUCCUAUUACUGCUAGAACUUCUUUAGAGAGAGUGUUGAAGAGAUAUAUAAGUGUCUGGUAUAAUUCAGUCUGUAAUUCAGUUUAACAGUCGAACAAACAAGUUACUAUGGUUUUUCCACCUUUUCACCCAAUCCUACUAUCUGAAGUCUGAUGCGUAUGGCCAUUCCCAAGAGAUAAUCUAUUCCAUCCAUAUCAAUUGUGAGUUUAGUUCAUUCCAAGCAUCAUGUUUCAGAUUCAGCUAUCUAUUCAUGACUCGGUGCAUAAGAGUUCAGCGUAUAAUCUCAAAAUUUAUCAAGUAUUUCAGCUCAGAUAGUGUAAUACCCUUGCACGAUCUAAGUUUUGAUGUCUUAUGAUCGUACUUGCAUAAGUUAUCACUUCCUAAUUUCAAUAUGUAUGAUUGGAUCAUGAAUAUUUCAAGGGAAUCCUAAAUUUUCAUCAUGAAUCAGCUUUUUGAAGCAAGAAAAGUCAAGUCAACUCAGAAUUCAGUUUCAUUAUAGAAGUUUAAAUAUUAUAUAUUAGUUAUGUCCUUUCUUAGCAGGCACAUCAUGUCCGUGUUAUUCCAUACCUUUAAGCUUCAACAAAUUCCUACCCAUCAUUCGGGGACGAAUAAUCCCAAGGGGAGAUAAUGUAACACCCCACAUUUCGGACGAGAACGAAAAUCGUCAUUUCCUGCACGUAAAGGUUCCAAAAUCCAUAAAUCCAAUGCAAGUUUAGUGUGUUAAUAAAUUAUGUAGUGUGGAAACCUAUUUGAGCAUGAAUUAAUAUCAUAGAGGUCCCCAAGCUCAAGGACAAGUUGAAAGUUUUCCUAUCGUUUGAAUUUUAGUGAGCGUUGAAACUUAGGUCAACUUCAAUCGACCUUUACUCUUUGUAUAUAUUGAAUUAGAGUGCCUACUAUAUACCAAAUAAAAGGUAUUCGAAUUAUCUUUCCAACGAUACCAAUUUCGCGAAAAUCCGACACCUGAGAAAGAAGUUAUGGCUUUACAAAGUACAAUGUGUCGUGCAGCAAAAGGUGUGUGACGCACACCCUAACUUAUGCCAUAAGGUGUGCGACGCACAACCUAAUGCUACGAUAAAGAGUGCGGCGCACAACCUAUAUUAUGCCAUAAGGUGUACGCCGCAUAUAUUUGUAAGACCCCGCAAAAUCGUUGCAUCCGAAUUCAGCUCUCUUGGUUACAAGCGUCAAGACUUACCAAAUUUUCAUAAUUGUUCAACACUUAGUCUCAUUUCAAGCCUUCGAACUUAGGGGAUUUAUUUGAUGACCUUCCCGACCUCCGUUUUUGGAUUUUCAAGUUGCGUUACGAUCGGGCAAGCUUGUAGUGCACCCCGGGUGAGUUUCGGAAUUUUUGGAGUAGCGUAAGGUCAUGUUUGAUAUCCCAAACCAGUAGAAAAAGGUUACGGGGCCGUGCAGCCUCGCUUAGACCCCCGGUCUAAGUAGGGCGCCGCCCUAGCUGGAGACUUUUUGCCCAGUUUUCAGCAUUUCAGGGUCAACUUCAAACAAUCAUAACUCCCGCUUUAUAAUGAUCUGUGAGAGAUAUAAUAUAUCAAAUGAAAUCUCUUUGAGUCCUAUUUCAAAUGCAAUUGGUUUCAUCUAAUUUCAGUAUAUAAGCAAAAAGUUACAACCGAUUUACUUCAGCCUAUCAAACUGUCAACUGAGGGACAGAUUUGACCUUAAUUGUUCCUUAGGGGUAUUUUCGUCAUCCUCCACCCCCAUAUAUACCCCCAACGCGGGAUUAAGCCUUCAUUACACCAAAAUAUAGCCUAUUUUCUGAAAAACUAUCAAGAACAAGGCUAGGGUUUCAAUUGGGGCUUCCAAGAUUCAUGCCGAUUUAAUCACGAACUUCACAAAUUCUUAAUCUAAGGUAUGCGUAGUGUUCAUCUAUGGAUUCAAUUCAUUCAUAGAGCUCAAGAAUCAUGCUUUUAAAUGUUGUUUUGUAAACUUUUUGUGGUGAUAUGAAUAUGUACAUGUUGAUGAUGGAUGUUUAAUUUUCAAGAUGAUAUCUAAGGAUGUUUUCAUGAAAUAUAUGUGGUUGUUGGUUNNNNNNNNNNNNNNNNNNNNNNNNNNNNNNNNNNNNNNNNNNNNNNNNNNNNNNNNNNNNNNNNNNNNNNNNNNNNNNNNNNNNNNNNNNNNNNNNNNNNNNNNNNNNNNNNNNNNNNNNNNNNNNNNNNNNNNNNNNNNNNNNNNNNNNNNNNNNNNNNNNNNNNNNNNNNNNNNNNNNNNNNNNNNNNNNNNNNNNNNNNNNNNNNNNNNNNNNNNNNNNNNNNNNNNNNNNNNNNNNNNNNNNNNNNNNNNNNNNNNNNNNNNNNNNNNNNNNNNNNNNNNNNNNNNNNNNNNNNNNUUCCCUUAUGCUUGAAUGGUUUCCAUGCCAUUGUUAUGAAUAGUAUAUGUUGUCGAAAUGUCCAUGAUAUUAGAAUAUGAGAUUUAUGACUUGAUUAUAAGCAUUCCUAUUCAUGAUAGAUAUUAUGAUGACCAUGUACUUCAUGAAAUCCCCCACUCAUGUAUUAUGGAUUGUUAUUGAUGGUCGUGUACUCAAGAAAUUCAAGUUGUGUCAGUUUCCUUUCAUCGAGUCCUGGGGGUACUUGUUCCCAAAAAAUAUAGCUGUGUUCCUAGAGCCAUGUCAUGUUUUCAUGAUACUCUCAGUCAAGUCAUGAUCUAUAGAAUUCAGUCAGUCAUGUGACUCAGGAAAACUCAUAAAUCUCAGUAGUCCAGUAAUCUCAGUAAUCUCAGUGCUCAGUAACCUCAGCAACCUCAGUAUUCACAGUCAAUAUCAGUAACUUCAGUACUCUCAACCAGUCCUCAGAACUCAGUACAUUCCAUCAGUCAUCGAAAUCCAGUAAACUUAGUUUAGCUCCGCUAAACAAUACCACUAGUAUCAGUCCAGUUAAUCAGUAUCAAUUAAGCUAAUCAUUCCAGUUCAGUUAUUCAGUUCAGCUUAGUUAUUUAGUUCAAUGUCCUUCAGAUGGGAGUAGAAGUUAGCACCAAGUGAACCCAAGGAUGGGAACUCACUUGCCAGUUCAGGGUGUGAUUCUUAGUAGUCAUCCUUGUGUUCCAGAACUAUGUAGCCAGCAUAGGUUGAGACAUCUUAAACUGUUAAAUUAGGGUUGAUAAGGUGGAUUAACCUGUCAGUUUAGGGUUCCCACCAUUCUCAUUUGAGUACCUGCCAGUAUAGGGUUCUCACAGCUAUCCUUACUAGUGGCAUGGUAUUGACACCCCUCUAGUCGGGGCAGAGAUUUGACCCCAACUUUGCUGUAUACGUUAUAGGGGAAUGUCAGUUAGAUGACUACUUCCCACAGUUUCAGUUAUAGAUUUUAGGACUGUCAGCUACAGUUACCCAGUCUUAGUAAAGAACUUAGAUAGUUCUUCAGAUUUCAGUAUAUCAGGACUAUCAGAUACAAUCAACUCAGAAAUAGAAUGGAACUUUGAUAGUUUCCUUAAGGUUUAUGGACUGUCAGAUACAAUCACUUAUGAUAUCAAUCACAACAGUUAUCAGAACUCAUGCUAUCAGUACUCAGCUUCAGGAUUGUCAGAUACAGUCAAUCAGACCAGUUCUUCAUAGUUUGAACUGUCAGAGACAAUCAUUCAUUUAUCAGUAAUGCAAUAUCAGUCUCUUAGUAUUCAGUAAUACAGUAUUAGAUUCAUCACUUAUUAGUGAUUUACAUAUCAAUAUCAGUAAACUCAAUCUUUCAGAAUCUCAUCAUCAGUACACUCAUGUUGUUAGUGUUCAAACUCAGUAUCAGUAUCUCCAUGAGUUCAAUUACAGUUACGUAUGCAUAUAUGUACUCUCACGUUCAUAUCAGUCAGUAUUGUUCAUGCAUAUAACCCUUUGCAUUUAGCCUACCUCACUCGUAUACUCAGUACAUUCAGACGUACUGAUGCAUUUGUGCUAUGGUGCUUUCUCUUAUGUUAUACAAUAGGUUCAGAGUAAUGAGCUCCAAAUCAGCAGUAGAUUCUAGGAUCAGCAGUCAGAGUUAGAUGUGAGUCCUUAUCCUUUGAGGACAUGAUGAUUUCAUUUCUAUUUCAGUUUUUAGUUUAUUUCAGUAGUUGGAGUUAGUUAGGGACAUGUCCCAUCAACUCCUUAUUCAGACAGUUAGAGGCUUUCUAGACUACUUCAUGUCAGAUAGUUAUUUUAGUUUUUUUUUUGCUAUUGUUAUACCAUAUUUUUCAGAUAUGUAUCAGUAUUGAACCUUAUGGCCUUUCAAUUUAUGUUUUUGCAUAUUUUAUAAGAUAUUAUGCAGUUUACAGGUACAGAUAUCAGUCAUGAUUUAGCUUGUGGUCCUUCAAGGUCAUGAGCAUCAUGUAGCAUCUUGGUUUAGAAAAUCGGGGUGUUACAAACUUGGUAUGAGAGACUAAGGUUCAAUAAAGUCCUAGGAAGUUUGAAAGUCGCAUCUAGUAGAGUUUUGUACAUACGUGUGUUGUGCACCACACUUAUGUGCAGGAGGCUAUGAGAUAUUUUAGGAACAGUUUCCCUUCUUUCAUGUAUCAGAUCGUGCUAUAGCAAGGUUCUUUAAGAAAAAAACUCAUGUAGAUACACAUCAUGCUCCUCUCAUGUCAUCUUUACCUUACUUCUAAGGUAAGAAAUAGUGAAGUUCAAGUCCUAAAGAUAGGGCUUUCUCAGACAGCAUCCCAUCAGUUCCCUUAUGUUCCAAAGUUAUACGGAUCUCAUUCAUGAUCAUGAGAACUCAUUCUCGAACCCAGGUUUAGAUAUGCCAUCAGAUCCUUUCUGAAAAUCCUAUGAUAGCAUGUGACCCAGAGUUAGAAGCAUGAACCCAGGAGUUUUGCAGUAGUAGAGUUGGGAUAAUGAUAUCUAGACUAAAAAGACUAUGUAUUCAUGGGAUAGUUGUGCCAGAAUGAAUCAUUAGGCUUGAACAGUAUGAGUUAGAAAUUUAAUUUUAUUGACCUAAAAUUAAGCAUGAUGGUGUGAAUAUGAUAUUAGUAGUAUGUGAGAAAAUAGAGGCAGAUGAUGUGUUUAGUAAGGCAAGCAUGUGUUUGAUAGAGUGUAAGUAUGUGAUAAUGAUUUCAGUGCAGCUCAGAGAUUAGUUUAGUGUUCACAGACUUAUGAUGAUGGCUUUAAGCUAAGGGGAAGAUGAUAGAUAAAGUAACCAACUCAGCUCUCAGAUUCCAGUAGUAGUGCCAGUAUGUACAGAAAAGUAGUUAGGGAAGGCGAUUCCCAACCCAUCCUUAUCUCAGCGUAUAGCUUCCUACUUCAGUCAGAAUAAUGCCUAUGCAUGCUUUAUUUCUCAGAUUUUAUGAAUGCAGCUUAUGUUCACACGUAUUCCAUAGAAUCGUGUUUGCUUUUAGUUCAUAGGGAGUUCAGUUCUAGAUCACUCAGUGUUACGAAUCAUGUUUCAUAAACUCAGAAAUUCUAGACUCAGGUCAUGAGCUCAUGACUCAUGUACACGUAUAUGCUCCCCAGUAUACUCAGUUUCCAUGACUCAUACUACACCUUCAAUGAUCAGAUAAAUUCAGACUAUAUCAUGUAUAUACUCAGUUCAAACCUUUUUGGUAAAUCCAUGUUGUUGAUAUUCUAUUCCUCAGGUUUCAGUCAUGUUCCAAGUUCAGUAAGUAUCUAUUCAUGUUUCAGGUUCUCCUGAUUUAACACUUCAUAAGAUCUCCUUGCAGAACAGUGUAGUGGUGAGCAGUCACUUAGAUGGGAGAGAGUUAAUAUUUCAUGUUAAGAGCAGACUGUUACAUGUAUGUUUUACAUAAGGGUGUAGAUACGAAGAUAGGCUUGAAUGUCAUGUUAGUAUGCAAUUAAAUGGCUAGCAAGGGAUAGUACUUAGAAAUUGGGAAAGUUUAGAAUAUGAAUAUAUAUUCAGAUCCCUGACUAGUGUCAGCCUUCAUGUUUCGGCUAUUGUAACUUAGUAACCAAUUUCAGUCCCAAAGCUCAGCUUCAGUAGUCCAGUAUCAGUAAUUAGCAUUUGAGAUAAAUAUGGACUUCGUGAUUGGUUUACCUCCUUCCCGAUGCCAUCAUGAUUCCAUUUGGGUUGUGGUUGAUAGGUUUACUAAGUCUACUCAUUUCUUACCUGUUCAUACUUCAUAUACUGCUGAGGAUUAUGCUAGAUUGUAUAUCCGAGAGCUAGUCAGACUACAUGGAGUUCCCUUGUCUAUCAUUUCAGAUAGGGGUACUCAGUUCACUUCGCAAUUUUAGAAAGUACCCAAGUGCUUUUGAGUUUUUCUUUUCAUCCACAGAUCGAUGGUUAGGCUGCGCGGACCAUCCAGACCUUAGAGGAUAUGUUGAGAGCUUGUGCACUUGACUUUAAAGGAAGUUGGGAUGAUCACUUAUCGUUAAUACAGUUUGCUUACAAUAACAGUUUCCACUCUAGUAUUGGUAUGACUCCAUUUGAAGUCUUAUAUGGGAGGAAGUGUAGAUCACCCAUAGGUUGGUUCGAGGUGGGUGAAGCGGCUGUGAGUAGUCCUGAUUCGGUAUUUGAGGCUAUGGAAAAAGUUAAGUUGAUUAGGGAAAGGUUGAAAACUGUGAAGAGUCGUCAAAAGUCAUAUGCGNNNNNNNNNNNNNNNNNNNNNNNNNNNNNNNNNNNNNNNNNNNNNNNNNNNNNNNNNNNNNNNNNNNNNNNNNNNNNNNNNNNNNNNNNNNNNNNNNNNNNNNNNNNNNNNNNNNNNNNNNNNNNNNNNNNNNNNNNNNNNNNNNNNNNNNNNNNNNNNNNNNNNNNNNNNNNNNNNNNNNNNNNNNNNNNNNNNNNNNNNNNNNNNNNNNNNNNNNNNNNNNNNNNNNNNNNNNNNNNNNNNNNNNNNNNNNNNNNNNNNNNNNNNNNNNNNNNNNNNNNNNNNNNNNNNNNNNNNNNNNNNNNNNNNNNNNNNNNNNNNNNNNNNNNNNNNNNNNNNNNNNNNNNNNNNNNNNNNNNNNNNNNNNNNNNNNNNNNNNNNNNNNNNNNNNNNNNNNNNNNNNNNNNNNNNNNNNNNNNNNNNNNNNNNNNNNNNNNNNNNNNNNNNNNNNNNNNNNNNNNNNNNNNNNNNNNNNNNNNNNNNNNNNNNNNNNNNNNNNNNNNNNNNNNNNNNNNNNNNNNNNNNNNNNNNNNNNNNNNNNNNNNNNNNNNNNNNNNNNNNNNNNNNNNNNNNNNNNNNNNNNNNNNNNNNNNNNNNNNNNNNNNNNNNNNNNNNNNNNNNNNNNNNNNNNNNNNNNNNNNNNNNNNNNNNNNNNNNNNNNNNNNNNNNNNNNNNNNNNNNNNNNNNNNNNNNNNNNNNNNNNNNNNNNNNNNNNNNNNNNNNNNNNNNNNNNNNNNNNNNNNNNNNNNNNNNNNNNNNNNNNNNNNNNNNNNNNNNNNNNNNNNNNNNNNNNNNNNNNNNNNNNNNNNNNNNNNNNNNNNNNNNNNNNNNNNNNNNNNNNNNNNNNNNNNNNNNNNNNNNNNNNNNNNNNNNNNNNNNNNNNNNNNNNNNNNNNNNNNNNNNNNNNNNNNNNNNNNNNNNNNNNNNNNNNNNNNNNNNNNNNNNNNNNNNNNNNNNNNNNNNNNNNNNNNNNNNNNNNNNNNNNNNNNNNNNNNNNNNNNNNNNNNNNNNNNNNNNNNNNNNNNNNNNNNNNNNNNNNNNNNNNNNNNNNNNNNNNNNNNNNNNNNNNNNNNNNNNNNNNNNNNNNNNNNNNNNNNNNNNNNNNNNNNNNNNNNNNNNNNNNNNNNNNNNNNNNNNNNNNNNNNNNNNNNNNNNNNNNNNNNNNNNNNNNNNNNNNNNNNNNNNNNNNNNNNNNNNNNNNNNNNNNNNNNNNNNNNNNNNNNNNNNNNNNNNNNNNNNNNNNNNNNNNNNNNNNNNNNNNNNNNNNNNNNNNNNNNNNNNNNNNNNNNNNNNNNNNNNNNNNNNNNNNNNNNNNNNNNNNNNNNNNNNNNNNNNNNNNNNNNNNNNNNNNNNNNNNNNNNNNNNNNNNNNNNNNNNNNNNNNNNNNNNNNNNNNNNNNNNNNNNNNNNNNNNNNNNNNNNNNNNNNNNNNNNNNNNNNNNNNNNNNNNNNNNNNNNNNNNNNNNNNNNNNNNNNNNNNNNNNNNNNNNNNNNNNNNNNNNNNNNNNNNNNNNNNNNNNNNNNNNNNNNNNNNNNNNNNNNNNNNNNNNNNNNNNNNNNNNNNNNNNNNNNNNNNNNNNNNNNNNNNNNNNNNNNNNNNNNNNNNNNNNNNNNNNNNNNNNNNNNNNNNNNNNNNNNNNNNNNNNNNNNNNNNNNNNNNNNNNNNNNNNNNNNNNNNNNNNNNNNNNNNNNNNNNNNNNNNNNNNNNNNNNNNNNNNNNNNNNNNNNNNNNNNNNNNNNNNNNNNNNNNNNNNNNNNNNNNNNNNNNNNNNNNNNNNNNNNNNNNNNNNNNNNNNNNNNNNNNNNNNNNNNNNNNNNNNNNNNNNNNNNNNNNNNNNNNNNNNNNNNNNNNNNNNNNNNNNNNNNNNNNNNNNNNNNNNNNNNNNNNNNNNNNNNNNNNNNNNNNNNNNNNNNNNNNNNNNNNNNNNNNNNNNNNNNNNNNNNNNNNNNNNNNNNNNNNNNNNNNNNNNNNNNNNNNNNNNNNNNNNNNNNNNNNNNNNNNNNNNNNNNNNNNNNNNNNNNNNNNNNNNNNNNNNNNNNNNNNNNNNNNNNNNNNNNNNNNNNNNNNNNNNNNNNNNNNNNNNNNNNNNNNNNNNNNNNNNNNNNNNNNNNNNNNNNNNNNNNNNNNNNNNNNNNNNNNNNNNNNNNNNNNNNNNNNNNNNNNNNNNNNNNNNNNNNNNNNNNNNNNNNNNNNNNNNNNNNNNNNNNNNNNNNNNNNNNNNNNNNNNNNNNNNNNNNNNNNNNNNNNNNNNNNNNNNNNNNNNNNNNNNNNNNNNNNNNNNNNNNNNNNNNNNNNNNNNNNNNNNNNNNNNNNNNNNNNNNNNNNNNNNNNNNNNNNNNNNNNNNNNNNNNNNNNNNNNNNNNNNNNNNNNNNNNNNNNNNNNNNNNNNNNNNNNNNNNNNNNNNNNNNNNNNNNNNNNNNNNNNNNNNNNNNNNNNNNNNNNNNNNNNNNNNNNNNNNNNNNNNNNNNNNNNNNNNNNNNNNNNNNNNNNNNNNNNNNNNNNNNNNNNNNNNNNNNNNNNNNNNNNNNNNNNNNNNNNNNNNNNNNNNNNNNNNNNNNUAUGAUGACGCACAUGUGUUAUUGUACUUAUUUCAUCCUCUCAUGAUUAUGAUGAUUUUGUUCGGGCUAUGUGAGUCUUUCAUACAUCCUGCAUAUUUCUUAUAAAUAUUUAUGAUGAUGAUGUUUAUACAACUUCAUACACCCAUAUAUACUCAGUUCCUUUCCAUAGUACUGACCCACAUCUUCGAAUGUGGGCUGCAUUUUCUCGAAAUGUAGGUUCAGGUGCUUAGUUCUAGGUUUGACAGUGAUUCUUUAGGAACGCUAUUCUACAUCCUCUGUUGUGGCGAGUCCUCAUGUUCCGAGGACGUGAUGUCUGAUGUUGGUUUCACGGAAUUUUUUACAUUUGAUAACUGAGUAUGAGUCAGUUGGGGCAUGUCUCAAUGGCUCGCUGGUUUUAUUGAUUUUCUUAGAGGUUUGUCAGACUAGUAUAGAUGUUGGGAGUUGACUAAUAAUUUAUACUUUGUUAUCUUUCUGAAAUUCUUUUAUUCUUGGAUGAUAAUUACUCUGUUGAUAUUUGAGGGUUAUUUAUGGAAACCCCAUUGAUUUGUGUUGAACUGAAUGAAAAUGGAUCAAAGGGUUAGCUUGGGGCUACUCGUAGCCUCAAGCACCGUGUGACGCUCCGAGACCCAUUUUUCGGGGCGUUACAGUAUCCCAAGGGGGAGAUAUGUCAUAACCCCCAAACUUUCAUGACAUUAACAUGCUACCUUCUUUUUCUUUUAAUGAAUCUAGUUUGGACUAAGGGGUACUCAUAAGUUUACCCUUAAGCUCCAACCUUAGUUGUAUGCCAUGUAUUACAGACUCAGUUCAGCUCAUGUAUCACGUUCCAGACUCAGUUAUGUUCUCAUGUUUCCUCUCAAGCAUAUUGAGUAAUUAAUCUCAGAUCAUCAGUAUUUUUAGUUCAAGGUAACAGUCUUCCUUGAACUUACUUAUUCCCAUAUUUGGAUUUCAGUACCAAGCUUUGUAUGCAGUUUCAUGCUCAGUUUUCAGUUCAAACUUGGUACCAUUACCAUUGUAUGUUCAGUCGCAUGUUCAUGAGUUAGUUCAGUUAUGUAUCCACACAUCAGAUAUGCGUGGUCAGCUUAUCAGUACAUUCAGUCAUGCAUUCACAUAUCACGUCAGUCAUACAAUCAUGCAUCAGAUAUGCAUUCUUAUUUGAGAAAACUCAGUUCAUCAAAACACUCAGUCCUACAUUCAUAAAUCAAUUACGCAUGCAUCCGAUAUGUAUGUACAGUAUAAUAUACUCAUCUUAUCAGUUAUGUCCUUCAAAAAAAUCAUAUUUUGGUAGUGUACGUCUUGUAAAUACUUCAGUUUAUCAUUUCUCUCCUCUUAGUCAGUUUUCAUUCAAGGACGAAUGUUCUCAAGGGAGAUAUUGUAAGACCCCGUAAAAUCGUUGCAUCCGAAUUCAUCUCUCUUGGAUUUACAAGCUUCAAGACUUAGCAAAUUUUCAUAAGUGUUCAACACUUAGUCUCAUUUCAAGCCUUCGAACUUCGGGGGGGAUUUAUUUGAUGACCUUUUCGACCUCUAUUUUUGGAUUUUCAAGUUGCGUUACGAUCAGACAAGCUUGUAGUGCACCUCGGGUGAGUUUUGGAAUUUCCACAGUAUCUUAAGGUCAUGUUUGAUAUCCCAAACCAGUAUAAAAAGUAUACGAGGCCGCGCAGCCUCACUUAGACCCUCGGUCUAAGCAGGGCGCCGCCCUGGCUGGAGCCUUUUUGUCCAGUUUUCAGCAUUUCAGGGUCAACUUCAAAUGAUCAUAGCUCCCUGUAUAUAAUGAACUGUGAGAGAUAUAAUAUAUCAAAUGAAAUCUCUUUGAGUCCUAUUUCAAAUGCAAUUGGUUUCAUCUAAUUUCAGUAUAUGAGUAAAAAGUUAUAACCGAUUUACUUCAGCCUAUCAAACUGUCAACUGAGGGACAAAUUUGACCUAAAUUGUUCCUUAGGGGUAUUUUGGUCAUCCUCCACCCCCAUAUUUACCACCAACACGGGAUUAAGACUUCAUUACACCAAAGUAUAGCCUAUUUUCUGAAAAACUCUCAAGAACAAGGCUAGGGUUUCAAUUGGGGCUUCCAAGAUUCAUGCCGAUUUCACCGCGAACUUCACAAAUUCUUAAUCUAGUAUGCAUAGUGUUCAUCUAUGGAUUCAAUUCGUUCAUAGAGCUCAAGAAUCAUGCUUUUAAAUGUUGUUUUGUAAACUUUUUGUGGUGAUAUGAAUAUGUACAUGUUGAUGAUGGAUGUUUAAGUUUCAAGAUGAUAUCUAAGGAUGUUUUCAUGAAAUAUAUGUGGUUGUUGGUUGAAAAUCAUGAACUUUGGGUGGUUUAAUAUAAUGCAAGUACAAAAUUCACCUAUGCCUUGAAGAAUGCAUGCAAGGUGUUUGAUAAAAUGCCUAGGAUGCUAGAAAUUCCUAUUUACAUGAUUCUAUGAUAUUCACAUGACAAGUCCGUGUUAGCUAUACACUUCAAUAUGAAUUUCCAUGCUAAUUAUGUAUUCUUAUGGUAGUGGCAUGAAGUAUGUAUGAUGAUGAAGAUAUGAAUUAUGUAUGCGAAUUAUAUCCAUGCUUUUCCUACCAUGUUUGAGAUGUUGAAUAAAUACAUGAAGUGAAAUAUACCCAAAUCAUUAAUAUAUGAACUAAAUGUUACAUGUUGACAUUCGCUUAUGCUUGAAUGGUUUCCAUGCCAUUGCUAUGAAUAGUAUAUGUUGUCGGAAUGCCCAUGAUAUUAGAAUAUGAGAUUUAUGACUUGAUUAUAAGCAUUCCUAUUCAUGAUAGAUAUUAUGAUGACCAUGUACUUCAUGAAAUCCCCCACUCAUGUAUUAUGGAUUGUUAUUGAUGGUCGUGUACUCAAGAAAUUCAAGUUGUGUCAGUUUGCUUCCAUUGAGUCCUGGGGAUACUUGUACCCAAAAAAUAUAGCUUUGUACCUAGAGACAUGUAAUACUUUCACGAUACUCUGAUUCAAUCCAUGAUCUAUAGAAUUCAGUCAGUCAUGUGACUCAUGUAAACUCAGAAAUCUCAGUAAUCUCAGUAGUCCAGUAAUCUCAGUAAUCUCAGUACUCAGUAACCUUAGCAACCUCAGUAUUCACAGUCAAUCUCAGUAACUUCAGUACUCUCAACCAGUCCUCAGUACUCAGUACAUUCCAUCAGUCAUCGGAAUCUAGUUAACUUAGUUUAGCUCCGCUAAACAAUACCACUAGUAUCAGUCCAGUUAAUCAGUAUUAGUUCAGCUAAUCAGUUCAGUUUAGUUAUUCAGUUUAGCUUAGUUAUUCAGUUCAGUGUCCUUCAGAUGAGAGUAGAAGUUAUCACCGAGUGUACCCAAGGAUAGGAACUCACCUGCCAGUUCAGGGUAUGAUUCAUAGCAGUCAUCCUUGUGUUUCAGAACUACAUAGCCAGCAUAGGUUGAGAUAGCUUAACCUAUCAGAUUAGGGUUGAUGAGGUGGCUUAACCAUUCAGUUUAGGGUUCCCACCAUUCUCAUUUGAGUACCUGUUAGUAUAGGGUUCUCACAGCUGUCAUUACCAGUGGCACGGUAUUGACACCCCUCCAGUCGGGGCAGAGAUUGGACCCUAACUUUGCUAUAUGAGUUAUAGGGGCAUGGCGAUUAGAUGAAUACUUCCUACAGUUUUAGUUACAGAUUUCAGGACUAUCAGCUACAGUUACCCAGUCUCAGUAAAGAACUCAGAUAGUUCUUCAGAUUUCAGUAUAUCAGGACUAUCAGAUACAAUCAACUCAGAAAUAGAAUGGAACUCUAAUAGUUUCCUUAAGAUUUAUGGACUGUCAUAUACAAUCACUUAUGAUAUCAAUCAAAAUAGUUAUCAGAACUCAUGCUAUCAGUACUCAGCUUCAGGACUAUCAGAUACAGUCAAUCAGACCAGUUCUUCAUAGUUCGAACUGUCAGAGACAAUCAUUUAUUUAUCAGUAAUGCUAUAUUAGUCUCUUAGUAUUCAGUAAUACAGUAUCAGAUUCAUCACUUAUUAGUGAUUUACAUAUCACUAUCAGUAAACUCAGUCUUUCAGAAUCUCAUCAUCAGUACACUCAUGUUGUUAGUGUUCAAACUCAGUAGUCAGUAUCUCCACGAGUUCAGUUACAGUUACGUAAGCAUAUAUGUACUCUCACGUUCAUAUCAGUCAGUAUUAUUCAUGCAUAUAACCCUUUGCAUUUAGCCUACCUCACUCAUAUACUCAGUACAUUCAGACGUACUGACACAUUUGCGUGAUGGUGCUUUCUCUUAUGUUAUACCAUAGGUUCAGAGGCAUGAGCUCCAAAUCAGCAGUAGAUUCCAGGAUCAACAGUCAAAUUUAGACGUGAGUCCUCAUCCUUUGAGGACAUGAUGAUUUCAUUUCUAUUUUAGUUUUCAGUUUAUUUUAGUAGCUGGAGUUAUUGGGGACAUGUCCCAUCAACUCCUUAUUCAGACAGUUAGAGGCUUUCUAGACUACUUCAUGUCAGAUAGUUAUUUUAGUUUUGUUUUUGUAUUGUUAUACCAUAUUUUUCAGAUAUGUAUCAGUAUUGAACCUUAUGGCCUUUCAGUUUAUGUUUCCACAUAUUUUAUGAGAUAUUAUGCAGUUUACAGGUACAGAUAGUAGUCAUGGGUUAGCUUGUGGUCCUUCGGGGUCAUGAGCACUGUGUAGCGUCUCGGUUCAGAAAAUUGGGGCGUUACAAUAUUAUUACUCAAGUGACUUAAACACUCUAUUUUUGGGGCAAAAUGGUCCUUUUCCCACCCUUACUUAGCCAUAAACAUGAAAUUCAGUUCCCAAAUACCCCAAAAUACAACUUCAUUCAUCAAAAUUGCUCAAGAACUCUCCUUAGGGUUUCAAAAUAAAAACCCAAGAAACUCAAGAUUCAACCGUGGGUUUUUGAAACUAAUUGCAUAUUUGGAAUCCAUAGAACGUAGGCUUCAAGAAGCACCUAUCAUCUUUGCAUAUAGAGGUACGUAGGGUUAUCUUAAAAAUCUCAUGGGCUUAAAAAUUCAUGUUUUAAAAAUGGAGGUUUAGAAAUUAUGAAUAUAAUCCCAUUUUAAAUGUUUUGUGAUAUUGAUUUUGUCUUUAGGCCUAUUCCCAAAGUGGUUUGAUAUAUGAUAUAUAUAUAUAUAUAUAUGCAUGUAUUUCGAAAAGAUGUUAACUUGAGAGUAUAAAUUAUAUGAAAUCCCUCUCUUUAUUUGAUCUCAUUUUAAAUUCUCAUAUGAUGUGAAAUGUUUGAAAUCAUCUUGACAAGUGUGAAAUGAAAUAUUUUGAAAAUGGUCAUGGUUUUGACUUGCAAUGAGGGUUGUUAUGUUGAAAUAUAAUGAAUAUAAAGGUUGCAUGAAAGAAUGAUAUGAUAUUGAUGGCUUGCAAGUCGGGUAUGACGAUACCCUAUAGAAUAAGAUAUGUGAUUGAAUUAAAUAGAGUUUGAUGUAUUGAUUUUACAUGAGAUAGGUGGAUGCCCGAAGAAGGCAUUUGAGUGUAAGGGCUCAUCGCUAGAAACUGUGUUUGCCGACAAGGGGAUUUGGUACCAGGCUAAGUGAUCUUGUGUACUUGACUUUAUGUUAUUCCCAAAUUGGGACUAUGGUUAGGAGCCCAGGCUAAGUGAUCUUGGGCACUACUAUACUUUAUUGGGUCGAGACACCCUGCUGUGUGAUCUUGUGUGUCUCCCCCUAACUUAUACUCUAAUCUCGGCGGUGACCGUGAUUUGACAGUUGUUGUAAAUGUUAUAUGUAGGGUUUUCCACCUAGCUCAGCUGCAUUACAUUGUUGUUGAAAACUAUUACAUUAUGCCCAUGUGUUUUCAAAACUAUUACAUUUGAUAUUCUCAAACAUGUCUCAUUAUUGGGCCGAUUCAAGUACAGAAGUUUAGAGUUUAAAUGGUAUGGUUCUUUCUGAUAGAAUCAUAUAAUAUUUCUGUAAGGACUUGAGAAGAGUCCAUUAGUACUUCAAAAUGUAUUUGGUUCUCGUGUGAACCUUGAUUUUAAUGAAAUCGUGCUUUUCAGCCUGCAGUAUUAAGAGUAUUCCAUCUCUUUUCAAAAAUUUAUAUUGCAGGUGUAUGCUUCAGGGGGAAUGAUGUGUAGUAGAAUGUUGGAACUGUAUUUCCACCCGAUUAGUAGUAUAAGUUAAAGUGUCAGUGUCAUGACCUACUGGUAGUGAGAUUAGACCAAGAAGUGUAUGAUAUGAAGUCACAAAGUUAGAAGUCAGAGUGAAGGUGACUUUUGUGUAUAUAGAUAUUUUAGUUGAAUAACCGAUGUUUGAGAAUGAUUUACCACUUUAUAGUGAUAGACUAAUAUGAUAGCUAGUAACAUAUAUGGAUUGUAUGGUAGUCUGUGGGGAAGUGUUUGGCUUAGAUUUUUAUUUAUACAGAGUAAGAUGUGUAUUCUUAGAUCAUUGCAUAUUGUGUGUCAAUUUUCUAUCUCUUGUAAUAUUUAAUCUGGUUAUCAUGGUAUUUUUGAAAAAUCAAAGUCUAGUGAAGCCUUGUGGGGCUCUUUCGAUUCACUAUCAUAGUUGCUUUGUUAUUCAUUUCAUUUUCUUGUUCAAAGCACAAAAAUCAAAGUCUAGUGAGGCCGUGUGAGGCCAAUUUCUAUUCACUAGCAACUUGUUGUUCAUGUGUUGGUUGAAUAUAUGUAUAGUCGAAUCUUUUCGCAUGAGGUUGAGUUGGUACUGAAGUGAUACGUCUUGAUGUGUUAGUUUAGCAGAAGGUAGAGAAAGAGUUAUUAGUUAAGGAGAAUUGUUGUCUGCUUGAAGUAUGAAAAUGGCUAGAUGACCCUGUAAGUUAUAAUUUGUCACGACCCAAAUCGGGGCCCAGGCCGUGACGAGUAUCCCGUACCAUGAAGGCCCGAAUCACCCCUGUCUAUCUGGUAAUCAUGCACAUAAUUCAUAUGAUAAAAGGAAUGCAGAAGAUACACAAUAUUACAGAAACAUGGUCAUAAGUCUAAUACAAUCAAUAAUGGGAAAUAAAGUCCCACAACAUCUAUCAACAUCUGAAAUCCGUCAGCGAAAUCUCUACUACAUGACUAAUAACAACAGUCUGAAAUCUGGGAUAAGGCCCCCAGUAGACCAAAACAUGACUAAAGAUAAAUAUCUGAAAGUAAACAGGCCUUCUGGAAUAUAGAAUGCUUACCACUGCACAAUCUGACCUGUGAUAAAAAAUAUCUACUAUUCAUCUGGACCCCUAGACUAAGUCUCAAAACCUGGAAGGGGGGGGGGUCAGCACAAAAGUACUGGCACACGAAGCAAUCCAAAAUAGAGUGAUUGAAUAUAUAUAUAUAUAUAUAUAAUAUAAUACAUGAGAGCAAUUUUCAUCAAAACAUCAUGGAUAAAACAGUUUCUGAAAAAUACAUGGGCACCUUAUGAAAACAUGUAACCUGUCUGUAAAUUUCAAAUUCUGAUUUGUGUAUUACUUCUAAGUUAGGUGGUAUCCCCUACAAACCUAAUAUUUCACGAGCGAUAUGGAAUCCGCCAUUGACUCGGCGGGGAAGCCUCCAACCCGAGUGUGCCACAAGGGUUAGAGUUCCUGAAUAUGAUACGCCACACGACACUUAAGUCAGCGUAUAAUAAUAUGCCCGGGCCGGCAAACCAUGGUUUUGGGCAAAGAGUUGUAUGAACUCACACCUUCUUUGGGGAACCACCUAAGCUCUCUUUAUUCCCUAUUUUAGCCUUUUCUGAACAUGCAUCAUUCUGAAGUUCUAAAAUAUGCAAAUUUGAUAAAUUCUGAUUUCUGUAUUCGUCUGUGUCUGUUAUGGCAUUUUCUGAGUUUGGUAUUGUCAUACCAAGACUUGAAAGUCCUAUUUCUGAGCCAUAAUGCAUUAAGCAUGAUCUUUUAUAAAAUAUAGUUUCAGACCACCCAAACAUGUGAUUUGCAUAUAAGAUUUCAUGUUCCAAAACUCAAGUCAAAACCAUGCAAAAACUUCAUCAAACAUAUGGUGGUCUAAUGCCUUUAGCAAAUCCAUGCACUCUUUCAUUACAUGCAUUAUGAACAUUAAACAUUCAUGCUAAAUUCCCUCUUUAGUGAUUUAAAACCACAUUUAAAUCAUAAUAAGAGUUCAACCAUUUCAUAUAGUGCUUUUCAAGAAUGCAUUGCAAAACAAUUCAUAUGCUGUGAAAAAUCUAAAAAUUCAUAAUAAGAGGGAAUUCACCAAAUGUCAUGCUCUCAACAAGAAUUCAUUCUUAAAUUCAUGUUUUCAUACAUACACUCAAAUCACUUUUGGGAAGGUCAAAAGACCAAAACAAUGAUGUUAAAACAUCUAAUACGUGAAUAUCUACAUAGUUUCAAAAAACCCAUUCUAAAACAUGAUUUUUCUAUGCCCAUGAGUAUUUAGGAAAACCCCGCGUACCUCUAUAUGUGAAGAUGAUAGGUGCUUCUUGAAGCCUAGGUUCUGGGGAUUCCAACUAUGCCACUAGUUUCAAAACCCACGGUUGAAUCUUGAGUUGCUUGGGUUUUUAUUUUGAAACCUUAAGGAGAGUUCUUAAGCAAUUUUGUUGAAUGAAGGUGUAUUUUGGGGUCUUUGGGAACUGAAUUUCGUGUUUAUGGCUAAAUAAGGGUGGGAAAAGGACCAUUUUGCCCCAAAAAUGGAGUGUUUAAGUCACUUGAAAUGUUUACAUAAGCGCCGCCUAUGCUAUCGCCUAUGUUUACAUAGGCGCUGCCUAGGCUAUCGCCUAUGUUUUCCAGUGGCCAUGUACGAUUGGUUAGGCGGUGCAUACUACUUUGAAAGGCCAUAAAUUCUUCCUCGGAUGUAAGAUUUUAGCAAAAUUGGUAUCCUUGGAAAGCUAACUCGAAAACCUAUCAUUUUACACAUGUAGGCUCUCUAAUUUGACAUAUACAAAGAGUCAUGGUCGAUAGAAGUUGACAUAAAUUUUAAUAUCCACUUAAACUUAAUUGAUCGAAGUAGUUUUCAACUCGUCCUUGAGUUGAAGGACCUCUAUGGUCUAAAUUCAUGCUCAAAUGGAUUCACAUACUAUAUAAACAUGCCAAAUUGGCAUAGGAUUUAUGGCUUUGGGAUUAUCGAUGCAUCGGAAUCAUGGUCUAUAUUCUAGCCCGAAAUAUGGGGUGUUACAUUAUCUCCCCCUUAGGAUCAUUUGUCCCCAAAUGAUGGAUAGAAUGUCAAAGUUUUAAGGCUAUGGGAUAGUGCGAACAUGAUAUGUUCCCUAAGAAAGAAUACACUGAUCGGAAACAUGACUAUAAGAUUGGAACUACUGAUGUUUUAAAUGCUUAUGCCGGAUAUGCAUAUCCGAGGCAUGGAAUACACAACUGAAGCGACUCAUAGGCUGAAUUCUCAUAAUGAAUCAUGCAUAUCUUAUGCAUGGAUCUGUGACCGAGUUGUUCUCAUGAAUACAGGACUGAAUACACUGAUAAGCUGAAGUUUUCUAUUGGACAUACAUUUCAAUGCAUGCAUAUCUGACUAAACUUUUGAAAGAAUGUAUGACUGAAUAUGCAAUGAUAACUGGUGUGAAGCUUGUAAUAAGAAUCUAUACAUGCAACGGAAUGGGGUAUCUCCCCCUUGGGACACUACGUGCCUCUAUGAAUGCUCAAUUUACUAGGAUUCUCAGAAAAUUGAGACAAUGCACAAGGCACCUACGAAUUGAUUCAUAACUGAACAUCCAAAAUUUGAACCUAAUGCAUGAUGCAUGAACUGAGCUAUACUCUUAAUUACUAGUAUACUCUAUCUUGGAAUAGUAUCAUGUCUGAGAUUUUAGAUAGCAUGAAUAAAUGAAAAGAUGAGAAAACAAGUCAUGCGAAUCUGACUGCUAAACUGACUUACUGACUUACUGGCUAUACAGACUGAAUUAGGCUGGACCCUCAUACUUAACUGGAGCAUCUCAUCAAUUCUCUCUCCAAGGGAUUUCUAAUAAUAAUAGGGAGCUACAAAACUUAUGUAUGGAUUACACAAGACAUCCAACUGAGGAAAUCACAACAUUGACACUACUCUGCAGUCUGGAAUAUGGACAUAUAACUCCAAAAUUAGGAUAGAAUUACCAAGCCUUUGGCAUUACAACUCUUUAAUUUCAAGCUUAGCACACUUCUCGAAUAUCACUUAACUAUACUAUUCUCCUUAAAUAUUAUAUUCAUUCAACUCAGCUUAAAAUUCUCAUAUGAGCAUUGACAAAUUUUUCUAGUAAUGUCUAAAAUAGCUUAAUCCUUACACCGCGAUCAAGCCUAACUCUAAGUCACUAAAAUACAACAUGCUACUCGCCGCUAUGGUUCUAAACCAUAAGAUGCCACCUUCUAAACCUCUUUUAAAGAUCACAUCCUAAGCGUAACAUGCCUUACCACUUCAAUGACUACUUUGAACUCUUAAUAUGAAGUUGCUAAUGCAUAUUGCGACCUUCCACUACAAUCCCAAAACGUCAUUCAAGCCUAACUUAUAACCACAUGUUAACUCCAAGGCAAUCAUAUAUAAAUAUAUACUGCACAUAGUUUCUAAACUAUUAUCAAUAUAACUCCCAUGCGCUAUCCUAAAAACAUACAAACACAAACUUUUCCACUAACCAUCACAUGUAUCAAAGACUUGGCCCCAAAUCUUACUUCAUACUUAUGGCCUUAUCUAAACAAGCAUACUAUAAAGAGUAAGUACAUGCGUCAUGAGUUGCAUGACCUCAACUAGAGUUCAUAACAUAAGGAAUGUGAUUCCGAUUACUUGAAUGAAAUAGAACUCAUUAUCUUGGAACUGGAAGAGUACGUGACUCUCUAUCAUAUACAGGAAUCAUGAACUAUGAUCACAGAACUGAAUCGUAAGGCAUGAGUAAGCAUUAGGAUCACUGAGAAAUACUGAGAUAGGAAUGGGUUGAGAUUCACCCUUACUUUUUGAUGUUCUAUAUCAUCAUGACAUCACUACAAGAAUCUGAGAGUCUUACUUGGUUAUUCGUUUAGUCAUCUCCCCUUUAGCUUCAAGCCAUCAUCUUAAGUUUUUGGGAGAUACCUUACUAACUUUAAAAAGUCACCAUCUUAUGUUUUUGGGAGAUACCUUACUAGACUUUAAACUUAACUGUACUCACUGCACUUUGGGUUCUGAAAUAUGACAAUACACAAAAUUUUCACUUGGAAACUAUAAAUAAACAUCAGGAAACACUAGUGCACUAGAACUUCAUAGCCACACACACACAAAAAAUUGAUCAUGACCUUACGAUCUUCCUCAUCAUAACUCAUUAGCACAUACUAUUUCAACACAUCAAGCCUACUAAUUUAAUUCCACAAAACGUGCAUCAUCGAUCUCAUGCCACUAUUUUUUUUUCCACCACAUCCUUCACUUAAAUUCAAACCUAUAGUUUAGCAUCAAUAAUCUACCACCAAUGAUGAGUGCAAAAUAAGAUGCUAGUCCAUAAAAUUGACAUGUUCUAUUCAAACAACUUUAAAUCCACUACCUACCCUCUCACAAGUUGUACUAGUUUACAACUACCAAUGAAAAGAAGGUCAAGGGGUAAAGUCAUAUAAUAGACAUGAUCAACCUUAAUCUGAUAUUAUUACCCCAUACAAUCUUCUCUACUUAUGCGAUUUUCUCACCUCAUACUUACUUACUUAAGCAUACAUUUAGACUGCCUUCAAAUUUCUCAAACAACCAUGAGUCUAUAAUCAUAACUUACUCACUAAUAUAGCCAUUUUCACAUUCAAGCAACCAAAAAAUCACCCUGACUAACAAUUCCUUCUCUACCUUCUACUAAUAACACACAAGGACGAAUCAUCUCUUUACCGGCUCAAUCUCAUGCAAUCAUAUUCAGCUAUACCUACAUUAAACCUACACAAGAACAACAAGUUGGACAACAAGUUGCUAGUGAAUCGAAAUAGGACUCACACGGCUUCACUAGACUUUGGUUUUGUAUUUUGAACAAGAAAAUGAGGAGGAUGACAAGGCAACUAUGCUAGUGAAUCGAAAGAGCCCCACAUGGCUUCACUAGACUUAGAUUUUUUUUUUUUUGAAAAAUACCGUGAUAACAAGAUUAAAUAUUACCAGGGAUAGAAAAUUGACACAUAAUAUUUAAUGGUCUAAUAAUAUACAUAUAUUUUGUAUAAAUAAAAAUCUGAGUAAAACACUUCCUCCAUGGACUACCAUACCGUCCACACACGCUGUUAGCAACGUGUAAUGCCCCGCAUUUUGGGCUAUAAUAUAAACCAUGAUUUUGAUGUGUUGAUAAUCCUGAAGCCAUAAAUCUUAUUCCAAUAUGACAUGUUAAUUAUUUACAUAGUAUGUGAAUCCAUUAAAACUUGAAUUUAGACCAUAGAGGUCCUUCAACUCAAGGACGAGUUGAAAUUAUUUUUAUCGAUUAAGUUUUAGUGGAUGUUGUAAUUUGAGUUAGUUUCCAUAGACCAUAACUCUUUGUAUAUGUCAAAUUAGAGAGACUACGAUGUGUCAAAUGAUAGGUCUUUGAGUUAUCUUUCCAACGAUACCAAUUUUGCUAAAAUUUGACACCCAACCUUUCAAAGUAGUAGGCAGCACCUAUGUAAACAUUGGCGAUAGCAUAGGCAGCGCCUAUGUAAACAUAGGUGAGGUUUCAAGUGACUUAAACACUCCAUUUUUGGGGCAAAAUGAUCCUUUUCCACCCUUACUUAGCCCUAAACACGAAAUUCAGUUCCCAAAGACCCCAAAAUUGUAACGACUCGUAUUUCGGCUACAAUAUAGACCAUGAUUUUGAUGCAUUGAUAAUCCUGAAGCGAUAAAAUCCUAUUCCAAUACGGCAUGUUAAUUAUUUGUGUAGCAUGUGAAUCCAUUAAAUCUUGAAUUUAGACCAUAGAGGUCGUUAACCUCAUGGACGAGUUGAAACUAUUUCGAUCAACUAAGUUUUAGUGGAUGCUGUAAAGUGUGUCAGCUUCUAUCGACCAUAACUCUCUGUAUAUGUCGAAUUAGAAAUCCUACUAUGUGUCAAAUGAUAGGUAUUCGAGUGAGCUUUCCAACGAUACCAAUUUUGCUAAAAUCCGACACCCGAGCAAGAAGUUAUGGCCUUUCAAAGUGAUAUGCGUCGCCUAACCAAUCGCCCAUGGCCACUGGAAAGCAUAGGCGAUAGCCUAGGCGGCGCCUAUGUAAACAUAGGCAAUGGGAUGGGCGGCGCUUAUGUAAAGAAUUCAAGUAACUUAAACACUCCAUUUUGGGGACAAAGUGGUCCCUUUCCACCCUUACUUAGCCCCAAAAAACGAAAUUCAGUUCCAAGGACCCCAAAAUAUACCUUCUUUCAUCAAAAGUGCUCAAAGAUUCUCCUUAGGGUUUCAAAAUAAAAACCCAAAUAGUUCAAGAUUCGACCGUGAGUUUUCAAAAAUAAUUACAUAUUUGGAAUCACCAAUCCGCAAGCUUCAAGAAACAUUUAUUAUCUUUGGAAAUAGAGGUACGUGGGGUUAUCCUAAAAUCUCAUGGGUGUAGUUUUUAUGAACAUGCAUGUUUUUAAAUGGGGGUUUUCAAUAAAAUGCUAAUAUCUUGCUUUCAAUAUUAUUUCUAAGUCAUUUUUUUUAAUGUCAAGGGAAUUGUUUGUCUAUAUACUUUAAUGGUUGAAACAAUGCAUAUGUGAUUUGAGAUUUUCCAUAUAAGUUUGAUAAAUAUGAAAGAUAAAUUGCUUUCAAAUUCCCAUGAUAAUGUCUUGAUACCAUAUAUCACAUUGUGAUCAACAAAAGAGAGCAUGAAUUUAAAAUAAAUAUUGUUCACCACUUGUAAAUGAUGAAGCACUUUGGUUUUAACAUGAUUUUGCAUAUGUGGAAGUGAUAUUGAGGACUUACAAGUCGGGUAUGACUAUACCCUACAGAAUAUGAUAUGUGAUUGAAUCAGAUGAAAUUUAAAUAUAUUGAUUUUACAUGAGAUAGGUGGAUACCGGAAGAAGGUGUUUAAGUGUAAGGGCUCAUCGCUGGAAAAACGUGUUUGCCGAUACAGAAAUUUGGUACCAGGUUAAGUGAUCUUGUGUACUUGACUUUAUGUCAUUCCCAAAUUAGGACUAUAGGUAGGAGCCCGGGCUAAGUGAUCUUGGGUACUACCAUUAGGUCGAGACACCAUGCUUCGUGGUCUUGAGUGUCUCUCCCUCACUUAUACUCUAAUCUCGGCGGCAACCGAGGUUAGACAGUUGGUUUAAAUUAUGUAGGGUAUUCCACCUAGCUCAGUUUCAUUUCAAUGUUGUUGAGAAACUAUUUCUUUACACCCAUGUGUUUUCAAAUGAUUUGAUAUGAAAUUGUUUUAUAAUUGCUCUCAACUAUAUUUUAUAAAAAUAUUAUGUUUUGUUUCGAUAUCUCUGCAGCCAGUACUUUUGUGCUGACCCCCUCCCCUCUCUUACCUUUUAGGUUCAGAGGCCCAGUCUAGGGGUCAAGACAAUUAGUAGAUCAUUCAGACAGAGUUGCAGAGACAAGUGGUGAGCCUUCUAUGUUUCAGAGGGUCUUAUGUCGUGCAGUCCUUUUAUCUGAUAUUCAGUUUUGGGGUCUACUGGGGGCCUUGUCCCAGUUUAUAUGCGGUUACUUCACUCAGUCAUUUGUUAGAGAUUUUCGUAGACAGUUGUUUAGAGGUUGAUUGAUGUUGGGGGAACCUUAUCUCUCUGUUAUUGUUUCUUUUCUUAUUUAUGACCAUGUUUCUAAAUUAUUGUAUUUCUUCCGCAUUAAUUUGAUCAUAUGAAUUAGGUGCAUGAUUACUAAAUAGAUAGGGGUGUUUCGGGCCUCCAUGGUUUAAAAUGAUCAUCACGGCCAGGCCCUGGUUUGGGUUGUGACAAACUUAGUAUCGGAGCACGGUUCAUGGUCCUAGGGUGUCUGCGAAAUCGCAUAAGGUAGAGUCCUAUUUAUUGGUGUGUAGCGCACCACACUUAUACACAGAGGGCUACUAGGUGUUUAGGAAAUGUUUCCCUUAUUUGUGAUUUAGUUCGUGCUUUAGAGUCUGAACUGUCCCCUAAUCUAUGAUCACUUGUGUUUCAGAAAUAUAGUUAUGCCUCUAUGUCGUAUCAUCGAUUAGAAUGCUCAGGCAAAUGAGGUCCGUCCUACCUAUGGGAUGCGGACCCAUAACAGGGCUCACACUCUAGAAUUUAUCCCUACUUCGGGAGUCCCUCCAGUCACGACCAGUCUACCUCAAGCUCCGCAGACUAAUGCCAAUUGUCCCCCAACUGCUCAGGGAGAUAUUUCAAAUGCAGAAUUCAGAUGGUCUAUUCAUAUGCUGACCCAGUUUGUAGCUAACCAGGCUCAACGAUAGAAAGAUGUUGGGUCUGCAUCUAUUAUGCUUGAGGCUACUAGAGUCAAAAAUUUCAUGAAGAUGAACCCACCUAAGUUCACUGGCACCAAGGUGGAUGAAGAUCCACAGGUGUUCGUGGAUGAGAUGGAAAAAAUCUUUAAGGUGAUGCAUGUGGAUGAGGUUGAAUGGGUGGAACUAGCAACCUAUCAGCUCAAGGACAUUGGGAAUCAGUAGUAUGCCGACUGGGAAGAUGCAAAAGAUGAAAGUGCUGAGCCCAUAGUUUGGGGAAAAUUUAUGGAAGCUUUCCUUGAUCGAUUCUUUCCUCUGGAGUUGAGGUAGACCAAAGCAGAAGAGUUUAUGAAUCUGAAGUAGGGCAGUAUAAGUGUCCAGGAGUACACUUUGAAGUUUAAUAAACUAGCCUGCAAUGCACCAGAGUUGACUAGUAAUAUGAUAGUCUGGAUGAGGAAAUUUGCAUAUGGCCUUACUGAUAACCUGGUACUUGAGUGCCAGGGGGCUAUGUUGAAUAAGGAGUUAUACUUUGCUCGACUGACCGUUCAUAUGCAGUAGGUGGAAGAGAAGAAGAAAAAGAUUACUGAAUCUAGAGAGAAAUAUAAAUAGGCUAAGAGAGCUAGAUCUGCAGACCAGCACCAGAGUCAGCUGCAGAGUGGUAACUGGGGUAAUAAGUGGUCGAAGAAGAAGAAGUUUUGGCAUAAUGCACAGUCAGCAGCCAGCGCCCCAGCACCCAGACCACUGACAGACAGACAAACUUAUAGUUUUUAGACUCCUCAUGGAUCCAAAGCUCUAGGUACACAGUCUCAGGGCAGUGUGGCCCAAUAGCAUCGUACUUAUUCGUGGUGCGAGGUUUGUGGAAGAAAUCAUCUAGAAAAGUACUAGUUUGAGGGGAGAAACUGCUAUACUUGUGGUAAAUGGGUUACCUUCAGAGAGAUUAUCCUUCUGCUAGAGGAAAUANNNNNNNNNNNNNNNNNNNNNNNNNNNNNNNNNNNNNNNNNNNNNNNNNNNNNNNGGGGGAAGGGGGGAGGGGGGAGGUCUAGGUCCCAAGCCGCCUCCAUAGCUCCUUUUCCUAAGGGUACCCCUUUAGCUGCCGGGAGCGGUCGUAACUGGUUAUAUUCUUUUACUUACCGCUAGGAGGCAGAAGCUUUACCAAAUGUUGUCAUCGGUAUGUUACGAAUCUUUUCUCGUGAUGUUUAUGUAUUGCUUGAUCCCGGGUCUACUUUAUCUUAUGUGACCCCUUAUAUGGCUGUUGGUUUCGGGUUUGAGCUCGAAGUUAUUGUACAACCCUUCUCUGUUUCUACUCCUGUAGGUGAUUCUGUUAUUGCUAGAAGGGUGUAUAGAAAUUGUGUCGUGUCUAUUCAUAGUAGGGAAACUGUGGAAGACCUUAUAGAACUGGAUAUGAUAGAUUUUGAUGCCAUCCUUGGGAUGGACUGGCUCCAUUCGUGCUAUGCCACACUCGAUUUCAGGAAUUACAGAACCUGAAAGGUCACUUUUUCUUUCCCGAAUGAGACACCAAUUGUAUGGGCAGAGAGUUCUAUGGAAUCUAGAGGUCACUUUAUCUCUUAUCUUAGAGCCCAAAAGCUUAUCUCCAAAGGUUAUAUGUAUCAUCUAAUUCGAGUAAAAGAAUCAAAAGUUGAAAACCUUCCUCUGUAAUCAGUCCCUAUAGUGAAUGAAUUCCCAGAAGUCUUUCCCGAAGAUCUCCCAGGGAUACCCCCCGAUAGGGAGAUAGAUUUUGCCAUUGAGUUGUUGCCAGACACUCAUCCUAUUUCUAUUCCGCCAUAUAGAAUGGCUCCCGCGGAACUAAAAGAGUUAAAGGAACAACUUGCAGACCUCCUAGACAAAGGUUUUAUUCGUCCUAGUGUUUCCACAUGGGGUGCACCUGUGCUCUUCAUGUGAAAGAAGGAUGGGUCCCUUCGGAUGUGCAUAGACUAUCGUCAGUGAUAAAGUCAGCCCACUUUUUGCCUAUGAGGACUAAUUAUUCGAGAGAGGUUUAUUCUAAGAUUUACAUUUAGGAUAUAGUUCGAUUGCAUGGGGCACCAGUGUCCAUUAUAUCCGAUUAAAUAAGGUCUCGAUUUAAAAUAACUAUCCUCUUCCUAGGAUUGACGACCUUUUUGACCAGCUUUAGGGUGCCAAGUAUUUUUCAAAAAUAGACCUUCGUUUGGGUUAUCAUUAGUGUAAAGUUAAGGAGUCAGAUAUACCCAAGACAACCUUCCAAACCCGAUAUGGUCAUUAUAAAUUUCUAGUCAUGUCCUUCGAGUUGACUAACGCCCCUGCAACCUUCAUGAAUCUUAUGAAUAGAGUGUUCCAUCAGUUUCUUGACUUUUUUAGACGGAUGGGAAAAAUGAGCGUACUAUUCAGACCCUCGAAGAUAUGUUGAGGGCAUGUGUCAUUGAUUUCAAAGGUAGUUGGGUAAAUUACCUGCCACUGGUUGAAUUUGCUUACAAUAAUAGUUACCAUGCCAGCAUCAAGAUGGCUCCUUUUGAGGCUUUGUAUGAAAGGAUCUGUAGGUCUCCGAUAGGAUGGUAUGAAGUGGGUGAGACUCAAUUAUAUGGGCCUAGAUCAUCAGCUGUAUGCCAAAUUUUAUAAGUGUGAAUUCCGGUUAGAUGCUAUUGCCUUCCUAGGGCAUAUUUAGUUGAUGAAGAAAGUGAAGAUCAUUAGAGAAUGACUAAAGACUGCUCAAAGUCGUCAGAAGUCCUAUGCCGAUGUUCAGAGAAGAGAACUAGAGGAGAAAAUGGCCCAGACCCAUGACUCCAACUGAUAUUCGGAGCUUCUUGGGUUCGGCGGGGUAUUACAGAAGGUUUGUAAGAGUUUUUCUUCCAUUGCUGCUCUGCUUACUAAACUGACUCAAAAAAAGAUGAAUUUUGUAUGGUCUGACUUGUGUGAAAAUAGUUUUGAGAAGUUGAAGGAUUUGGAAAAAGAGGUAAAUUGAGCCCUUGCUACGUAGGGCCAUAUCAGAUUCUAAAAAAGAUUGGUACAGUUGCAUAUGAGCUAGAAUUGCUUGCAAUUUUGGGUUUCGUUCAUCCGGUAUUCUAUGUAUCCAUGUCGAAGAAAUGCAUUGGAGAUCAUUCUAUGGUAUUUCCAGUAGAGGGUAUCAAAGUGACAGCCUCUGUAAAAGUGCUGUGGAGGAUCAGAAAGUCGAAGAAGCAACUUAGGAGUCAGAAGAUGACAUGAGAAUUAGAUAUCCCAAUUUGUUUGCUUAGAUGGAGGAUGAGACAGAAGGUACUAUUCCUAUCUUAUCUUUCCUAGUCCUUUAUUUUUCUCACAGAAAGAAUUGAACCUCAGACAGAGACGUUGGAUGGAGCUUUUGAAAGACUAUGAUAUGAGUCUGCAUUACCAUCUGGGCAAGGCAAAUAUUGUAGCCAACGCCAUCAACAGGUUUUCUAUGGGCAGCCUUUCUCAUGUAAAAGAAGGAAAGAAAGAAUGUGUUGAUAAUCUCGAAGCCAUAAAAUCCUAUGUCAAUAAGGCAUGUUAAUUACUUGUGUAGCAUGUGAAUCUAUUCAAGCUUGAAUUUAGACCAUAGAGGUCCUUCAACUCAUGGACAAGUUGAAACUAUUUCGAUCGACUAAGUUUUAGUGAGUUAAGGAGAAGCAGGUUGAAGAUCCCAUCUUGAUGCAAAUCAAGAAAGAUGUGGGUCAACAAAAGGUUAUGUCAUUUGACAUUGGUGGUGAUAGUAUUCUGAGAUGAGGCGCACACUUCGAUGUAUGUCAUUCACCCUGGCGCUACUAGAUGUACCAUACUCUGAAAACCUUGUAUUGGUGGAAUAACAUGAAACGUGAUGUAGCACAUAGGUGAUAGCCUAGGCGGCUUCUAUGUAAACAUAGGCGAUAGCAUAGGCGGCGCCUAUGUAAACAUCCACAAGAUAGCCCUGCCUUUAUGAAAGUGGGAUAUGAUAAACAUAGACUUCAUUACAGGUCUUUCGAGAUCCCAAAACCAGAAUGAUUCUAUAUGGGUGAUUGUAGAUCGAUAAAGUCAGCCCACUUUUUGCCUAUGAGGACUAAUUAUUCGAGAGAGGUUUAUUCUAAGAUUUACAUUUAGGAUAUAGUUCGAUUGCAUGGGGCACCAGUGUCCAUUAUAUCCGAUAGAGGUACACAGUUUUCAUCUCAGUUCUGGAGAUCGAAUUGUUUACCUAUAUACUUUAAUGGUUGAAACAAUGCAUACGUGAUUUGAGAUUUUCCAUGGAAGUUUGAUAAAUAUGAAUGAUAAUUUGCUUUCAAAUUCCCAUGAUAAUGUCUUGAUACCCCAUAUCAUAUUGUGAUUAACAAAACAGAGCAUAUAUUUGAAAUAAAUAUUGUUCACCACUUAUAAAUGAUGAAGCACCUUAGUUUUUACAUGAUUAUGAAUAUGUGGAAGUGAUAUUGAGGAAUUGCAAGUCGGAUAUGAUGAUACCCUAUAGAAUAUGAUAUGUGAUUGAAUUAGAUGAAAUUUGAAUGCAUUGAUUUUACAUGAGAUAGGUGGAUGCCCGAAGAAGGUGUUUGAGUGUAAGGGCUCAUCGCUGCAAAAACGUGUUUGCCGACACGAAAAUUUGGUACCAGGCUAAGUGAUCUUGUGUACUUGACUUUAUGUAAUUCCCAAAUUGGGACUAAAGGUAGUAGCCCGGGCUAAGUGAUCUUGGGAACUACCAUUGGGUUGAGACACCAUGCUUCGUGGUCUUGAGUGUCUCUCCCUUACUUAUACUCUAAUCUCGGCGGCAACCGAGGUUAGACAGUUGGUUUAAAUUAUGUAGGGUAUUCCACCUUGUUCAGUUGUAUUUCAUUGUUGUUGAGAAACUAUUACAUUACACCCAUGUGUUUUCAAAUGAUUUGAUAUGAAAUUGUUUUAUAAUGGCUCUCAACUAUAUUUUGUAAAAAUAUUAUAUUUUGUUUUGAUAUCUCUGUGUGCCAGUACUUUGUGCUGACCCCCUCCUCUCUCCAACCUCUCAGGUUUAGAGGCCCAGUCUAGGGGUCAAGAGAAUCAGUAGAUCAUUCAGACAGAGUUGCAGAGAUAAGUAGUGAGCCUUCUAUAUUUCGAAAGGUCUUAUGUCCUGCAGUCCUUUUAUCUUAUAUUCAGUUUUGGGGUCUACUGGGGGCCUUGUCCCAGUUUAUAUACGGUUACUUGACUCAGUCAUUUGUUAGAGAUUUUCGCAGACAGUUGUUUAGAGGUUGAUUGAUGUUGGGGGAACCUUAUCUCCCCAUUAUUGUUUCUUUUCAUAUUUAUGACCAUGUUUCCAAAUUAUUGUGUUUCUUCCGCAUUACUUUGAUCAUAUGAAUUAUGUGCAUGAUUACCAGAUAGUUAGGGGUGUUUCGGGUCUCCAUGGUUUGAAAUGCUUGUCAAGGCCAGGCCCUGGUUCGGGUCAUAAGAAAAAUACACCUUCAUUCAUCAAAAUUGUUCAAGAACUCUCUCUAGGAUUUUAAAAUAAAAACCCAAGUAGUUCAAGAUUCAACCAUGGGUUUUCAAAACAAAUUGAAGAUUUGGAAUCUCCGCAACGUAGACUUCAAGAAGCACCUAACAUAUUCGCAUAUAGAGGUACGUAGGGUUAUCUAAAAAAUCUCGUGGGCUUAAAAAUUCAUAUUUUAAAAAUGGGGGUUUUGAAAUUAUGAAUAUAAACAUGUUUCAAGCAUCUUUAUGAUAUUGAUUUGGUCUUUAGGCCUAAUUCCAAAGUGAUUUGAUAUAUGAUAUAUGUAUAUGCAUGUAUUCCAAAAAGAUGUUAACUUGAGAGCAUGAAUGAUAUGGAAUCCCUCUCUUGAUGUGAAUCUGUUUUAAAUGUUCAUAUGAUGUAAAUUGUUUGAAAACAUCAUGAAUAGCAUGACAUGAACUAUUUUGAGAAUUGAUAUUAUUUUGACUUGAAAAUGAGAGGGCUAUUUGUAUUGAGACAUGUUGAAUACAAUGGUUGAAUGAGAAGAAUGAUGUGAUAUUGAUGGUUUGCAAGUCGGGUAUAACGAUACCCUACAGAAUAUGAUAUGUGAUUGAUUCAGAUAAAAUUUGAAUGCAUUGAUUUUUCAUGAGAUAGGUGGAUGCCCAAAGAAGGCGUUUGAGUAUAAGGGCUCAUCGCUUGAAAUCGUGUUUGCCAACAUGGGAAUUUGGUACCCUGUUUUGUGAUCCUGCGUACCUGACUUUAUGUCAUUCCCAAAUUGGGACAAUGGUCAGGAGCCCUACUUUGUGAUCUUGUGCACUAUCAUUGGGUCGAGACACCCUGCUACGUGAUCUUGUGUGUCUUUCCCUCACUUAUACUCUAAUAUCGGUGGCAACCGAGGUUUGACAGUUGAUGUAAAUGUGAUAUGUAGGGUAUUCCACCUAGCUCAGCUGGAUUGCAUUGUUGUUGAAAACAAUUACAUUACGACCAUGUGUUUUUAAGUGAUUUGAUAUGAAAUUGAUUUAUAAUGGCUCUCAACUAUAUUUUAUAAAAAUAUUAUGUUUUGUUUUGAUAUCUCUACGUACUGGUACUUUUGUAUUGACCCCCUUCCCUCCUAGGUUUGGAGGCACAGUAUAGGGGUCUAGAAAAUCAGUAGAUUUCCUCAGACAGAUUUGCAGAGUCACUUGGUGAGUCUUUUAUAUUUCGGAAGGCCUGAUAUCUGAUAGUUUCAUUUAUCAUUUAUUAGUUUUGGGUCUACUGGGGGCUUUGUCCCAGUUUUCAGAUAGAUAUUUAUUUCAGUCAUGUAGUAGAGAUUUCACAGACAGUAUAGAGAUGUUGUGUUGAGAUUAUGGGACAUUAUUCCCCAUUAUUAUUUUCAUAUGAUUCUUGACCAUGUUUCCUUUAUAUAGUGUAUCUUCCGCAUUUUUUUUAUAUAAGUCAUGUGCAUGAUUACCAGAUAGAUAAGGGGUGUUUCAGGCCUUGAUGGUUCAGAAUACUUGUCACGGCCAAGGCCUCGAUUUGGGUCAUGACAAACUUAGUAUCAAAGCACGGUUCAUGCUCCCAGGGUGUCUGAGAAAUCAUGUUGGAUAGAGUCUUAUUUAUGGGUGUGUAGUGCGCCAUACUUAUAAGCAGGAGGCUACUAGGCAUUUAGGAAUGUCUCUCUUUCUUCAUGUUCUAGUUCGUGCAAUAGAGUCAAAAUAUUCCUCUUUCAUACUCAAAUUCAUGUUAUGGUGUCGCCCAUACGAAAGUAACAGUUAUCCCAAUUCUUUCCUUACUUAGAAAUUCUUAGACAUGUCUCAUCAUUGGGCCGAUUCAAUUAUAGAAUUUUAGAGUCUAAAUGGUAUGGUUCGUUCUAAUCGAAUCAUAUAAGAUUUUUGCAAGGACUUGAGAAGAGUCUGUUAGUGCUUCAGAGUGCGUUGGUUCUAGUGUGAACCUUGAUUUUGAUGAAAUUGUGCUUUUUAGCCUGCAGUAUUAAGUGUAUUUAGUUUUUUUCAGAACUUAUGUUGCCAGUGUCACACUUCAGAGGUAAUAAGGUGUAGAAGAUUAUUGGAACUGUAUUUCCACCCGAAUAGUAGUGUGUGUUAAAGAGUUGUUGUCAUGACCUAUUGGUAAUGAAAUUAGACCAAGAAGAUGUGAAGUCACAAAGUUAGAAGUCAAGAGUGAGGAUGAUUUACACCUUUAUAGUGAUAAACUAAUUUGGUAGCUAACAGCAUGUGUGGACAGUAUGGUAGUCCAUGGAGGAAGUGUUUGACUCCGAUUUUAUUUCUAUAGAGUAAGAUGUGUAUUCUUAGUUCAUUGAAUAUUGCGUAUUAAAUCUCUAUCUCAUGAAAUAUUGUCAUCAAAGUGUUGUUGAAANNNNNNNNNNNNNNNNNNNNNNNNNGAUUCACUAGCAUAGUUGACUUGUCAUUCAUCCCAUUUUCUUGUUCAAAAUACAAAAUCAAAGUCUAGUGAAGCCGUGUGAGGCCUAUUUUGAUUCACUAGCAACUUGUUGUCCAACUUGUUGUUCUUGUGUAGGUUUAAUGUAUGUAUAGCUGAAUCUGGUUGCAUGAGAUUGGGCCGGUAAAGAGAUGAUUCGUCCUUGUGUGUUAGUUUAUUAGUAAAAGAUAGAGGAGUUAUUAGCCAAGGUGAAUUGUCCUUGCUUGAAGUAUGAAAAUGGCCAGAUUAGCUAGUAGGUUAUAAGUAUAGACUCAUGGUUGUUGUGGACUUUGAAGGUAGUGUAAAUGUACGUUUGGGUAAGUAAUUGUGAUGUGAGAAAGCAGUAUAAGUAGAUACGAUUGUACGGGGUUAUAAUAUAAGGAUAAGGUUGAUCAUGUCUAUUAUGAGGCUUUAACCCCCUUGACCCUCUUUUCAUUGGUAGUUGUAAACUAGUGCUACUUGUGAGAAGGUAUGUAGUAUAUUUUUGAGAUAUUUGGGUAGAAUGUCCUAAUUUGAUGGAUUAGUAUAUUUAUGUUAUGUUGCAUUCUUCAUUGGUGGUAGAUGAUUGAUACUAAACAUUAGGCUUGAAUUUAAAUGGUGCGAUGGUAAAUAGUGGCAAAAGUUUGAUGAUGCAUGUUUUGUGGGAUUAAGUUAGUAGGCUUGAGGUGCUGCAAUAGUACAUGCUAAUGGAUUAUGAUAAGGGAAAACUGUUAGGUCAUGAUCGAUUAUUGUGGUUAUGAAGUUCUAGUGUACUAGUGUUUUGUGAUGUUUAUUUAUAGUUUCCAAGUGAUAAUUUUGUGUAAGGUUGGGUUGUAAAUCAUGCAUAGCACUAGAUAUUAAGUUUCAAUAGUUGAUGUCCAUGAAGGUGGACGUAAAGAUUUCUUGGUUAAUGAAUACUAGUUGUAUAGAAGUGAUCUAAUAGGCUUGAACGGUGCAUGGAAUAGAUUAAGUUUAUUUGAUUUGUAGUGAUGAAUGACAUUGUAUGUGUGAUGUAGAAGUAUGCCUAGGGGUACAUGAGGUUGUGGCAUUCUUUCUAAGGCCAUUACAUAUUGCGUGUGGCUAGUAGUACCAUUGAGUUGCUAGAUGGGGAAAGACUAGUAGAUGUUAUAUGGGUUCUAAAUAGUUAGGUUAAAAAGUUUUGAUUGAUAGUGUUGAGCCUUUUAUAUGAUCUUGAUUCUCAUAGUAAUGAGGCAUAAGUUGAGAGUCGCGAUAUUAGUACGCUAUGUCGAAAGUGGUUUGGUUCAUCAAAGGCUUGGUGAUAUCUAUGUUAAGUGUUAGAAUCUAAGUUUGAGUUUUGAAGGUUGAACUGAUAGAAAUAAGUGUACGAACUAAUGUAUCCUAGAAGGUAGUCAUUCAGGUUAAGCUCUAUGAUAUGCAUGCAUUGUCAUUUUUUUCUGGCCCUAGAGUGCAGUAAGUGUAGUUCAGUUAGAAUCUGGUAAAGGAUCUCCCAAACUCUAGAUGAUGACGUGAAGCUGAGGGGGAGAUGAUAGAACGAAUGACCAAGUAAGGCUCUCAGAUUAUAGUAGUGAUGCAGUAUGAUUUAGAACAUCAGAAAGUGAGGGUGGAUCUCAACCAAUUCCUACCUCAAUUUUUUUUAGUUAUCCGGAUUCUUACUCAUGCCUUAAGAUUUAGUUCCGUGAUCAUAGUUCAUGAUUUCGGUAUACGAUAGAGAGUCACGUACUCUUCCAAUUCCAAGAUAAUGAGUUCUAUUUCAUUCAAGUAGUCGGAAUCACAUUCCUUGUGUUAUGAACUCUAGUUGAGGUCAUGCAACUCUUGACGCAUUUACUCACUCUUUAUAGUGUGCUCAGUCCUAUAUAAAGAUCUUUUCACGCUUGAGGGUCUUAUGUUUUAAUCUUUUAGUGACCCUUCCUAUGCAAUGAUAGUAGUGAUGAUGUAAAUGUUCUUGUUGAUGGAAGAUCAUAGUAUGCUUGUUUAGAUAAGGCCAUAAGUAUGAAGUAAGAUUUGGGGCCAAGUUUUUGAUACAUGUGAUGGUUAGUGAAAAAGUUUGUGUGCAUAUGUUUUAGGGUAGCACGUGGGAGUUAUAUUGACAAUAGUUUAGAAACUAUGUGAAGUAUGUAUUUAUGGGUGAUUGCCUUGGAGUUAACAUGUGGUUAUAAAUUAGUCUUGAAUGACGUUUUAGGAUUGUAGUGGAAGGUCGCAAUAUGCAUUAGCGACUUCAUAUUAAGAGUUCAAAGUAGUCAUUGAAGUGGUAAGGCAUGUUAUACUUAGGAUGUGAUCUUUAAAGGAGAUAUAGAAGAUUGCAUCAUAUGGUUUAGAAUAAUAGCGAGGUCUGGCAUGUUGUAUUUUUUUUUGUGACUUAGAGUUAGGCUUGAUCAUGGCGAAGGUAUUAAGUUAUUUUUGACAUUAGUAGAAAGAUUUGUCAAUGCUUUGACUUGAAUGAAUAUGAUAUUUAUAGGGAAUAGUAUAGUUAAGGGAUAUUCGGGAAGUGCACUAAGCCUGAAAGUAAGAAGUUGUAUUGCCAAAGGUCUGAAAAUUCGAUCCUAAUUUAGGAGUUAUAUGUCUAUAUUUCAAACUGCAGAGUAGUGUCAAUGUUGUGAUUUUCUCAGUUGGAUGUCUUGUGUAAUCCAUACCCAAGAUUCAUGGAUCCCUAUUACUGCUAGAACUUCCUUAGAUAGAGUGUUGAAGAGAUACUCCAGUUAAGUAUGAGGGUGUAGUAUAAUUCAGUCUGUAUGGCCAAUAAGUCAGUUUAGCAGUCAGAUUCGCAUGACUUGUUUUCUUUUCUUUGCAUCUAGUGUUACUAUCCAAAGUUUCAUGAAUAUGGCUAUUUCAUGAGGUAAUUCAAUCAUGUCCAUGCAAGUUACGAAUUCGCAUCAUGCAUUAAAUUUAGAUUCUAGAUGUUCAGUUAUUAUUCAAUUCGUAGGUGCCCUGUGCAUCGCCUCAGUUUUUCGAGUAUCUUAGUGAAUUGAGAAUUCAUAGAGGGACAUAGGGUCCCAAGGGGGAGAUACCCCUUUCAUCUGCAUGCAUAGAUUGUUAUUACAAGCUCCGCACCAGUUAUCAUUGCGUAUUUACUCAUACGUUCAUACGUCAGUUCAGUCAGAUAUGCAUGUAUUAGAAAUGUAUGUCCAAUAGAAAAAGUUCAGUUUAUCAGUGUAUUCAGUUCUGCGUUCAUGAGAACAACUCAGUAACAAAUCCAUGCAUCAGGUAUGCAUGUUCAUUAUGAGAAUUCAGCUUAUGAGUAGCUUCAGUCGUGUAUUCCAUGCAUCAGAUAUGUAUGUCCGGUAUAAGAAUUCAGAACAUCAGUAAUUCCAGCCAUAUGGGUGUAUUCUUUAUUAGAGGACAUGUCGUGUCCGCAUUAUUCCAUUCCUCUAAUCUUUAAUAUGUUCCUACCCAUCAUUCGAGGACGAAUGAUCCCAAGGGGGAGAUAAUGUAAUGCCCCGUAUUUUGGGCUACAAUAUAGACCAUGAUUUCGAUGCGUUGAUAAUCCCGAAGCUAUAAAUCCUAUGCCAAUAUGGCAUGUUAAUUAUUUGCGUAGUAUGUGAAUCCAUUCAAGCUUGAAUUUAGACCAUAGAGGUCCUUCAACUCAAGGACGAGUUGAAACUAUUUUGAUCGAUUAAGUUUUAGUGGACGUUGUAAUUUGUGUCAGCUUCCAUCAAACAUAACUCUCUGUAUAUAUCGAAUUAGAGAGCCUACUAUGUGUCAAAUGAUAGGUCUUUGAUUUAUCUUUCCAACGAUACCAAUUUUGCUAAAAUUCGACACCCGACCAAGAAGUUAUGACCUUUCAAAAUAGUAGGCAGCGCCUAUGUAAACAUAGGCGAUAGCAUAGGCGGCGCCUAUGUAAACAUCGGCGAUAGCAUAGGCAGAGCCUAUGUAAAGGCUUCAAGUGACUUAAACACUCCAUUUUUGGGGCAAAAUGGUCGUUUUCCAUCCUUACUUAGCCCUAAACACGAAAUUCAGUUCCCAAAGACCCCAAAAUACACCUUCAUUCAUCAAAAUUAUUCAAGAACUCUCUCUAGGGUUUCAAAAUAAAAACCCAAGUAGUUCAAGAUUCAACCAUGGUUUUCAAAAAAAAUUAAAGAUUUGGAAUCUCCGCAACGUAGGCUUCAAGAAGCACCUAUCAUAUUCGCAUAUAGAGGUACGUGGGGUUAUCUCAAAAAUCUCAUGAGCUUAAAAAUUCAUGUUUUAAAAAUGGGGGUUUUGAAAUUAUGAAUAUAAACAUGUUUCAAGCAUCUUUAUGAUAUUGAUUUGGUCUUUCGGCCUAAUUCCAAAGUGAUUUGAUAUAUGAUAGAUGUAUAUGCAUGUAUUCCAAAAAGAUGUUAACUUGAGAGCAUGAAUGAUAUGGAAUCCCUCUCUUGAUGUGAAUUUGUUUUAAAUGUUCAUAUGAUGUAAAUUGUUUGAAAACAUCUUGAAAAGCAUGACAUGAAAUGUUUUGAGAAUUGAUAUGAUUUUGACUUGAAAAUGAGAGGGCUAUUUGUGUUGAAACAUGUUUAAUACAAUGGUUGAAUGAGAAGAAUGAUGUGAUAUUGAUGGCUUACAAGUUGGUUAUAAUGAUACCCUACAGAAUAUGAUAUAUGAUUGAAUCAGAUGAAAUUUGAGUGCAUUGAUUUUUCAUGAGAUCGGUGGAUGCCCAAAAAAAGGCAUUUGAGUAUAAGGGCUCAUCGCUGGAAAUCGUGUUUGCCGACAUGGGAAUUUGGUACCUUGCUUUGUGAUCUUGCGUACCUGACUUUAUGUCAUUCCCAAAUUGGGACUAUGGUCAGGAGCCCUGCUUUGUGAUCUUGUGCACUACCAUUGGGUCGAGACACCCUGCUAUGUGAUCUUGUGUGUCUUCCCCUCACUUAUACUCUAAUCUCGGCGGCAACCGAGGUUUGACAGUUUGUGUAAUAUGAUAUGUAGGGUAUUCCACCUAACUCAGCUGCAUUUCAUUAUUGUUGAAAACAAUUACAUUACGCCCAUGUGUUUUCAUGUGAUUUGAUAUGAAAUUGAUUUAUAAAGUCUCUCAACUAUAUUUUAUAAAAACAUUAUGUUUUGUUUUGAUAUCUCUACGUACUGGUACUUUUGUAUUAACCCCCUUCCCUCCUAGGUUCAGAGGCACAGUCUAGGGGUCCAGAAAAUCAGUAGAUUUCCUCAGACAGAUUCGCAGAGUAACUUGGUGAGCCUUUUAUAUUUCAGAAGGCCUGAUAUCUGGCAGUUUCAUUUAUCAUUUAUUAGUUUUGGGUCUACUGGGGGCCUUGUCCCAGUUUUCAGAUAGAUAUUUAUUUCAGUCAUGUAGUAGAGAUUUCGCAGACGUUAUAGAUAUGUGUUGAGAUUGUGGGACAUUAUUCCCCAUUAUUGUUUUCAUAUAAUUCUUGACCAUGUUUCCGUUAUAUAGUGUAUCUUCCGCAUAUUUUUUAUAUAAGUCAUGUGCAUGAUUACCAGAUAGAUAAGGGGUGUUUCGGGCGUUGAUGGUUCGGAAUACUCAUCACGGCCAGGGCCCUAGUUUGGGUCGUGACACUACCACAUUAGUUUAUCACUAUAAAGGGUAAAUCAUCCUCAAACAUCAGUUAUUCAAUUGAAAUAUUCAUUUACACAAAAUCACCCUCACUCUGACUUCUAACUUUGUGACUUUACAUCACUAACUUCUUGGUCCAAUAUCAUUACCAAUAGGUCAUGACAACAACACUUUAACACACACUACUAUUCGGGUGGAAAUACAGUUCCAACAUUCUACUACACCUUAUUACCUCUGAAGCGUGACACUGGCAACAUAAGUUCUGAAAAGAACUAAAUAUACUUAAUACUGCAGGCUGAAAAGCACGAUUUCAUCAAAAUCAAGGUUCACACUAGAACCAACACACUCUGAAGCACUAAUGGACUCUUCUCAAGUCCUUACAAAAAUCUUAUAUGAUUCGAUCAGAACGAACCAUACCAUUUAGAAUCUAAACUUCUGUACUUGAAUCGGCCCAAUGAUGAGACAUGUCUGAGAAUGUCUGAGUAAGGAAAGAAUUGGGAUGACUGUUACUUUCUUAUGGGUGACACCAUAGCACGAAUUUAAGUAUGAAAGAGGAACAUUCUGACUCUAUUGCACGAACUAGAACAUGAAGAAAGAGAGACAUUCCUAAACGCCUUGUAGCCUCCUUCUUAUAAGUGUGGUGUGAUACACACCCAUAAACAAGACUCUACCCGACGCGAUUUCGCAGACACCUUGGGACCAUGAACCGUGCUUUGAUACCAAGUUUGUCACAACCCAAACUGGGGCCCUGGACAUGACGAGCAUCCCAAACCAUCAAGGCCCGAAACACCCCUGUCUAUCUGGUAAUCAUGCACAUAAUUCAUAUGAUAAAAGAAAUGCGGAAGAUACACAAUAUUACGGAAACAUGGUCAUAAUUCUAAUACAAUCUAUAAUGGGAAAUAAAGUCCCACAACAUCUAUCAACAUCUGAAAUCCGUCUGCGAAAUCUCUUACAUGACUAAUAGCAACAGUCUGAAAUCUGGGACAAGACCCCCAGUAGACCAAAACAUGACUAAAGAUAAAUAUCUGAAAGUAAACAGGCCUUUUGGAAUAUAGAAGGCUCACCACUGCACAAUCUGAUCUGCGAUCUGAAAUAUCUACUAUUCAUUUGGAUCCCUAGACUGAGUCUCAAAACCAAGAAGGAGGGGGAGGGGGUCAGCACAAAAGUACUAGCACGCGAAGUAAUCCAAAAUAGAGUAAUUGAAUAUAUAUAUAUAUAUAUAUAUAUAUAUAUAUAUAUAUAUAUUAAAUAAUAUAAGAGAGCUAUUUUGAAAAACAUGAAAAACACAUAGGCACCUUCGGAAAACAUGUAACCUAUUUGUAAAUUUCAAAUUCUGAUCUGUGUAUUACUUCUGAGUUAGGUGGUAUCCCCUACAAACCUGAUAUUCCACGGGCAAUAUGGAAUCCGCCAUUGAAUCAGCGGGGAAGCCUCCAACCCGAGUGUGCCGCAAGGGUUGGAGUUCCUGAAUCUGAUAUGCCACACGACACUUAAGUCAGCGAUAAUAAUAUACCCGGGCCGGCAAACCACCGUUUUGGGUAAAGAGUUGUAUGAACUCACGUCUUCUUCGGGGAAACACCUAAGCUCUCUUUAUGACCUAUUUUAGCCUUUUCUGAACAUGCAUCAUUCUGAAGUUCUAAAAUAUGCAAAUCUGAUAAUGUCUGAUUUCUGUAUUUGACUGUGUCUGUUAUGGCAUUUUCUGAGUUUGGUAUCGGCAUACCAAGACUUGAAAGUCCUAUUUCUGAGCCAUAAUGCAUUAAGCAUGAUCUUUCAUAAAAUAUAGUUUCAGACCACCCAAACAUAUAAUUUGCAUAAAAGAUUUCAUGUUCCGAAACUCAAGUCAAAACCAUGCAAAAACUUCAUCAAACAUAUGGUGUUCUAAUCAAAUAUAUGUGUUUCUAGUGCCUUUAGCAAAUCCAUGCACUCUUUCGUUACAUGCAUUAUGAACAUUAAACAUUCAUGCUAAAUUCCCUCUUUAGUGAUUUAAAACCACCUUUAGAUCAUAUAAAGAGUUCAACCAUUUCAUAUAGUGCUUUUCAAGAAUGCAUUGCAAAACAAUUCAUAUGAUAUGAAAAAUCUGAAAAUUCAUAAUAAGAGGGAAUUCACCAAAAGUCAUGCUCUCAACAAGAAUUCAUUCUUAAAUUCAUGUUUUCAUACAUACAUAUUCUCAAAUCACUUUGGGGAAGGUCAAAAGACCAAAACAAUGAUGUUAAAACAUCUAAUACGUGAAUAUAUACAUAGUUUCAAAAACCCCAUUCUAAAANNNNNNNNNNNNNNNNNNNNNNNNNNNNNNNNNNNNNNNNNNNNNNNNNNNNNNNNNNNNNNNNNNNNNNNNNNNNNNNNNNNNNNNNNNNNNNNNNNNNNNNNNNNNNNNNNNNNNNNNNNNNNNNNNNNNNNNNNNNNNNNNNNNNNNNNNNNNNNNNNNNNNNNNNNNNNNNNNNNNNNNNNNNNNNNNNNNNNNNNNNNNNNNNNNNNNNNNNNNNNNNNNNNNNNNNNNNNNNNNNNNNNNNNNNNNNNNNNNNNNNNNNNNNNNNNNNNNNNNNNNNNNNNNNNNNNNNNNNNNNNNNNNNNNNUUAUUCAAUUGAAAUAUUCAUUUACACAAAAUCACCCUCACUCUGACUUCUAACUUUGUGACUUUACAUCACUAACUUCUUGGUCCAAUAUCAUUACCAAUAGGUCAUGACAACAACACUUUAACACACACUACUAUUCGGGUGGAAAUACAGUUCCAACAUUCUACUACACCUUAUUACCUCUGAAGCGUGACACUGGCAACAUAAGUUCUGAAAAGAACUAAAUAUACUUAAUACUGCAGGCUGAAAAGCACGAUUUCAUCAAAAUCAAGGUUCACACUAGAACCAACACACUCUGAAGCACUAAUGGACUCUUCUCAAGUCCUUACAAAAAUCUUAUAUGAUUCGAUCAGAACGAACCAUACCAUUUAGAAUCUAAACUUCUGUACUUGAAUCGGCCCAAUGAUGAGACAUGUCUGAGAAUGUCUGAGUAAGGAAAGAAUUGGGAUGACUGUUACUUUCUUAUGGGUGACACCAUAGCACGAAUUUAAGUAUGAAAGAGGAACAUUCUGACUCUAUUGCACGAACUAGAACAUGAAGAAAGAGAGACAUUCCUAAACGCCUUGUAGCCUCCUUCUUAUAAGUGUGGUGUGAUACACACCCAUAAACAAGACUCUACCCGACGCGAUUUCGCAGACACCUUGGGACCAUGAACCGUGCUUUGAUACCAAGUUUGUCACAACCCAAACUGGGGCCCUGGACAUGACGAGCAUCCCAAACCAUCAAGGCCCGAAACACCCCUGUCUAUCUGGUAAUCAUGCACAUAAUUCAUAUGAUAAAAGAAAUGCGGAAGAUACACAAUAUUACGGAAACAUGGUCAUAAUUCUAAUACAAUCUAUAAUGGGAAAUAAAGUCCCACAACAUCUAUCAACAUCUGAAAUCCGUCUGCGAAAUCUCUUACAUGACUAAUAGCAACAGUCUGAAAUCUGGGACAAGACCCCCAGUAGACCAAAACAUGACUAAAGAUAAAUAUCUGAAAGUAAACAGGCCUUUUGGAAUAUAGAAGGCUCACCACUGCACAAUCUGAUCUGCGAUCUGAAAUAUCUACUAUUCAUUUGGAUCCCUAGACUGAGUCUCAAAACCAAGAAGGAGGGGGAGGGGGUCAGCACAAAAGUACUAGCACGCGAAGUAAUCCAAAAUAGAGUAAUUGAAUAUAUAUAUAUAUAUAUAUAUAUAUAUAUAUAUAUAUAUAUUAAAUAAUAUAAGAGAGCUAUUUUGAAAAACAUCUNNNNNNNNNNNNNNNNNNNNNNNNNNNNNNNNNNNNNNNNNNNNNNNNNNNNNNNNNNNNNNNNNNNNNNNNNNNNNNNNNNNNNNNNNNNNNNNNNNNNNNNNNNNNNNNNNNNNNNNNNNNNNNNNNNNNNNNNNNNNNNNNNNNNNNNNNNNNNNNNNNNNNNNNNNNNNNNNNNNNNNNNNNNNNNNNNNNNNNNNNNNNNNNNNNNNNNNNNNNNNNNNNNNNNNNNNNNNNNNNNNNNNNNNNNNNNNNNNNNNNNNNNNNNNNNNNNNNNNNNNNNNNNNNNNNNNNNNNNNNNNNNNNNNNNNNNNNNNNNNNNNNNNNNNNNNNNNNNNNNNNNNNNNNNNNNNNNNNNNNNNNNNNNNNNNNNNNNNNNNNNNNNNNNNNNNNNNNNNNNNNNNNNNNNNNNNNNNNNNNNNNNNNNNNNNNNNNNNNNNNNNNNNNNNNNNNNNNNNNNNNNNNNNNNNNNNNNNNNNNNNNNNNNNNNNNNNNNNNNNNNNNNNNNNNNNNNNNNNNNNNNNNNNNNNNNNNNNNNNNNNNNNNNNNNNNNNNNNNNNNNNNNNNNNNNNNNNNNNNNNNNNNNNNNNNNNNNNNNNNNNNNNNNNNNNNNNNNNNNNNNNNNNNNNNNNNNNNNNNNNNNNNNNNNNNNNNNNNNNNNNNNNNNNNNNNNNNNNNNNNNNNNNNNNNNNNNNNNNNNNNNNNNNNNNNNNNNNNNNNNNNNNNNNNNNNNNNNNNNNNNNNNNNNNNNNNNNNNNNNNNNNNNNNNNNNNNNNNNNNNNNNNNNNNNNNNNNNNNNNNNNNNNNNNNNNNNNNNNNNNNNNNNNNNNNNNNNNNNNNNNNNNNNNNNNNNNNNNNNNNNNNNNNNNNNNNNNNNNNNNNNNNNNNNNNNNNNNNNNNNNNNNNNNNNNNNNNNNNNNNNAUUCAUAUUCUCAAAUCACUUUGGGGAAGGUCAAAACACCAAAACAAUGAUGUUAAAACAUUUAAUACAUGAAUAUAUACAUAGAUUCAAAAAACCCAUUCUAAAACAUGAUUUUUUAAUGCCCAUGAGAAUUUAGGAAAACCCCGCGUACCUCUAUAUGCGAAGAUGAUAGGUGCUUCUUGAAGCCUAGGUUCUGGGGAUUCCAAAUAUGCCAUUAUUUUCAAAAACCCACGGUUGAUUCUUGAGUUGCUUGGGUUUUUAUUUUGAAACCCUAAGGAGAGUUCUUGAGCAAUUUUGUUGAAUGAAGGUGUAUUUUGGGUCUUUGGGAACUGAAUUUCGUGUUUAUGGCUAAAUAAGGGUGGGAAAAGGACCAUUUUGCCCCAAAAAAUGGAGUGUUUAAGCCACUUGAAACGAUUACAUAGGCACCGCCUAUGCUAUCACCUACCUAUGUUUUCCACUGGCCAUGUGCGAUUGGUUAGGCGACGCAUACUACUUUGAAAGGCCAUAACUUCUUGCUCGGGUGUCGAAUUUUAGCAAAAUUGGUAUCGUUGGAAAGAUAACUCAAAAACCUAUGAUUUUACACAUAGUAGGCUCUCUAAUUCGACAUAUACAAAGAGUCAUGGUCGAUAUAAGUUGACACAAAUUAUAAUGUCCACUUAAACUUAAUCGAUCGAAGUAGUUUUCAACUCGUCCUUAAGUUGAAGGACCUCUAUAGUGUAAAUUCAUGCUCAAAUAGAUUCACAUACUACAUAAACAUGCCAAAUUGGAAUAGGAUUUAUGGCUUUGGGAUUAUCGACGCAUCGGAAUCAUGGUCUAUAUUCUAGCUCGAAAUAUGGGGUGUUACAUAAUUAUAGACUCAUGGUUGUUUGUGGAAUUUGAAGGUAGUCUAAAUGUACGCUUGGGUAAGUAAGUGUGAUGUGAGAAAGCUGUAUAAGUAGAUAAGAUUGUAUGGGGUUAUAAUAUAAGACUAGUACUACUUGUGAGAAGGUAUGUAGUAGAUUUUCGAGGUAUUUGGAUGGAAUGCCCCAAUUUGAUGGACUAGUAUAUUAUGUUGCCUUCUUCAUUGGUGGUAGAUGAUUGAUGCUAGACUAUUGGCUUGAAUUUAAUUUAGGAUGUGGAUGUAAGAAUAGGGGCCUAAGAUUAAUGAUGAAUGUUUUGUGAGAAUUGUGUGUCAGGUUGGGUUGUAAAUCAUGCUUAGCACUAGACAUUAAGUUUGAACAGUUGAUGUCCAUAAAGGUGGAUGUGAAGAUUUCUUGGUUAAUGAUACUAGUUAUAUGGAAGUGAUCUAAUAGGCUUGAAUGAUGUAUGCAAUAGAUUAAGUUUAUUUGAUUAGUAACAAUGUAUGAUGUUGUAUGUAUGAGGUAGAAGUAUGGCCAAGGUGAUAUGGAGUUGCGGCAUUUUCUAAGACUAUUACCUGUUGCGUGUGGCUAGUAGACAUAGUAGCACCAUUGAGUUGCUAGGUGGAGAAAGACUAGUAGUAUGAUUCAUCAAAGGCUUGGUGAUAUCCAUGUUAAGUGUUAUAAUUGAAGUUUGAAUUUUUGAAGGUUGAACCGACAGAAAUAAGAGUUGAAGCACUACAGGGUGUGCACUCCGACUAUGAGAAUACUCAUGAGAGAUUCAAAGUUUGUAAGUGUUCAAGUAUUAUGUGAUUGACUAUUGAGGCUAUAGAAAGAUAGAGUAUGUCUCAGAAGGUAUGAUUAGCCGUGAGUUUUCCCCUUCUAGGUGUAGCCAUUCGGGUUAAGUUCUAUUAAAUUGCAUGUAUUGUCAUAUUCCCGACCCCAGAGUGCAGUGAGUGUAGUUCAGUUUAGAGUCUAGUAAGGGAUCUCUCAAUCUUAAGAUGAUGAUUCCCAGAAUUAUUUUUUUCCUUCAGUUUUCCACUCUAAUGUUUCUUUUCACAGUGCACUGUUUUGCUUCCACUGAUGAGGAAGCAGCUGCACUUGUCAAAUGGAAAGCAACUUUCCAUAACAAGAAUAAUUCCUUAUUGGCUUCAUGGACACUAAGUACUGAUGCAUGCAGGGACGAUUGGUACGGAAUAAUAUGCUUUAAUGGUCGGAUAAACAGGUUGAAUAUUUCAAAUGUUGGUGUUACUGGUACACUCUAUGAUUUUCCAUUUUAAUCUCUCCCUUUUCUUGAAUACGUUGAUCUUAGCAUGAACCAACUCUUUGGUCCCAUUCCACCUGAACUAGGAAAGCUCACUAAUCUUGUCCAUCUUAACUUGUCCAACAAUCAGAUUUCAGGUUCCAUUCCUUUUAAAGUAGGGAAGAUGAAGUCACUUGAGGUUUUAACCUUAGGGAGUAACAAUCUUUCUGGCCCAGUUCCAACUUCUCUAGGUGAUUUAACUAGGCACAAGAUAUUGUACCUUUAUUCUAAUCAACUUUCUGGUCCCAUUCCUAGUGAGUUGGAGAAUUUGGAAAACCUCACUGAUUUGGACUUGUCCGCUAAUCAGCUUAGUGGUUCAAUUCCAAUUACUCUAGGUGACUUAACCGAGCUCAAGAUAUUGAACCAUGGUUUGAACAAUCUUUCUGGUCCCAUUCUAAGUGAGUUGGGGAAUUUGAAAAACCUCACCGCUUUGUCAUUGUCUUAUAAUCAGCUUAGUGGUUCAAUUCCAAUUACUCUAGGUGACUUAACCGAGCUCAAGAUAUUGUAUGUUUAUUCUAAUCAACAUUCUGGUCCCAUACCUAGUAAGUUGGAUAAUUUGGAAAACCUCACCAAUUUGGAUUUGUCUCAUAAUCAGCUUAGUGGUUCAAUUCCAAUUACUCUAGGUGACUUAACCGAGCUCAAGAUAUUGUACCUUUUUUCUAAUCAACUUUCUGGACCCAUUCCUAGUGAGUUGGGGAGUUUGAAAAACCUCACCGAUUUGUACUUGUCCGCUAAUCAGCUUAGUGGUUCAAUUCCAAUUACUCUAGGUGACUUAACCGAGCUCAAGAUAUUGUCCCUUUUUUCUAAUCAACUUUCUGGUCCCAUUCUUAGUGAGUUGGGGAAUUUGCAAAACCUUACCGAUUUGGACUUGUCCGCUAAUAAGCUUAGUGGUUCAAUCCCAAUUACUCUAGGUGACUUAACCGAGCUCAAGAUAUUGUACCUUUUUUCUAAUCAACUUUCUGGUCCCAUUCCUAGUGAGUGGGGGAUUUGAAAAACCUCACCGAUUUGAGAUUGUCUUAUAAUCAGCUUAGUGGUUCAAUUCUAAUUACUAUAGGUGACUUAACCGAGCUCAAAAUUCUGUACCUUGGUUUGAACAAUCUUUCUGGUCCCAUUCCUAGUGAGUUGGGGAAGUUAAAACACCUCACUAAUUUGGAAUUGUCCGCUAAUCAGCUUAGUGGUUCAAUCCCAAUUACGCUAGGUGACUUAACCGAACUCAAGAUACUGUCCCUUUUUUAUAAUCAACUUUCUGGUCCCAUUCCUAGUGAGUUGGGGAAUUUGAGAAACCUCACUUCUUUGUCAUUGUCUUAUAAUCAGCUUAGUGGUUCAAUCCCAAUUACUCUCGGGGACUUAACUGCGCUUAACAUUUUGUACCUUCAUUCUAAUCAACUUUCUGGUCCCAUUCUUAUUGAGUUGGGGAAUUUGAAACACCUCACCGGUUUGUCAUUGUCUAAUAAUCAGCUUAGUGGUUCAAUUCCAAUUACUCUAGGUGACUUAACCGAGCUCAAGAUAUUGUCCCUUUUUUCUAAUCAACUUUCUGGUCCCAUUCCUAGUGAGUUGUGGAAUUUGAAAAACCUCACCGAUAUGGAAUUGUCCACUAAUCAGCUUUGUGGUUCAAUCCCAAUUACUCUAGGUGACUUAACCGAGCUCAAGAUAUUGUGCCUUUAUUCUAAUCAACUUUCUGGUCCCAUUCCUAGUGAGUUGUGGAAUUUGAAAAACCUCACCGAUUUGAAAUUGUCCGCUAAUCAGCUUUGUGGUUCAAUCCCAAUUACUCUAGGUGACUUAACCGAGCUCAAGAUAUUGCGCCUUUAUUCUAAUCAACUUUCUGGUCCCAUUCCUAGUGAAUUGGGAAAAUGCAACAAAUUGACUGAUUUGCAAAUAGCGAUAAACAUAAUUGGAGGUAGCAUACCACCAGAGAUUGGAAAUGUCAAAGGGCUUCUAGGACUUGAUCUUUCAUCGAAUCAUUUGAUCGGGCAGAUUCCAAAGGAAUUUGGAAAAUUAACCUCUCUGAUUAGGCUUUUGGUGCAAAACAACAGUAUUUCAGGCAAUAUACCUGUCGAAGUUGUAUCACUGGCAAAAUUAGAGUCCCUCGAUCUAUCUGAUAACAGAUUGAAUGGAUCGAUCCCAACAUGUAUAGCAGAUUUCGUGCACUUGUUUCAAUUGAACCUGAGCAAUAACAAAUUUGGCGAAAACAUUCCAAUGGAGAUCCAAUGGAGAUAGGGAGGAUGACUCAGCUUAAUGUACUUGAUUUGAGUCAUAAUCUUCUGGUUGGAGAUAUUCCCCCUCAGUUAGCUAAUUUGAAGGUGUUGGUAGACUUAAAUCUUUCCCACAACGGCCUGUCCGGGCACAUUCCCGAAGAAGUUGAAAGUAUGACUGGUUUGCAGGUUGUUUUUCUGUCAUACAAUGAGUUGGAAGGUCCAAUCCCUAAUAAUAAAGCUUUUAUUACUGCUUCAUUACAAGGUAAUAAAGGUCUUUGCGGCAAUCUAACAGGAUUCCAGCCCUGUGAAAGGCCAUCUACUGUGGUGAAGAAGCACUCAAUUGUGAAGCGACGACAUAAACUCAUUCUCAUCACUCUACUUCCUGUUAUGGGAGGACUAGUACUACUCUAUGCUUUCCUUGGUGUGCUGUUUAUGUAUGAUAGAAGAAGAAGGAGAGCUAAAGACGAUGGAAGACGGAAUGAUGAUGGUUGGCUUUCGAUAUCCAUGUUAGAUGGGAAGGCAUUGUACAGGGACAUCUUAAACGCUACGGAGGAGUUUGAUGCAACAUUUUGCAUUGGGCAAGGAGGGCAUGGAAGCGUUUACAAGGUCAACCUCCCAUCAUUAGGGACUAUAGCAGUGAAGAGACUUCACUCUUCAUUUGAGAUCAAUACACAUCCCAAAAGCUUCGUGAAUGAAGUAAGGGCAUUGACUGGGAUUAAGCACCGGAACAUUGUGAACCACUACGGCUAUUGUUCGUAUGCACAACACUCGUUCUUGGUUUACGAGUAUGCGGAGAGGGGUAGUUUGUCUAGUAUUUUAAGCAAUGAAGUUGAGUCCAAGAAACUGAAUUGGCUUAAAAGGGUGAAUAGCAUCAAAGGUGUUGCGUUUGCUUUAUCUUUCAUGCACUAGGAUUGCUCACCACCUAUUGUUCAUCGAGACAUAUCAAGCAGUAAUGUUUUGCUUGAUUCUGAGUACGAAGCUCGUGUAUCAGAUUUUGGCAUAGCUAAGCUUCUCACGCCAGACUCAUCCAACUUCACCGCGCUUGCAGGCACAUAUGGCUACGUUGCACCUGGUAGGGUUUAACUUUAAUUCUAUCCUUUUUUUCAAACACACUUAAAAUGUUCUUAAUCUGAUUUGCGCGUUUAAAUCGUGUUGUUUCAGAGCUUGCAUGUACAAUGAAGGUUACGCAAAUGUGUGAUGUCUAUAGCUUUGGAGUAUUAGCAUUGGAGAUAAUCAAAGGAAAGCAUCUUGAUGAGUACAUUACUGUGCUAGCAAAUUCAUCUACUAUGGAUCAUCAGGUGCAAAUUCAUCUAGAUUUUCCGUAUCCUGAAAUGCUAGCAAGCUCUUAUUUGGUUGAAACUCCAAAAUCAAGGCCAACAAUGGAAUUCAUCUCUCAUAAGUUAUCAUCAAUGGAUGCUUACGCCCACCCAUUAUUCCUGUAAGGCGAGCUUUCUAAUUCCGUAAAAGUGCCUUUGAAUGAAAAUGUAUGUAUAGCUUUUGACCCACGACAAAAUUAUUACUGGGUUUAGUUUUUUUGUAUUGUUAGGGUGCUUGUGUGGUUUAUUGUAUUAGUGUGUACAAUUUUGAAGGUAAUUGUUCCUUGUGCCAAAAAGUAAACAAAAAAAACAAGCUUCAUGUUUUCUAAGUACUGAUGUUUUAUAGAGGAUUUACUAGUCUGCAUCGUAUAGUAAUUUGAAGGGGAGCCUUGGAGUAACUGGUAAAGUUGCUGCCAUGUGACCAGGAAGUCACGGGUUCAAGCCUUGGAAACAGCCUCUAUAUGGCAGAAAUGCAAGGUAAGGCUGCGUACGAUACACCCUUGUGACGGUAGCUUUAGUGCACCGGGCUGCCCCUUUUUUUUAUGAUCAAAAGAAAGCAUCAGAUGGAAUAUAUUACUUUGCUAGCGAAUUCCUUUUAUGUGAAUAUGCCUUUCAAGUUGAUCGGACUCUCCAAAUUUGUUGUUGCACCCGUGUCGGAUCCUUCAAAAAUAUAAUACUUUUGAAGGAUCCAACACACACCCAUCAAAAAUUUUGAAGACUCCGAGCAGCAUAGCUUGUAACAGAUCAAGCAUUCGCACUAAAGCUUCCGCUAUGUGCAGGCCAAGCGGGUACUCGAUGUUCCAACAAAACAAGCAUAGCAUGCAUCCAUAUGUCUAUAAAUAUAGCAAUCCAUAAUCAAAAUACUACAAAGACGUCCAAGUCUAGCUCAAGAACUUUUUCCCGAGGGAGCUCGGAGUCUUGAUGUAACAACUCAAUCCCUCAUGUCGCGGCUGGCUAAUUUACUCAGAAGCAACAUUAUUUUUACCCUCGUUCAUGCUUCUUUUUCUCUUUUGCAUCGAAUUAGAGGAGCCUUUCACGCGCACUUCCUUUUUCUGUCCAUGACGUGUUGAAGCACGAGCAAUUUCAUUUAAUGUCAUUUCAUCAUCAUUGUCGCUCAUCACAUGAACAGACAUAGUUUCUGGUUUGUCUGCAAGAAAAUAACGUAACAUAUUAAGUUUUCCCCUUUUAAAUUGAUGUAAGAAACUCAUCUGUCCAAUAAAAGUGUGAUAUCCGCGCCAAUAUAAGUCACACAACAACAACAACGUACCAAGUAUAAUCCUACAAGUGAGACCUGAGAGGGGUAGGAUAUAUGCAAACGUUACCUAUACCAUUACGGGGUAGAGAGGCUGUUUAAGAUAGGCUCAAAAAAAAAAAAGAAAAAUGAAUCAUGUUUGCAUGAAAACAUGACAAUAUCCUAAUAAAAGGGAAACCAAGACAGUCGAGAAAGGAAAAAAAUUAACUACAGCAAAGUGGCUAGAUCGACACAGCUAAAAAACAUGUAACAGUGGACGAAGUGGAUGUCUAGAAGAUACGAUGCAAGUGUGUCUCACAGUCGCUUUCUACUUGAACGUCUAGUGUUUCAUUUUUCAUUUUUCGUGUGUGUCUGUGUGGUUGUGGCGGUGUUAUUUUUAGUGUAUCGUGAAGAAUAAUCAGAAAAUAUCAUACCUAUAACCGUUUAACAGAACAACAGUAACUACUAUUCCACAAUCCAAAGAGUUGAGGUCGGCUAUAUGAAUCCUAAUGAAAUAUCCACAUAAUAUAGACAGAUAGUAAUAACAACAAAGUCGUCUAAAUCACAAAACCGUUAUACCUUUGAGUCUCGAUUGACCACUGCUAUUUCCGGUUGAAGUGCCAACACGUUUUGGAUCAGCAAAAAGCCCAAUUGCCCGAUCUUCGCCUUGAGAAGAUACCACGUUGUUAUGCUUCAAGUUAACUCCAGUUGCACCAGGAUCUUGACGGGCUGUUUCCACCUCCAAAUUUAUAGCCAAUUUUCACGAAACACACACGUCAACACAAAAAAAUCAAGAUCUACCAUUAACUAUACAUUAAACGAUUCUUAACAAGUUGUAAGGAGCAAAAAAAAAACAAAACAAAUCGAACCUAAAUUCACAUAACAGCAAUACCUUCAUCAAUUUUUCUCUUCGUUUCCUUCAAACGGGAAAUUCUAUCUCUAAAGUCGAUGAUUUUCUUCUCGUAGCGAGCCUCUUUAUCACUUUUUACCUUCUUUUGCAUUUCAAUUCUGUCAAAUAGCAAAUCGUUUGUUAUUUUGUACUCCUUGUAGUCCUCUUCUAUUAUUUUAUUGUACUUUUUGUGGAUACUUCUUUUUUCUUCCUCUAUACCUUUUUCACAAUCCAUUAGAAUUUUUCGCGCAAAAGGGAAGUCUUUCUCUUCAACCAUUUGUUUUUCCUACAUGAUUGAAAGUAAUGCCCGGAUCGACAACAUCUUCAAUGGAACAGCAAAAAAAUGCGGUGCAGCUAACUGUGAAAAAAGUUGAUCUUUUAUAGUUGAAAUGGCGGCGUGAAGCGGAAAAAGAGAGUAAUACAGGGAGGAUUACGCAGAUAAAUUCAAAAGAGCGAAACAUGAAAACACAUAUCUAAGAACAAUAAUUUGUACUAUUUGGUCAAGAUUUAAAGAUUACAAGAAUCUUUGAUACUUUUACAUUAAAGAUUAGUCAAACACCUCAGCUUUUAAAGUAAAAACAUUAAAAGUACAUUUGGUUUCUGCAAAAGAAUGAAUGUAGUUGUAAUCCUUGUAAUGUACAUAGAUAAAUAGUAAUUAUCAGAUAUCCUUUUUUGCUCUUUCCAUACUAAGAUAUCGAUUCAUUCCUUCGUACCUUUAUUACAUGGUAUCGGAGUCAUUGUUUGAGUUGGUAUUUUGUCUUUGCCGGAGUUCAUUAUGACUUCGCUGAGCACAUUUGAUUAGUUGCAGACUGUAGUUAGAAUUUAAAAGUUCUUUAUGCAGACAUUAUAUGGAAAAACCAUAUGCGCGAUCAAUGGCAACUUCAACUUAGCACUUUAGCAGCAGUUGUAUCAUGUUGCUGUAUAUGGAAAAGUCGUGCGUAAGAGUUGUAUCAGUGCAUAUUAUACCAAUGUUGAUAGAUACUUUUCUUCAAUACAGUAGUUAGGUUUCGUUACUUUCUGAAACUAUACUACAUUUCAUGAAUAAAGUGUAAAUAUUUAAAUAACUUAACUAUAGUAAAGUGACAAAAAGUUGAGAUGACAAAUAUUUACCUCGUUAGGAGAUUAGUGGAGCAGUUUAGGGAGAGGAAGAAGGACUUGCACAUGCAUGGUGUUCAUUAUUCUUGAGAAGGAGUAUGACAAAGUCCUUAGGGAGAUUCUGUGGAGGUGCUUGGAGGCUAGAGGGGUGCCCGUGACAUACAUUAGGUUGAUUUAGGACAUGUACGACGGCGCGAAGGCUCGUGUGAGAAUGGUAGAGGGAGAUCAGAGCACUUUCUUGUUCUGACAGUGUUGCAACAGGGUAGAUGAUGGUUGUUUUGACGCUGCAAAGUGGAGGUGCCUUGGUGUAUGGUGUUUGAUAAUGAUAUUGUACUGAUUGACGAGACUCGGGAAGGAGUUAAUGAUAAGUUGGAGGUUUGGAGACAGACCCUUGAGUGUAAAGGAUUUAGGUUGAGCAGUACCAAGAUGGAGUACUUGAAAUGUAAGUUUAGUGAUCUGUAAAAUGACCCUAAUGUGGUAAUGAAGCUGGAUUCUCAGACCAUUCAGAAGAGAGAGAGAGAGAGAGUUUCAAGUAUCUUGGGUCUAUGAUUCUGGAAAAUGGUGAGAUUACCGAGGAUGUCAGACACCGUAUUGGAGCAGGGCGGUUGAAAUUGAGGCUCGCUUCGGGAGUCUUGUGUGAUAAGAAGGUGCCUCCUAAGCUUAAAGGUAAGAUCUACAAAGUGACAGUUUGACCGGCUAUGUUGUAUGGAGGAGAGUGUUAGCCAAUUAAGAACUCCCACAUCCAAAAGUUGAAGGUGGCGAAAAUGAGGACGUUGAGAUGGAUGUCUGGGCUUACCAAGAGGGAUAGAGUUAGAUAUGAGAUUAUUCGGAGAAGGUGGGAGUGGUUUCAGUGGAGGACAAGAUGAGGGAAGUGAGGUUGCGAUGGUUCAGACAUGUGAUGAGGAGGUGCACGGAUGCUCUAGUGCGGAGGUAUGAGAGGCUAGAUAUGGAUGGUUUUAGGAGUGGUAGAGGCAGGGCAAGGAAAUAUUAGAGGGAGGUGAUUAGGCAUGAUGUGGAGCAGUUACAGCUUACAGAGGACAUAACCCUUGAUAGGAAGGGGUGGAGGACGCGGAUUAGGGUAGAGGUUAGUAGGUAGGAGUACGUCGAUUUACAAUUUAAAUGUAUUUUUUUCUUCUUUCUCGUGGCCACGACUCAUUCUCUAUGUGUUCAACUUUUAUUCUAGGCUAUUCAAACACAAAAUCAUUCUUUAGCUUUAACGACUGUUAUACGAAUACCAUGACUCAACAAUAUGUGUAUCGAGCAAACAUGGUUUCGAAUAGGUGGUCUAAUAAUGUGACGACACAUAACGUGCCUCCAUCGUUCAAUUGUACUUAAACCAUUCUAUAAAUAUAGCGAUCCAUAAUCAAGAUACUACAUCGAAGUCCAACAGAUGAACGAUAAGUAGCUAAUUGUUCCUACUAGCAAAGCAAGUCUAGUAUAAAAACUUUUUGCCAAGGGAGCUCGAAGUCUGGUGCAACAACUCGACCCCUCAUCUUGAGCAUCUGUGUACAUAGAGAUGAGCAGACAGACUCCGCGGCAACUGGAGCUUCAUUUGCGGAUACCAACACCAACACAGAACAUCUGGUCUUUCUUGCUAUUGUAAAUCCUACAUAUUUGGCGAGAGUAUCGAAUAGCCAGUGUCUUGCAUAUGCAAAGAUCUUCCGGUCCAACCUCCGAAAUUGUUCUCUUGAGCUUGUUUUCGGGAUAAUCACGACACAGAAACACCCCUAAAGCAGUAAUCCUGAAAGAAAAAAACAGGCAAAAAGGGAUUACAAAGUGAGUAAUCGAAUGAACAUACUUGACCUUACCCCUACCGUAGAGGUAGAAGACUAUUUCUGAUAGACCGUCACAAAUUUUCUUUUCACAAACUAAGGAAAAAAAACUAUCGAGAGGUUGAUAUAUACCUUUUUUUGUCGAUCUUACUCAUCGAGGAGAAUUUGUUUGAAGAAAUUUGUUGACGGUACAAAGCACAUACAGCAUUCAAACAAAGCUCAUCAUCCAUAUCAAAUGCAGUACAAAAAUCGUCUUCAGACGACCAUUCUAUACCCGACCUAUUCCCAGGAUUAACCAAUUCUGGAAUAACUUAUUUUAUUUGACCCUCAUUCAUGCUUCUUUUUCUCUUCCGCAACGAAUUAGAGGAGCCUUUUCCGUGCACUUCCUUUUUCUGUUUGCAAAUUUUUGAAGCACGAGCGAUUUCAGUUAACAUCAGUUCAUCAUCACUGUUGUUCAUUACACGAACAGGCGUAGUUUCUGGUUCGUCUGAUGCUUCACUCAAGACUAUUGCUUUACAUGCCAAUGGAUCUGCAAGAAGAUUAUAUGCGAUAACAUCUUAGAUUUUCCUCUUUUAAGCUGAUAUACGAAACUUAUCUGUCCAAUAAAGUAUGAUAGCCGCCAAUAUAAGUCACAUAACAACAACUUACCAAGUAUAAUCCUCAUGUACGCAGACCUUACCUCUAUCUUUUGCGCUAGAGAGGCUGUUUUAGAUAGUCCAGCGGCUCAAAAGAAAUAAAAAUGAAUCACGUUUGCAUGAAAACACGACAAUAACCUAGUAGGAUACAAAGCAACUAAAAGGGGAAACGAAGACAGACGAGAAAGGAAAAAACUAACGGCAGCAAAGUGGCUAGAUGGACUCAGUGUGUAACAGUGGAUGAAGUGGACGUAGCAAGUGUAUGUCGGAAUUGCUUUCUACUCGAGCAUCUAGUGUUUCUUUAUUUCAUUUUUCAUGUGUGUCUGCGUGUCUGCUUCUGUGCUUUACUCUGCUUUAGUGCUUUACUAUGUGUUUGUGUGGUAUCUCGUGCCUUGAGCCGGGGGUCUUUCGGAAACAGCCUUUCUACUUCAUCAGAGGUAGAGGUAUGGACUGCGUACAUCUUACCCCCCCAGACCCCACUAGGUGGGAAUACACUGGGUUUGUUGUUGUUGAUGUGUGUCGGCGUGGUUGUGGUGUCAUCAGAAAAUAUCAUACCUAUAACCGUUUAACAGAACAACACUAACUCCUAUACCUCAAUCCAACGAGUUGAGGUCGGCUAUAUGAAUCCUAAUAAAUAUCCACAUAAUACAAACAGAUUGUAACAACAACAAGUCGCCUAAAUCACAAAACCGCUAUACCUUUGAGUUUCGAUUGACCACUGCUGUUGAGGUGCCAACAAGUUUCGGAUCAUCAAUAACCACGAUUGCCCGAUCUUCUCCCUGAGUAGAUUCCUCGUUGUUAACGCCAUUCGCACCAGUAGCUUGAAUGCCCAUUUCCACCUCCAAAUCUAUAGCACAUUUUCAGAAAACAAGCAAAUUUUCAGAAAACACACACAUCAACAUAAAGAAUUUUCCAAAUUAGUUAAAUAAUUGAACGCGACAAAUAACUAAAACAGGUUUUGCAAAUGCAGUAAAAUCAAGAUAUACUAUCAACACACAUUAUGAAACGUUACGUAACAAUACAUAAAAGGGAAGCCCGGAGAACUAAAGAUACCGCUAUGCGCGGUGUCACCACAAGGGUGUAUCGUAUGCAGCCUUACUUUGCAUUUCUACCGGAGGCUGUUUCCAAGGCUUGAACCCGUGAUCUCCUGGUCACAUGACAACAACUUUACCAGUUACGCCUCACAUGACAACAACUUUACCAGUUACGCCAAGACAUAAUAACAACAAUACCUUCAUCAUUUUUUCUCUCAUUUUCUACCAUAACAGAAACUUCAUCCCUCAACCCUUUCAAUAUCUCCGCGUAGCAAUCCACGCUUUCACUUGUCACGUUCUCUAUCUCUUCGAUUCUCGUAGACAACAAAUUGUUGUCGCCAUUAUAGUAUUUCAGAUGCUCUUCGAUUAGCCUAUUAUAAGUUUUUUCCAUAUUCCUGUUUCUUUCCUCGAUUUUUUUUUCACAUUUCAUUAGAUAUCUUUGCACAAAAGAGUAGUGUUCUUCUUUAACAAUUAGUUUUUCCUUAAAGAUCGCAAGUGCUUCUACGAUCGAUAUCCUCUUCGACGAAGAAUCCAUUAUCGAAAAUGUGAUAAUAAUGAGAUUUUCUUGAUAUAGCAAAAAAGUGAGAUGCUGUUAAAACUGCGAAAAAUCGCAUCGGCUAACUCUGUGCCAGUAGCCGCGGUAAUGAAGAGGAUGCAAGCGUUAUCCGGAAUGAUUGGGCGUAAAGCAUCUUUCACAACCAUUUAAAUGGUUCAAUUGAACCUGAGCUAUAACAAAUUUGGCAAAAACAUUCCAAUGGAGAUCCAAUGGAGAUAGGGAGGAUGACUCAGCUUAAUGUACUUGAUUUGAGUCAUAAUCUUAUGGUUGGAGAUAUUUCCCCUCAGUUAGCUAAUUUGAAGGUGUUGGUAGACUUAAAUCUUUCCCACAACGGCCUGUCCGGGCACAUUCCCGAAGAAGUUGAAAGUAUGACUGGUUUGCAGGUUGUUUUUCUGUCAUACAAUGAGUUGGAAGGUCCAAUCCCUAAUAAUAAAGCUUUUAUUACUGCUUCAUUACAAGGUAAUAAACGUCUUUGCGGCAAUCUAACAGGAUUCCAGCCCUGUGAAAGGCCAUCGAAGCACUCAAUUGUGAAGCGACGACAUAAACUCAUCCUCAUCAUUCUGCUUCCUGUUAUGGGAGGACUAGUACUACUCUAUGCUUUCCUUGGUGUGCUGUUUAUGUAUGAUAGAAGAAGAAGGAGAGCUAAAGACGAUGGAAGACGGAAUGAUGAUGGUUGGCUUUCGAUAUCCAUGUUAGAUGGGAAGGCAUUGUACAGGGACAUCUUAAAUGCCACGGAGGAGUUUGAUUCAACAUUUUUCAUCGGGAAAGGAGGGCAUGGAAGCGUUUACAAGGUCAACCUCCCAUCAUUAGGGACAAUAGCUCUGAAGAGACUUCACUCUUCAUUUGAGAUCAAUACACAUCCCAAAAGCUUCAUGAAUGAAGUAAGGGAAUUGACUGGGAUUAAGCACCGGAACAUUGUGAACCUCUACGGCUAUUGUUCGCAUGCACAAUACUUGUUCUUGGUUUACGAGUAUGCGGAGAGGGGGAGUUUGUCUAGUAUUUUAAUCAAUGAAGUUGAGUCCAAGAAAAUGGAUUGGCUUAAAAGGGUGAAUAGCAUCAAAGGUGUUGGGUUUGCUUUAUCUUACAUGUACCAGGAUUGCUCACCACCUAUUGUUCAUUGAGACAUAUCAAGCAGUAAUGUUUUGCUUGAUUCUGAGUACGAAGCUCGUGUUUCAGAUUUUGGCAUAGCUAAGCUUCUCAAGCCAGACUCAUCCAACUUCACCGCGCUUGCAGGCACAUAUGGCUACGUUGCACCUGGUAGGGUCUAACUUUAAUUUUAUCCUUUUUUUCAAACACACUUAAAAUGUUCUUAAUCUGCUUUGCCCGUUUAAAUCGUGUUGUUUCAGAGCUUGCAUAUACAAUGAAGGUUAUGCAAAUGUGUGAUGUCUAUAGCUUUGGAGUAUUAGCAUUGGAGAUAAUCAAAGGAAAGCAUCUUGGUGAGUACAUUACUGUGCUAGCAAAUUCAUCUACUAUGGAUCAUCAUGUUCAACUUAGUGAUUUUCUAGAUGAAUGCCUUCCGUACCAGAAGAUAGAGUAAAUGAACUUUUGGUUUUUAUCAUCAAGCUAGCAAGAUCUUGUUUGGUUGAAACUCCAAAAUCAAGGCCAACAAUGCAAUUCAUCUCUCAUAAGUUAUCAUCAAUGGAUGCUUACGCCCACCCAUUCCUGUAAGGCGAGCUUUCUAAUUCCGUAAAAGUGUCUUUGAAUGAAAAUAUAUGUAUAGCUUUUGACCCAUGACAAAUUUAUUACCGGGUCUAGUAUUUUUGUAUUGUUAGGGUGAUUGUGUGGUUUAUUGAAUUAGUGCGUACAAUUUUGAAGGUAAUUGUUCCUCGUCUAAGUACUGAUGUUAUAUAGAGGAUUUACUAGUCUGCAUCGUAUAGUAAUUUGAAGGGGAGCCUUGGCGUAACUGGUAAAGUUGCUGCCAUGUGACCAGGAGGUCUAUCGGAAACAACCUCUCUACUUCUUCGGAAGUAGCGGUAUGGAUUGCGUACAUCUUACCCUCCCCAGACCCCACUUUGUGGGAAUACACUGGGUUUGAUGUUGUUGUUAAGCUAGCAAGAUCUUGUUUGAUUGGAACUCCAAAAUCGAUGCCAACAAUGCUCUUCAUCUCUCACAGGUCAUCGAACUUCAACGGAUCCACGUCCAUCUACUCAUGUAAGACGAGCUUUGUAAUCUCUGAGAUGUAAGGUGUCUUUGUAUGAAAUGAAUAACCAUUGAAAGUUUGAAACCAAGUGGUUGCGUAAGUAAACCAAGUUGUUGCCAUGUGACCAGGAAGUCACGGGUUCAAGCCUUGGAAACAGCCUCUGGCAGAAAUGCAAGGUAAGGCUGUGUACGAUACACCCUUGUGGUGGGGCCCUUCCUUGGACACAGCGCAUAGCGGUAGCUUUAGUGCACUGGGCUGCCCCUUUUUCUAUAAUCAAAAGAAAGCAUCACAGGGACUAUAUUACUUAGCUAGCGAAUUCCUUUUAUGUGAAUAUGCCUUUCAAGUACUAGUUUUUGUCAAGCAAGUUUUUGUCACGACCCGAACCGGGGCCUUAGCCGUGACGAGCAACCCGAACCAUGGAGGCCCGGGCGCCCUUUUACAUCUGGUAAGUCAUGCACAAUUCUCAUAUAAAAAGAAAUGCGGAAAUAUAAUCAUUACGGAAUUAUGGUCAUCAUUUUGAAAAUUUGGAACAGGUAAUUUGGGACGGAGGGAGUAGUAAUUUUCAAUGAACAAAUAUAGUUAUACAGCCACCAUUUAUGUCUUAUCAACAUUGCCAAACACUAACUGAUGCGAACUUAUCCUUGUAACCUAAGUUGCUCAGACUCUCCAAAUUUGUUUUUGCACCCGUGUCGAAUCCUUCAAAAAUACAAUACUUUUGAAGGAUCCAACACGCACCCAUCGAAUUUUUUGAAGACUCCGAUCAGCAUAGCUUGAACAGAUCAAGCAUUCGCACUAAAACUUCCGCUAUGUGCAACCCAAGUGGGUACUCGAUGUUCCAGCAAAACAAGCAUAACAUGCAUCCAUAUGUCUAUAAAUAUAGCAACUCUAAUACAAGAAAUUUUUGCCGAGGGAGCUCGGAGACUGGUUCAACAACUCGAUCCCUGGCUAAUUUACUCAGAAGCAACAUUAUUUUGACCCUCGUUCAUGAUUCUUUUUCUCUUUUGCAUAGAGUUAGAGGAGCCUUUCACGCGCACUUCGUUUUUCUGUGCACGACGUGUUGAAGCACGAGCAAUUUCAUUUAACGGCAUAUCAUCAUCAUUGUCGCUCAUAACACGAACAGACAUAGUUUUUGGUUUGUCUGCGAGAAAAUAUAUGUAACAUAUUAAGUUAGCUCCUUUUAAAUUGACGUAAGAAACUCAUCUGUCCAAUAAAAGUGUGAUAUCUGCCACAAUAUAAGUCACACGACAACAACAACGUACCAAGUAUGAUCCCACAAGCGAGACCUGAGAGGGGUAGGAUAUAUGCAAACAUUACCUAUAACAUUACGGGGUAGAGAGGCUGUUUAAGAUAGUCCCUCGGCUCAAAAGAAAGAAAAAUGAAUCAUGUUUGCAUGAAAACACGACAAUAUCCUACUAAAAGGGGAAAACCAAGACAGAUGAGAAAGGAAAAAAAUUUAGCUACAGCAAAGUGGCUAGAUGGACACAGCUAAAAAUCAUGUAACAGUGGACAAAGUGGAUGUCUAGAAGAUACGAUGCAAGUGUUUGUCGCAGUCGCUUUCUACUUGAACGUCUAGUGUUUCAUUUUUUCUGUGUGUGUCUGUGUGGUUGUGGUGGUGAUAUAUUUAGAAUCAUCACAAAAUAUCGUACCUAUAACCGAUUAAAAAAACAACAGUAACUAAUAUACCUCAAUCCAAAGAUUUGAGGUUGGCUAUAUGAAUAAUCCUAAUGAAUAUCCACAUAAUAUAGACAUAUUGUAAUAACAAUAAGUCAACUAAAUCACAAAACCGUUAUACCUUUGUGUCUUGAUUGACCACUGCUAUUUCCAGUUGAGGUGCCAACACGUUUUGAAUCAUCAUAAAGAACAAUUGCCCGAUCUUCGCCUUGAGAAGAUUCCACGUUGUUGCGCUUCAAGUUAACUCUAGUUGCACCAGGAGCUUGAUGGGCUGUUUCCACCUCCAAAUUUAUAGCCAAUUUUCACGAAACACACGUCAACACAAAAAAAUCAAGAUCUACCAUUAACUAUAUAUUAAACGAUUCUUAACAAGUUGUAAGGAGCAAAAAAUAAACAAAAAUAAUCAAACCUAAAUUCACAUAACAGCAAUACCUUCGUCAUUUUUUCUCUUCGUUUCCUUCAAACGAGAAAUUCUACCUCUAAACUCGAUGAUUUUCUUCUCGUAGCGAGCCUCUUUAUCACUUUUUGCCUUCUUUUGCAUUUCAAUUCUGUCAAAUAGAAAAUCGUUUGUCCUUUUGUACUCCUUGUAGUCCUCUUCUAUUAUUUUAUUGUACUUUUCGUGAAUACUUCUUUUUUCUUCCUCGGUACCUUUUUCACAAUCCGUUAGAAUUUUUUGCGCAAAAGGGAAGUCUUUUUCUUCAACCAUUUGUUUUUCCUUCAUGAUUGAAAGUAAUUCCUGGAUCGACGACAUCUUCAAUGGAUAUCAAAGAUGUGAUCAAUGAAAGGCUUUUCAUGAAACAACAGAAAAACGCGGCGCAGCUAACUGUGAAAAAAAUUGAUCUUUUUUAGUUGAAACGGCGGUGUGAAGCGGAAAAAGACAAUAAUACAGGGAGGAUUACACAGAUAAAUUCAAAAGAGCGAAACAUGAAAACACAUCUAAGAACAAUAAUUAGUACUAUUUGGUCAAGAUUUAAAGAUUACAAGAAUAUUUGAUGCUUUUACAUUAAAGAUUAGUCAAAAACCUUAGCUUUUUAAGUAAAACAUUAAAAGUACAUUUGAUUUCAGCAAAAGAAUGAAUGUAGUCGUAAUCCUUGUAACAUAUACAUAGACAACUUAGUUUAGUAAUUAUAGGAUAUCCUUUUUUGCUCUUUCCAUAACAACAUAUCUAUCCAUUCCCUCAUACCUUUAUUACAUGGUAUCAGAGUCGUUGUUUGAGUUGGUAUUUUGUAUUUGCCGGAGGUCACUAUGACUUCGCUGAGCACAUCGGAUUAGUUGUAGAUUGUAGUUAGCAUUUAAAAGUUCUUUACGCGGACAUUAUAUGGAAAAAUCAUAUGCGUGAUCAAUGGCAACUUGAACUUAGCACUUUAGCAGCAGCUGUAUCAUGUUGCUGUAUAUGGAAAAAUCGUGCGUAAAACUAUACUACAUUUCAUAAAUAAAGUGUAAAUAUUUGUUGCUUUGCAUGAUUUUUCCUAGAAAUAACUUAACUAUAGUAAAGCGACAGAAGGUUGAGAUGGCACAUGUUCAAAGUUUUAUGAAAAUAUUUCCCAUAUCUUUAUUAGUUUGGGUCAGACAUAAGAAGCAAACUAAGUGUUUUCAACAAGUAAUGAAGAGUUGUAGUGGGUCGCUCCUCAACUCAGGGACCUAUCACAGAAGAACUAGGAAGAUGAACAGUAAAAGUACGUGGAAAGAUUAAUAGCAGACACAAGAGUUUUAUGUGGAAAUUCUUUGCUCAAGGGAGAAAAUACUACGACCUGCCUCCAGGAAUUAACCUCUUAAUCCUUUGUCGCUUGCAAAAUCUCUAUUACAACGAAACACAAGCAGUAACUCUACUGUUUCAACCUCCAGCUAACUCUAACUGGAUAUUACAAGCUAACUCUAAAUGAUUACGAAGAGAAAGGUUUGAACCUCAACACCUACUAAUAAUCAUAAGCAAAUGUAGGCAAACAUUUAAGAACAGUACACAAGGACUCAACUACAACAGGGAAGUAAAAAUACAAUUCGAUGAACAAUCAGUUUCAUGUUGCAGUGUAUAUAUAAUCUUUGAUUCAGCUUUUGAAAGAUAUUUAUUUGUGAGAAUAUGGAAGCGUUAGUUUUCUUGUUGAGGAAGAUGAGAAAUAUAUAGUAUGAUACAAGAAAACUCAGGAGAGAUCCCAUUGGCUGAGGCAAAAAGGUGGAAGCAUCUUUUUCACCAACUUUUGUACUUUGUGUUAGCUCUGACCGUUGACCGUGAUAGUGACAGAUGAGCCCAACCUGUUCCCUAUUCCGUAGAAGCAUUUUCAGCUCAAAAAAAUCCAGGAAACAGGUCCCAACAUGCAAAUUAUAUAUAGUUUGACAAUCAUCAAAACUAAGGACUUAACAAGUAGUUUUCACUGGUUGUCCCUUUUAUAGAUGGUUGUUUAGUAAAUGAUCUUGCUUUUAUUUCUCUUGCAACUUACGGACCUUUUUCAUCACAAUCAGCAAAUAAUAUUUUUAACGAAAUUGAGAAAACAAUAGACCACGGUCUAAAUUAUUGUCAGUAACUGCAAACGUCAAGGUUGGACAAUAUAUGAACAAACAUUAGGUAGGCGUUUGGCCGUGAAAACAAAAAAUAAUUAACCUUAUUUGGAAUCUUCAAAGUUGGAGUUGUAUUACGCCAUACAUUUUCAGCGACUGUUAUGCCAAUACCAUGACUCAACAACAUGUGUAUCGAGCAAACAUGGUUUCGAAUAGGUGGACCAAUAAUGUGACGGCACAUAACAUGCCUUCAUUGUUCAAUUGUACUCAACCAUUCUAUAAAUUUAGCCAUUGAAGUCCAACAGAUAAACGAUAAGUACUUAAUUGUUCCUACUACAGCUAGAUAUCUUCCUAAAACAAAGCAAGUCUAGUAUAAGAACUUUUUGCCGAGGGAGCUCGGAGUCUAGUGCAACAACUCGACCAUACCAUUUGUAUACAUAGAGACGAGCAGACAACCCUCGCGUCAACUGGAGCUUCAUUUGUGGAUACCAACACCAGGGCAGAAAAGCUGGUCUUUCUUGCUAUUGUAUAUCCUAUAUAUUUGGCGAGAGUAUCGAAUAGCCAGUGUCAUGCAUAUGCAAAGAUCUUCCGGUCCAACCUCCGAAAUUGCUCUCUUGAUCUUGUUUUCGCGAUCGUCAUGACACAAAAACACCCCUAAAGCAGUAAUCCUGAAAGAAAAAGCCGGCAAAAAUGGAUUACAAAGUGAGUAAUCGAAUGAACUUACUAGACCUUACCCCUACCGUAGAGGUAGAAGGCUAUUUCUUAUAGACCGUCACAAAUUUUCUAUUCACAAACUAAAGAAAAAAACUAUCGAGAGAUUGAAAUAUACCUUUUUUUGUCAAUCUUACUCAUCGAGGAGAAUUUGUUUCCAGAAAUUUGUUGACGGUACAAAGCACAUACAGCAUUCAGACAAAGCUCGGCAUCCAUUUAAAAUGCAGUACAAAAAUCGUCUUCAGACGACCAUUCUAUACCCGACUUAUUCCCAGGAUUAACCAAUUCUGGAAUAAAUGAUGUUAUUUGACCCUCAUUCAUGCUUCUUUUUCUCUUCCGCGUCGAAUUAGAGGAGCCUUUCACGUGCACUUCCUUUUUCUGUCCGCGACUCUUUGAAGCACGAGUGAUUUCAGUUAACGUUAGUUCAUCAUCACUGUCAUUCAUUACAUGAACCGGCAUAGUUUCUGGUUUGUCAGACGCUUUACUUAAGACUAUUGCUUUACAUGCCGAUGGAUCUGCAAGAAGAUUAUAUGCGAUAACAUCAUAGAUUUUCCUCUUUUAAGCUGACGUAUGAAACUUAUCUGUCCAAUAAAAGUAUGAUAGCCGCCAAUCUAAGUCACACAAAAACAACAACUUACCAAGUCUAAUCCUCAUGUACGCAGACCUUACCUCUAUCUUUUGCGGUAGAGAGUCUGUUUCAGAUACUCCCACGGCACAAAAGAAAUAAAAAUGAAUCACGUUUGCAUGAAAACACGACAAUAUCCUGGCAAGAUACUAAGCAACUAAAACGGUAAACCAAGACAGACGAGAAAGGAAAAAAAUGAAUUGCAGCAAAGUGGCUAGAACACAGCGUGUAACCGUGGGUGAAGUGGACGUAGCAAGUGUUUUGUCGGAAUUGCUUUCUACUCGAGCAUCUAGUCUUUCUUUUUUCAUUUUUCGUGUGUGUCUGCAUGGUUGUGGUGGUGUUAUUUUCUGUAUAUCAUGAAGAAUCAUCAGAAAAUAUCAUACCUAUAACCGUUUAACAGAACAACACUAACUACUAUACCUCAAUCCAAUGAGUUGAGGUUGGCUAUUUGAAUCCUAAUGAAAUAUCCACAUAAGAUAGACAGAUCGUAACAACAAGUCGACUAAAUCACAAAAACAUUAUACCUUUGUGUCUCGAUUGACCACUGCUAUUUCCGGUUGAGCUGCCAGCAAGUUUCGGAUCAUCAUAAAGCACGAUUGCCCGAUCUUCUCCCUGAGUAGAUUCCACGUUGUUUACGCCAUUCGCACCAGUAGCUUGAAUGCCUGUUUCCACCUCCAAAUCUGUAGCCAAUUUUCAGAAAACACACACAUCAAGAUAAAGAAUUUUCCUCGUUUCGUACGAGAAAAUCUAACAUCUAACUCUUUGAACAGAAAAAAAGGUAUGAGAACAGAAAAUAUAAGUCACACAACUGAUGAAAAUGCAUUCAUUUGCUUUUCGUAGCAUCAGUCAUCAUUUACCAAACUUUAUCCGACUCCAAAUUAGUUGAUUAAUUGAAUGCCACAAAUAAUUUAAACAGGUCUUGCAAAUACAGUAAAAUCAUUAUUAUCAAAACGAUAAGCUAAGUACAUUAAACGAUACGUAACAAGUUCACAUAACAGAAAUACCUUCGUCAUUUUUUCUCCUCUUCGUUUCCUUCAAACGAGAAAUUCUACCUCUAAACUCGAUGAUUUUCUCCUCGUAGCGAGCGUCUUUAUGACUUUUUGCCUUCUUUAGCUUUUCAAUUCUGUCAAACAGCAACUCAUUUGUCUUUUUGUACUCCUUGUAGUCCUUUUCUAUUAUUUUACUGUACUUUUCGUGGAUACUUCUUUUUUCUUCCUUGAUUCCUUUUUCGCAAUCCAUUAGUAUUUUUUGCGCAAAAGGGAAGUCUUUUUCUUCAACCAUUUGUUUUUCCUUCAUGAUUGAUAGCAAUUCAGGGAUCGACAUCAUCUUCAAUGGAUAUCAAAGAUGUGGUGAAAGGCUUUUCUUGAAAAGGCAAAAAAUUGCGGCGCAGCUAACUGUGAAAAAGAUUGAUCUUUUUUAGUUGAAAUGGCGAUGUGAAGCGGAAAAAGACAAUAAUACAGGGAAGAUUACGUAGAUAAAUUCAAAUGAGUGAAACAUGAAAACACAUCAAAAAACAAUAAUUAGUACUAUUUGUUCAACAUUUAAAGAUAACAAGAAUAUUUGAUACUUUUACAUUAAACAUUAGUCAAACACCUCAGCUUUUAAAGUAAAACAUUAAAAGUACAUUUGAUUUCUGCAAAAGAAUGAAUGUAGUCAUAAUCCUUGUAAUAUACAUAGAUAACUUAAUUUAGUAAUUAUAGGAUAUCCAUUUUUGUUCUUUCCGUAGUUAGGAAUUUAUGCUCGUGUAUACAUACUUGCUAAUUUAUGAAAUAAUAAAUCGAUUCAUUCUCUCAUACCUUUAUUACAUGGUCACUAUGACUUCGCUGAGCACAUCGGAUUAGUUGUAGAUUGUAGUUAGCAUUUAAAAGUUCUUUACGCGGACAUUAUUGUUGGGAAGCAAAUCAAUCUCACAUCUCCCACAUCGGAGAAAUAGAGGAAGAAUGCCCAAUAUUUAAGUGUGUCACCCAACUCCACUAAUAUGAGGCCUUUUGGGAGGUGCCCAAAAACAAAUCCGUGAGGGCUUGGCCCAAAGAGGACAAUAUCAUAAUAGUGCGGAGUUCGGGUGUGGUUACACGCGGUCCCGAGAAGUGGUAUCAGAGCCCUGAUUCGGGUGUGUCGGAAUGGUGGACUGCGGUUGGGGAGAAUUUUCCGGUGUAAUGACAAGACUGGGAGAUCUGCAGGUGGUGCCUUGUGUCGAAAGUCUUCCUGGCGAGUGGUGGUCAGGCAGCGUGUCUCAUUGGAUGAUAAAGGAGGUACAAGAUGUUUGGCAGAUCAUGUGAAUUUGAUCUAGUAGUUGAGAUCUACUGUUUGAUGCCUAGCAAAGUCCAACUCCUUGUUUAGCAUAGCUCCCUAACACUCAAGCACCAGAUCAUAUGAAAGGCCGGAUGCAAACUUCCUCAUUCGAACCCUCAUACAACUCGUCAUCUCAGGAGCAUAACGGGCCAGCUGAUUGAACUUUAGAGUAUACUCCUGAACACUCAUCUUACCCUGCUUAAGGUUCAUGAACUCCCCUACCUCUUUCAGCUGGUACGCGACCAAUUCUACCCCUUCUACUUCAUCUACAUGCAUCACUUGAAGAUCUUUUCCAUUUCGUCUACAAAUUCCUACGGAUCCUCUUGUACUUUAGUACUUCUGAAUUUGGGAGGAUUCAUCCUGAUGAAUUGGCUCACCCAUGUAGCUUCAGAGGUAAUAAAUGCAGACCUAGUAUCUUCUGACCGCUAAAUCUGUGCAGCCACCAACUAUGUUAACAUGUGAAUAGAUUUCCUAAACUCUGCAUUUGAAAUAUUCCCCUGCGAAGUCGGGGGAUGGUUCAUUUUGGUCUGUGAGCCCGAGGUGGACUGGUUGGGACUGGAGGGACUCCCGAAGUAGGGACAAGGCCUGGAGUGGGAACUCUAUUACGUCUCCUCAUACCAUGAGUGUGACGAACUUCAUCAUUCUGAGCACUCUGAUUAGUAUUGCGACGAGGAGGCAUGGCUGUUAUUUUUGUAAGACAAAAGAUCACUGAUUAGGAACAGACUUUACUCUGAAGCACGAACUAAUUCACAAAGAAGGGAAGCAUUUCCUAAACGCCUAGUAGCCUCCCGCUUAUAAGUGUAGAGUGCUACACACCCCAAAGCAAGACUCUACCCGAUGCGAUUUUGCAGACAUCCUGGGAACAUGAACCGUGCUUUGAUACCAAGUUUGUCACGACCCAAACCAUUGCCCUGGCUGUGAUGAUCAUUCCGAACCAUGAAGGCCCGAAACAUCCCUAUCUAUCUGGUAAUCAUGCACAUAAUUCAUAUAAUAAAAAUAAAUGCGGAAUAUAUACAAUAUUAUGGAAACAUGGUCAUGAAUCAAAUGAAAUCAAUAAUGGGAAAUAGUGUCCCACAACCUCUAUCGACAUCUGAAAAACCAUCUGUGAAAUCUCUACUACAUGAUUGAAACAAAUAAUUAUAUGAAAACUGGGACAAGGCCCCCAGUAGACCCAAACCUACUAAAUGAUAAAUGAGAAGGCUUACCACUUGAUUUUGUAAGUCUGUCUGAAGACGUCUACUGAUUAUCUAGACCCCUAGACUGUGCCUCCGAACCUGGGAGGGAAGGGGGUUAAUAUUGUCACGACCCGAACCAGGUCCUGGCUGUAACGAGCAUUUUGAACCAUGGAGGCCCGAAACACCACUAUCUGUCUGGUAAUCAGGCACCUAAUUCAUAUGAUCAAAGUAAUGCGGAAGAAACACAAGUAUUCGGAAAUAUGGUCAUAAAUAUGAAAAGAAACAAUAGCGGGGAAAUAAGGUUCCCCCAACAUCAAUCAACCUCUAAACAAUUGUCUGCGAAAAUCUCUAACAAAUGACUGAGUCAAGUAACUGUAUAUAAACUGGGACAAGGACCCAGUAGACCCCAAAGCUAUAUAUAAGCUAAAGGACUCGGGACAUAAGACCUUCCGAAACAUAGAAGGCUCACCACUUGUCUUUAUAACUCUUUCUGAACGAUCUACUGAUUCACUUGACCCCUACACUGGGACUCUGAAUGUGAGAGGUUGGAGAGGGGAGGGGGUCAGAACAAAAGUACUGGCAAAUAGAGAUAUCAAAACAAAACAUAAUAUUUUUACGAAAUAUAGUUGAGAGCCAUUAUAAAGCAAUUUCGUAUCAAAUUAUUUGAAAACAUAUGGGCGUAAUGCAAUAGUUUCUCAACAACAAUGAAAUGCAAUUGAGCUAGGUGGAAUACCCUACAUAAUUUACACCAACUGUCUAACCUCGGUUGCCGCCGAGAUUAGAGUAUAAGUGAGGGAGAGACACAUAAGACCACGAAGCCUGGUGUCUCGACCCACUGGUAGUGCAAAAGAUCACACAGCCUGGGCUCUUACCUAUAGUCCCAAUUUGGGAAUAACAUAAAGUCAAGUACACAAUAUCACUUAGCCUGGUACCAAAUCUCUGUGUCGGCAAACACGUUUUCCAACGAUGAGCCCUUACACUCAAACGCCUUCUUUGGGCAUCCACCUAUCUCAUGUAAAAUCAAUGCAUUCAAAUUUUAUCUGAUUCAAUCACAUAUCAUAUUCUGUAGAGUAUCAUCAUACCUGACUUGCAAGUCAUCAAUAUCACUUCCACAUAUACAUUAUCAUGUAAAAAUCAAGGUUCUUCAUCAUUUACAAGUGGUAAACAAUAAUUAUUUCAAAUUCGUGCUCUCUUUUGUUGGUCACAAUAUGAUAUGGGGUAUCAAGACAUUAACAUGGGAAUUUGAAAGCAAUUUAUCAUUCAUAUUUAUCAAACUUCCAUGGAAAAUCUCAAAUCACAUAUGCAUGGUUUCAACCAUUGAAGUAUAUAGGCAAACAAUUCUCAUGACAUAAAGAAAAUGUCUUAGAAAUCGUAUUGAAAGCAAGAUAUUAGCAUUUGAUUGAAAACCCCCAUUUAAAAGCAUGCAUGUUCAUAAAAACUACACCCAUGAGAUUUUNNNNNNNNNNNNNNNNNNNNNNNNNNNNNNNNNNNNNNNNNNNNNNNNNNNNNNNNNNNNNNNNNNNNNNNNNNNNNNNNNNNNNNNNNNNNNNNNNNNNNNNNNNNNNNNNNNNNNNNNNNNNNNNNNNNNNNNNNNNNNNNNNNNCCCAUCCCAUUGCCUAUGUUUACAUAGGCGCCGCCUAGGCUAUCGCCUAUGUUUACAUAGGCUCCGCCUAGGCUAUCUCCUAUACUUUCCAAUGGCCAUGGGCGAUUUGUUAGGCGACGCAUAUCACUUUGAAAAGCCAUAACUUCUUGCUCGGGUGUCGGAUUUUAGCAAAAUUGGUAUCGUUGGAAAGCUAACUCGAAGACCUAUCAUUUGAAACAUAGUAGGCUCCCUAAUUCGACAUAUACUGAGAGUUAUGGUCGAUGGAAACUGACACAAUUUACAACGUCCACUAAAUCUUAGUCGAUCGAAAUAGUUUCAACUCGUCCUUGAGUUGAAGGACCUCUAUGGUCUAAAUUCAAGCUUCAAUGGAUUCACAUGAUACACAAAUAAUUAACAUGCCGUAUUGGCAUAGGAUUUUAUGGCUUUGGGAUUUAUCAACACAUCGGAAUCAUGGUCUAUAUUGUAGCCCAAAAUGCGGGGCGUUACAUUAUCCCCCCCUUAGGAUCAUUCAUCCCCGAAUGAUGAUGCGGGACACACACAGACACGAUUUCAUGCAUAAUAAAGGACUAGGAAAGUUAAGAUAGGAAUAGUACCUUCUGUCUCAUCCUCCAUCGAAGCAAACAAUUUGGGAUAUCUAAUUCUCAUGUCAUCUUCUGACUCCCAAGUUGCUUCUUCGACUUUCUGAUUCCUCCACAGUACCUUUACUGAGGCUAUCUCUUUGCUCCUCAGCUUUCGAACUUGGCUAUCUAAAAUUUUAACGGGCUCUUCUUCAUAAGACAGGGAGUCUGUCACUUUGAUACCUUCUACUGGCAAUACUAUAGAAUGAUCUCCAAUGCAUUUCUUCAACAUGGAUACAUGGAAUACUGGAUGAACGGAGCCCAAACUUGCAGGCAAGUCUAGCUCAUAAGCAACUGCACCAAUCUUUUUCAGAAUCUGAUAUGACCCUAUAUAGCGAGGGCUUAAUUUAUCCCUUUUUCCAAAUCGUAUAACUCCUUUCAUAGGAGAAACAUUGAGAAACACCCAAUCACCAACUUCAAACUCUAGUUCUCUUCUCCGAACAUCGGCAUAGGACUCUGACAACUCUGAGCAGUCUUGAGUCGUUCUCUAAUGAUCUUUACUUUCUCUAUCGCCUGAUCAACAAGAUCAUGCCCAUACAAAUGAGCCUCACCAACUUUAUACUAUCCUAUCGAAGACCUACAUCUCCUCCCAUACAAAGCCUCAAUAUGAGCCAUCUUGAUGCUGGCAUGGUAACUAUUAUUGUAAGGAAAUUCAACCAACUACCUUUGAAAUCAAUGACGCAUUCCCUCAAUAUAUCCUCAAGGGUUUGAAUGGUAUGCUCAGCUUGCCCAUCCGUCUGAGAGUGGAUAGCUGUGCUCAAAUUCACUUGUGUACCUAAACCCUUCUGAAAAAAUUUCCAAAACUGAGAUAAAAACUGCGUACCUCUAUCGAAUAUAAUGGACACUGGUGCCCCAUGCAAUCGAACUAUCUCGUCAAUAUAAAUCUUAGCAUAACCCUCUACCGAAUAAUUAGUCCUCAUAGGCAGAAAGUGGGCUGACUUUGUCAACCGAUUUACAAUCACCCAUAUAGAAUCAUACUGGUUUUGGGAUCUCGGAAGUCCUGUAAUGAAGUCCAUGUUUAUCAUCUCCCACUUCCAUAAAGGCAGGGCUAUCUCUUGGGAAGUACCACCUGGCCUCAUGUGUUCUACCUUUACUUGUUGAAAGUUCAAACACUUGAACACAAAAUUAGCUAUAUCAUGUUUCAUGUUAUUCCACCAAUACAAGGUUUUCAGAUCAUGGUACAUCUUAGUAGAGCCUGGGUGAAUGACAUACCUCGAAGUGUGCACCUCAUUAAGGAUUCUUUCCCGUAGCCCAUCAACAUUUGGAAUGCACAACCUACCCUAAAAUCUUAGAACACCAUCACCACCAAUUUCAAACGGCAUAACCUUUUAUUAACCCACAUCUUUCUUGAUUUGAAUCAAGAUGGGAUCCUCAACCUGCUUCUUCUUAACUUUAGCACAAAGGGAUGACUUAGCUAACUCAUGAAUAAUCACCUCUCCAUCUUUAGAAUCUAAGAGUCACACUCCCAGAUUUGCAAGGCGGUGAAUAUCCUUCACCAUCUCUUUCUUUCCUUUUUCUACAUGAGAAAGGCUGCCCAUAGACAACCUGCUGAGGGCGUCGGCUACAACAUUUACCUUACCCGGAUGGUAAUACAGACUCAUAUCAUAAUAUUUCAAAAGCUCCAUCCAACGCCUCUACCUGAGGUUCAAUUCUUUCUGUGAGAAAACAUACUGUAAACUCUUAUGGUCAGUAUAAAUGUCAACAUGUACUCCAUAGAGAUAGUGCCUCCAGAUUCUAAGUGCUAACACCAUGGCUACUAACUCCAAGUCAUGAGUGAGGUAAUUUCGCUCAUGCACCUUUAACUGCCUAGAUGCAUAAGCUAUCACCUUACCACGCUGCAUCAAUACACAACCAAGUCCCACACGAGAUGCAUCACAAUAAACCAUAAAAUCAUCUACACCCUCGGGAAGGGUCAAAAUAGGAGCAGUAGUCAGCUUGUCCUUCAAUUUCUCAAAACUGUUUUCACACAAGUCAGACCACGCAAACUUUAUCUUUUUCUGAGUCAGUUUAGUAAGCGGAGCAGCUAUGGAAGAAAAAAUCUCUACGAACCUUCUGUAAUACCCUGCCAAACCUAAGAAGCUCCGAAUAUCGGUUGGAGUCGUGGGUCUAGGCUAUUUUCUCACUACUUCAACUUUCUGGGGAUCCAUUCUUAUCCCGUCACUGGACACAAUAUGCCCCAGGAAGGCAAUAGCAUCUAACCAGAAUUCACACUUAGAAAAUUUAGCAUACAGCUGAUGAUCCUUAAGGGUCUGAAGAAUAAUUCGAAGGUGAUUGGCGUGAUCCUCUUUACUCUUAGAAUAGAUUAGAAUAUCAUCAAUAAAUACAAUGACGAACAAGUCAAGAAACUGAUAGAACACUCUAUUCAUAAGAUCCAUGAAGGCUGCAGGGGCGUCAGUCAACCCAAAGGACAUGACUAGAAAUUUGUAGUGACUAUAUCGGGUUCGGAAGGCUGUCUUAGGUAUGUCUAACUCCUUAACUUUCUACUGACGAUAACCCGAAUGAAGGUCUAUUUUUGAAAAACACUUGGCACCCUGAAGCUAGUUAAAAAGGUUGUCAAUCCUAGGAAGAGGAUAUUUAUUUUUAAUCAUGACCUUAUUUAAUUAACGGUAGUCUAUGCACAUCCGAAGGGACCCAUCCUUCUUUCGCACGAAGAGCAUGGGUGCACCUCAUGGGGAAACACUAGGAUGAAUAAAACCUUUGUCUAGGAGGUCUGCAAGCUAUUCCUUUAACUCCUUUAGUUUCACGGGAGCCAUUCUAUAUGGCAGAAUAGAAAUAGAAUGAGUGUCUGGCAAUACAUCAAUGCCAAAAUCUAUCUCCCUAUCAGGCGGUAUCCUUGGGAGAUCUUCGGGAAAGACUUCUGGGAAUUCAUUCACUACAUGAACUGAAUGCAGAGGAAGGUUUUCAACUUUUGAAUCUUUCACUCAGAUUAGAUGAUACAUACAACCUUUGGAGAUAAGCUUUCGGGCUCUAAGAUAAGAGAUAAAGUGACCUCUAGGUUCCACAGAAUUCCUUGCCCGUACAAUUGGUGUCUCAUUCGGGAAAGAAAAAGUGACCUUUUGGGUUCUGCAAUCAAGGAUGGCGUAACACGGAUGGAGCCAGUCUAUCACAAGGAUGNNNNNNNNNNNNNNNNNNNNNNNNNNNNNNNNNNNNNNNNNNNNNNNNNNNUCCCUACAAUGAAUAGACACGACACAAUUUCUAUAUACCCUUCUAACAAAAACAGAAUCACCUACAGGAGUAGAAACAGAGAAGGUUUCUACAAUAACUUUAGGCUUAAACCCGAAACAAAUAGCCACAUAAGGGGUCACAUAAGAUAAAGUAGACCCGGGAUCAAGCAAUACAUAAACAUCACGAGAAAAUAUUCGUAACAUACCGGUGACAACAUCUGGUGAAGCUUCCGCCUCUUGGCAGUUAAUCAAAGAAUAUAACCGGUUACAACCGCUCUCGAUAGCUGAAGGGGUACCCUUAGAAAGAGGAGCUGUGGAAGCGGCUUGGGACUUAGCCCUCCUCCCCCCCGCAUUUCCUCCAGCAGAAGGACAAUCUCUCUGAAGGUGACCCACUUUGCUAUAAGUAUAGCAGUUUCUCCCCUCAAACCAGCACUUUCCUGGAUGAUUCCUUCUGCAAACCUUGCACUGCAGAUAAGUAAGACGCUGCUGGGCCUCACUGCCCUGAGAAUGUGUACCUAAAGCUUUGGAUCUAUGAGGAGUCUGAAAACUCUGAGUUUAUCUGUCUGUCGGUGGUCUUGGUUCUGGGGCGCUGGCUGCUGACUGUACAUUAUUCCAAAACUUCUUCUUCUUCGACCACUUAUUGCCCCAGUUACCACUCUGAAGCUGAUUCUAGCUCUCUUAGCCUGUCUUUCUCUCUAGAUUUCAGCAAUCCUUUUCUUCCUCUCUUCCACCUACUGCAUAUGAAAGGUCAGUCGAGCAAAGUCUAACUACUUAUUCAACAUAUCCCCUGGCAGUCAAGUACCAGGUUAUUAGCAAGGCCAGAUGCAAAUUUACUCAUCGAGGCUCUCAUAUUACUAGUCAACUCUAGUGCAUAGCGGGCUAGUUUAUUAAACUUCAAAGUGUACUCCUGGACACUCUGCCCUGCUUCAGAUUCAUAAACUCUUCCGCAUUGGUCUCCCUAAACUCUAGAGAAAAGAAUCAAUCAAGGAAAGCUUCCACAAAUUUUCCCCAAACUGUGGGCUCAGCACUUUCACCUUUUGUAUCUUCCCAGUUGGCAUACCACUGAUUCGCAACGUCCUUGAGCUGAUAGGUUGCUAACUCCAAUCCUUCAACCUUAUCGACAUGCAUCACCUUAAAGAUCUUUUCCAUCUCAUCCAAACACCUGUGGAUCUUCCUCCACCUUCGUGCCAGUGAACCUAGGUGGGUUCAUCUUCAUGAAAUAUCCGACUCUAGUAGCCUCAGACGUAACAGAUGCAGACCCAACAUCUUUCUAUACUUGAGCCUGGUUAGCUACAAACUGUGUCAACAUAUGAAUAGAACGUCUGAAUUAUGCAUUAUAAAUAUCUCCCUGAGCAGUUGGGGGACGGUUGACAUUAGUCUGUGGAGCUCGAGGCGAACUGGUCGAGACUGGAGGGACUCCCAAAGUAGGGACAAGUUCUAGAGUGUGAGCUCUGUUACGGGUCCGCAUCCCAUGGGUGGGACGGACAUCAUCUGCCUGAGCAUUUGAUCGAUGAUACGACUUAGAGGCAUAACUGUGUUUUUGAAACACAAGUGAUCAUUGAUUAGGGGACAGUUCAAACUCUGAAGCACGAACUAAAUCACAAAGAAGGAAAAUAUUUCCUAAACGCCUAGCAGCCUCCUACUUAUAAGUGUGGCACGCUACAAACCUAUAAACAGGACUCUACUCGACGUGAUUUUGCAGACAUCCUGGGACCAUGAACCGUGCUUUGAUACCAAGUUUGUCAUGACCUGAACGAGGGCCUGGCCGUGACGAACAUCUCGAACCAUGAAGGCCCGAAACACCCCUAUCAGUCUGGUAAUCAUGCGCCUAAUUCAUAUGAUCAAAGUAAUGCGGAAGAAACACAAGUAUUCGGAAACAUGGUCAUAAAUAUGAAAAGAAACAAUAGUGGGGAAAUAAGGUUCCCCCAAUAUCAAUCAACCUUUAAACAUCUGUUUGCGAAAAUCUCUAACAAAUGACUGAGUCAAGUAACUAUAUAUAAACUGGGACAAGGCCCCCAGUAGACCCCAAAACUAAAUAUAAGCUAAAGGACUGCAGGACAUAAGACCUUCCGAAACAUAGAAGGCUCACCACUUGUCUCUGCAACUCUAUCUGAAUGAUCUACUGAUUCUCUUGACCCCUAGAUUAGGCCUCUGAACCUGAGAGGUUGGAGAGAGGAGAGGUCAACACAAAAGUACUGGCACACAGAGAUAUCAAAACAAAACAUAAUAUUUUUACAAAAUAUAGUUGAGAGCCAUUAUAAAGCAAUUUUGUAUCAAAUCAUUUGAAAACAAAUGGGCGUAAUGAAAUAGUUUCUCAACAACAAUGAAGUGCAACUGAGCUAGGUGGAAUACCCUGUAUAAUUUACACCAUCUGUCUAACCUCGAUUGCCGCCGAGAUUAAAGUGUAUAAGAGAGGGAGAGACACACAAGACCACAAAGCAUGGUGUCUCGAACACUGGUAGUGCCAAAAAUCACUUAGCCUAGGCUGCUACUUAUAGUCCCAAUUUGGGAAUGACAUAAAGUCAAGUACACAAGAUCACUUAGCCUGGUACCAAAUCUCCAGGUCGGCAAACACAUUUUCCAAUGAUGUGCCCUUACACUCAAACGCCUUCUUCGGGCAUCCACCUAUCUCAUGUAAAAUCAAUGCAUUCAAAUUUUAUCUGAUUCAAUCACAUAUCAUAUUCUGUAGGGUAUCGUCAUACCCGACUUGUAAGUCAUCAAUAUCAUUUCCACAUAUGCAUNNNNNNNNNNNNNNNNNNNNNNNNNNNNNNNNNNNNNNNNNNNNNNNNNNNNNNNNNNNNNNNNNNNNNNNNNNNNNNNNNNNNNNNNNNNNNNNNNNNNNNNNNNNNNNNNNNNNNNNNNNNNNNNNNNNNNNNNNNNNNNNNNNNNNNNNNNNNNNNNNNNNNNNNNNNNNNNNNNNNNNNNNNNNNNNNNNNNNNNNNNNNNNNNNNNNNNNNNNNNNNNNNNNNNNNNNNNNNNNNNNNNNNNNNNNNNNNNNNNNNNNNNNNNNNNNNNNNNNNNNNNNNNNNNNNNNNNNNNNNNNNNNNNNNNNNNNNNNNNNNNNNNNNNNNNNNNNNNNNNNNNNNNNNNNNNNNNNNNNNNNNNNNNNNNNNNNNNNNNNNNNNNNNNNNNNNNNNNNNNNNNNNNNNNNNNNNNNNNNNNNNNNNNNNNNNNNNNNNNNNNNNNNUGGUGAUUCCAAAUAUGUAAUUAUCUUCAAAAACAUAUGGUCGAAUGUUGAACUAUUUGGGUUGUUAUUUUGAAACCCUAAGGAGAAUAUUUGAGCACUUUUGAUGAAUGAAGGUGUAUUUUGGGGUCCUUGGAACUAAAUUUCGUGUUUUAGGGCUAAGUAAGGGUGGAAAAGGACCAUUUUUCCCCAAAAAUGGAGUGUUUAAGUCACUUGAAUUCUUUACUUAGGCGCCGCCCAUCCCAUUGCCUAUGUUUACAUAGGCGCCGCCUAGGCUAUCGCCUAUGUUUACAUAGGCGCCGCCUCGGCUAUCGUCUAUGCUUUCCAGCGGCCAUGGGCGAUUGGUUAGGCAACGCAUAUCACUUUGAAAGGCUAUAACUUCUUGCUCGGGUGUCGGAUUUUAGCAAAAUUGGUAUCGCUGGAAAGCUAACUCGAAGACUUAUCAUUUGACACAUAGAAGGCUCCCUAAUUCGAUAUAUAUAGAGAGUUAUGGUGGAUGGAAGCUGACACAAUGUACAACGUCCACUAAAACGUAGUCGAUCGAAAUAGUUUCUACUCAUCCUUGAGUUGAAGGACCUCUAUGGUCUAACUUCAAGUUUGAAUGGAUUCACAUGCUAUACAAAUAAUUAACAUGCCAUAUUGGCAUAGGAUUUUAUGGCUUCGGGAUUUAUCAACACAUCGGAAUCAUGGUUUAUAUUGUAGCCCAAAAUGUGGGGCGUUACAAAUACAAAUGUACUGGUACGCAGAGUAAUAUGAAACAAAAAUACAAUAUUUUUUACAUAAUAUAAGUGAGAGUCAUUAUAAAGCAGUUUCAUAUCAAAUCUUUUGAAAACACAUGGCAUAAUGUAAUAAUUUUUCAACAACAAUGCAAUGCAGUUGAGCUAGGUGGAAUACCUUACAAUAUCACAUUUACACCAACUAUCAUAUCUCGGUUGCCGACAAGAUUAGAGUAUAAGUGAGGGGAAUACACAAAAGAUCACACAGCAGGGUGUCUCGACCCAAUGAAUGCACUAGAUGACAAAGCAGGGAUCCUAACCAUAGUCCCAAAUUGGGAUAACAUAUAUCAGGUACACAAGAUCACAAAGCAGGGUACCAAAUUCCCUUAUUGGCAAAUACGGUUUCCAGCGAUGAGCCCUUUCACUCAAAUGCCUUCUUUGGGCAUCCACCUAUCUCAUGUAAAAUCAAUGCAUUAAAACUUUAUUUAAGUCAAUAACAUAUCAUAUUUUGUAGGGUAUCAUCAUACCUGACUUGCAAGUCAUCAGUAUCACAUCAUUCUUUUCAUUCAACCUUUAUAUUCAACAUGUUUCAACAGAAACAAUCCUCUCUUUGCAAGUCAAAAUCAUAUCCAUUCAUAAUAAUUUUCAAAACAUUUCAUGUCAUGCUUUUCAAGAUGAUUUCAAACAAUUCACAUCAUAUGAAAAUUUAAAACAAAAUCAUAACAAGAGAGAGAUUUCCAUAUAAUUCAUGCUCUCAAGUUACCAUCUUUUUGAAACACAUGCAUGUACAUAUAUAAUAUAUCAAAUAAAUUCGGGGAAAGGCCUAAAGACCAAACCAAUAUCAUUGAAACAUUUAAAACAUGAUAAUAUUCAUAAUUUCAAAACCCCCAUUCUUAAAGCAUGAAUUUUAAGCCCAUGAGAUUUUUAGGAUAGUCCCACGUACCUCUAUAUGCAAAGUUAAUAGGUGCUUCUUGAAGCCUACGUUACGGGGAUUCUAAUUAUGCGAUCAAUUUCAAAAACCUACAGUUAAAUCUCGAACUACUUGGGUUUUUAGGUUGAAACCCUUGAGAGUGUUCUUGAGGAUUUUUGGUGAAAAUAUCAAUAUUAUGCUCAAUAGGGAGUGUAAUCCCGUGUUUAAGUUGAUAGAGUUUUGGAAAAAUACCACAAUGCCCUUAAUAAGAUGGAAUAGUACACUGCAUUUUGGCUGGGCGCGAUAGGCAGGGCAGCGCCUUGCUUAGACCCUGGGAGAACCCAGGCCGGCGCCUUGCUUUCACCAGAGGAGAGACCACGACGGCGCCCCGCUUAGAGUGGGGCUGAGCCCUGGGAGGUGCCCCCAAAUGCCUUUAGCUACUGUUUUCCCACCCAAACACGACCGUAGAUUCAUCUAAAAAUUCUAAAACUUACCCGAGAUGUACUACGGCCUUGCCCCAUUGUAGUGCAAUAAGAAAAUCUAAAAAUGGAGGUCGAGAAGUUUGAAAAUAAAAUCCCCGAAGAUUACGAGCUAGAAAUAAGUCUUAAGUCCUUUGACACUUAGAGAAUUUUUCAUGUUUUCAAGUUUAAGACCACACCACUAAGAGUUAGUGCAUGCAUGACUUCUACGGGGCGUUACAUUUGGUGUAUGCUAUUUGUUGAUGAUAUUGUACUGAUUGACCAGACUCGGGAAGGAGUUAAUGAUAAGUUGGAGGUUUGGAGACAGAAACUUGAGUGUAAAGGAUGGGGUACUUGAAAUGUAAGUUUAGUGAUCUGUCGAAUAACCCUGAUAUGGUAAUGAAGCUAGAUUCUCAAACCAUUUAGAAGAGAGAGAGUCUCAAGUAUCUUGGGUCUAUGAUUCUGGAAAAUGGUGAGAUUACCGAGGAUGUUAGACACUGAAAAAGAAGGUGCCUCCUAAGCUUAAAGGUAAGAUCUACAGAGUGACAGUCUGACCGGCUAUGUUGUAUGAAGCAAAGUGUUAGCCAGUUAAGAACUCCCAUGACUAAAUGUUGAAGGUGGCGAAAAUGAAGAUUUUGAGAUGGAUGUCUGGGCUUACCAAGAGGGAUAGAGUUAGAAAUGAGAUUAUUCGGGAGAAGGUGGAAGUGGAUUCAGUGGAGGAAAAGAUGCGGGAAGUGAGGUUGCGAUGGUUCAGACAUGUGAUGAGGAGGGACACAGUUGCUCUAGUGUAGAGGUAUGAUAGGCUGGCUAUGGAUGGUUUUAGGAGUGUUAGAGGUAGGGAAAAGAUGUAUUAGAGGGAGGUGAUUAUGCAUGACGUGGAGCAGUUACAGCUUACGGAGGACAUGACCUUUGAUAGGAAGGUGUGGAGGACGCGGAUUAGGAUAGAGGUUAGUAGGUAGGAGUACGUCGAAUUAUAAUUUAAACAUAUUUUUUUCUUCUUUCUCGUGGUUGCUACUCAUUAUCUAUGUGUUCAACUUUUAUUCUAGUCUAUUCAAACACAAAAUCAUUCUUUAGCUUCAACGACUGUUAUAUAAAUACCAUGACUCAACAAUAUGUGUAUCGCGCAAACAUGAUUUCAAAUAGGUGGAUCAAUAAUGUGACGACACAUAACACUCCUCUAACAUUCAAUCGUACUCAAACCAGUCUAUAAAUAUAGCAAUUCAUAAUCAAAAUACUACAUUGAAGUCGAACAGAUGAACGAUAAUUACCUAAUUGUUCCUGCUAACAAAGCAAUUCUAGUAUAAGAACUUUUUGUCGAGGGAGCUAGGAGUCUGGUGCAACAACUUGACACUUCGUUUCGAGCAUCUGUGUACAUAGAGAUGAGCAGACAGACUCUGCUUCAACUGUAGCUUCAUUUGCGGAUAUCAACACCAGGGCAGAACAGCUGAUCUUUCUUCCUAUUGUAUAUCCUAUAUAUUUGGCGAGAGUAUCGAAUAGCCAGUGUCUUGCAUAUGCAAAGAUCUUCUAGUCCAACCUCCGAAAUUGUUCUCUUGAGCUUGUUUCGGGAUCAUCACGACACAGAAACACCCCUAAAGCAGUAAUCCUGAAAGAAAAAGCAGGCAAAAAUGGAUUACAAAGAUUGUCUUUUCAUGAACUAAGAAAAAACUAUCAAGAGAUUGAUACAUACCUAUUUUUGUCGAUCUUACUCAUUGAGGAGAAUUUGUUUCCAGAAAUUUGUUGACGGUACAAAGCACAUACAGCAUUCAGACAAAGCUCGGCAUCCAUUUAAAAUGCAGUAAAAAAAUCGUCUUCAGACGACCAUUCUAUACCCGACUUAUUCCCAGGAUUAACCAAUUCUGGAAUAAAUGAUGUUAUUUGACCCUCAUUCAUGCUUCUUUUUCUCUUCCGCGUCGAAUUAGAGGAGCCUUUCACGUGCACUUCCUUUUUCUGUCCGCGACUCUUUGAAGCACGAGUGAUUUCAGUUAACGUUAGUUCAUCAUCACUGUCAUUCAUUACAUGAACCGGCAUAGUUUCUGGUUUGUCAGACGCUUUACUUAAGACUAUUGCUUUACAUGCCGAUGGAUCUGCAAGAAGAUUAUAUGCGAUAACAUCAUAGAUUUUCCUCUUUUAAGCUGACGUAUGAAACUUAUCUGUCCAAUAAAAGUAUGAUAGCCGCCAAUCUAAGUCACAAAAAAACAACAACUUACCAAGUAUAAUCCUCAUGUACGCAGACCUUACCUCUAUCUUUUGCGGUAGAGAGGCUGUUUCAAAUAGUCCCUCGGCUCAAAAGAAAGAAAAAUGAAUCACGUUUGCAUGAAAACACAACACUAUCCUGGAAAGACACUAAGCAACUAAAACGGUAAACCAACACUGACGAGAAAGGAAAAAAAUGAAUUGCAGCAAAGUGGCUAGAUGGACACAGCGUGUAACAAUGGAUGAAGUGGACGUAGCAAGUGUUUUGUCGGAAUUGCUUUCUACUCGAGCAUCUAGUCUAUCUUUUUUCAUUUUUCGUGUGUGUCUGCGUGGUUGUGGUGGUGUUAUUUUCUGUAUAUCAUGAAGCAUCAUCAGAAAAUAUCAUACCUAUAACUGUUUAACAGAACAACACUAACUACUAUACCUCAAUCCAAUGAGUUGAGGUCGGCUAUUUGAAUCCUAAUGAAAUAUCCACAUAAUAUAGACAGAUCGUAAUAACAACAAGUCAACUAAAUCACAAAACCUUUAUACCUUUGUGUCUCGAUUGACCACUGCUAUUUCCGGUUGAGCUGCCAACAAGUUUCGGAUCAUCAUAAAGCACGAUUGCCCGAUCUUCUCCCUGAGUAGAUUCCACGUUGUUAACGCCAUUCGCACCAAUAGCUUGAAUGCCUGUUUCCACCUCCAAAUCUGUUGCCAAUUUUCAGAAAACACACACAUCAAGAUAAAGAAUUUUCCUCGUUUAGAACGAGAAAAUCUAAUAUCUAACUCUUUGAACAGCAAAAAAGGUAUGAGAACAGAAAGUAUAAGUCACACAACUGAUGAAAAUGUAUUCAUUUUCUUUUCGUAGCAUCAAUCAUCAUUUACCAAACUUUAUCCGACCCCAAAUUAGUUGAUUAAUUGAAUGCCACAAUAAAUUAAACAGGUCUUGCAAAUACAGUAAAAUCAUUAUUAUCAAAACGAUAAGCUAAGUACAUUAAACGAUACGUAACAAGUUCACAUAACAGAAAUACCUUCGUCAUUUUUUCUCCUCUUCGUUUCCUUCAAACGAGAAAUUCUACCUCUAAACUCGAUGAUUUUCUCCUCGUAGCGAGCGUCUUUAUCACUUUUUGCCUUCUUUAGCUUUUCAAUUCUGUCAAACAGCAACUCAUUUGUCUUUUUGUACUCCUUGUAGUCCUCUUCUAUUAUUUUACUGUACUUUUCGUGGAUACUUAUUUUUUCUUCCUUGAUUCCUUUUUCGCAAUCCAUUAGUAUUUUUUGCGCAAAAGGGAAGUCUUUUUCUUCAACCAUUUGUUUUUCCUUCAUGAUUGAUAGCAAUUCAGGGAUCGACGUCAUCUUCAAAGGAUAUCAAAGAUGUGAUGAAAGGCUUUUCUUGUAACAGCAGAAAAAUGCGGCGCAACUAACUGUGAAAAAGAUUGAUCUUUUUUAGUUGAAAUGGCGAUGUGAAGCGGAAAAAGACAAUAAUACAAGGAAGAUUAUGCAUAUAAAUUCAAACGAAUGAAACAUGAAAACACAUCCAAAAACAAUAAUUAGUACUAUUUGUUCAAGAUUUGAAGAUUACAAGAAUAUUUGAUACUUUUACAUUAAACAUUAGUCAAACACCUCAGCUUUUAAAGUAGAACAUUAAAAGUACAUUUGAUUUCUGGAAAAGAAUGAAUGUAGUCGUAAUCCUUGUAAUAUACAUAGAUAACUGAAUUUAGUAAUUAUAGGAUAUCCAUUUUUGUUCUAUCUGUAGUUAGGAAUUUAUGCUCGUGUAUACAUAAUUGCUAAUUUAUGAAAUAAUAACUCGAUUCAUUCUCUCAUACCUUUAUUACAUGGUCACUAUGACUUCGCUGAGCACAUCAGAUUAGUUGUAGAUUGUAGUUAGCAUUUAAAAGUUCUUUACGCAGACAUUAUUGUUGGGAAGCAAAUCAAUCCCACAUCUCCCACAUCGGAGAAAUAGAGGAAGAAUGCCCAAUAUUUAAGUGUCACCCAACUCCACUAGUAUGAGGCCUUUUGGGAGGUGCCCAAAAACAAAUCCGUGAGGGCUUAGCCCAAAGCGGACAAUAUCAUACUAGUGCGGAGUUCGGGUGUGGUUACACGCGGUCCCGAAAAGUGGUGUCAGAGCUCAGGUUCGGGUGUGUCGGAGUGGUGGACUGUGUUUGGUGAGAAGUUCCCGGUGUAACGACAAGCCUAGGAGAUCUGCAGGUGGUGCCUUGUGUCGAAAGUCUUCCUGGCGAGUGGUGGUCGGGCAGUGUGUCUCAUUGGGUGAUACCGGCGGUACAAGAUGUUUGGCAGAUCAUGUGAAGUUGACCUAGUAGUUGAGAUCUACGGUUUGAUGCCUUGUAUUGAAAGUCUUCUUGACAAGUGGUGGUAAAGCGGCGUGUUCCACUGGUUGGUAGUUUUGCUAAGUAUACCAUAUAUUUACACAACACACUUAUUUUAUUAUUGAACAAACAUAUAACCACACACUUAUUUUAUUAUUAUAUCAACUACCACUCACCAUUAUUUUUUGGGUUUGUAGUUUUAACAAUUAUAUGGAAAAAUCAUAUGCGCGAUCAAUGGCAACUUGAACUUAGCACUUUAGAAGCAGUUGUAUCAUGUUGCUGUAUAUGGAAAACUAGUGCGUAAGAGUUGUAUCAGUGCAUAUUAUACCAAUGUUGAUAGAGACUUUUCUUAAAUACAGUAGUUUGGUUUCGUUACUUUUUGAAACUAUACUACAUUUCAUAAAUAAAGUAUAAAUAUUUAAAUAACUUAACUAUAGUAAAGUGACAAAAAGUUGAGAUGGCAAAUAUUUACCUCGUUAGGAGAUUAGUGGAGCAGUUUAGGGAGAGGAAGGCGGACUUGAACAUGGUGUUCAUUAUUCUUGAGAAGGAGUAUGACAGAGUCCUUAGGGAGAUUCUGUGGAGGUGCUUGGAGGCUAGAGGGGUGCCUGUGAAAUACAUUAAUUCUAUUUAGGACAUAUACGAUGGUGCAAAGACUUGUAUGAGGAUGGUAAAAGAUCGAAGCACUUUCUUGUUCAGACAGGGUUGCAACAGGGUAGCUGAAGGUUGUUUUUACGCUGCAAAGUAAAGGUUAGGUGCCUUGGUGUCACGACCCGAAAUGGGGCCCUGACUGUGACGACCAUUCUGAACCAUGAAGGCCCGAAACACUCCUAUCUAUCUGGUAAUCAUGCACAUAAUUCAUAUAAUAAAAAGAAAUACGGAAGAUAUACAAUAUUACGGAAAUAUAGUCAUGAAUCAAAUGAAAUCAAUAAUGGGAAAUAGUGUCCCACAACCUCUAUCAACAUCUAAAAAACCGUCUGCGAAAUCUCUACUACAUGACUGAAGCAAAUAACUGUCUGAAAAUUAGGACAAGGCCCUAGUAGACCCAAAACUAUUAAAUAAUAAAUGAACUGCCAGACAUCAGGCCUUACGAAAUGUAGAAGGCUCACCACUUGAUUCUGUAAGUCUAUCUGAAGACAUCUACUGAUUAUAUGGACCCCUAGACUGUGCCUCCGAACCUAGGAAGGAAGGGGGUCAAUACAAAUGUACUGGUACGCAGAGUAGUCCAAAACAAAAAUAUAAUAUUUUUACAAAAUAUAAGUGAGAGCCAUUAUAAAGCAAUUUCAUAUCAAAUCAUUCGAAAACACAUGGGCAUAAUGUAAUAAAUUUUCAACAACAAUGCAAUGCAGCUGGCCUAGGUGGAAUACCCUACAAUAUCACAUUUACACCAACUGUCAAACCUCGGUUGCCGCCGAGAUUAGAGUAUAAGUGAGAGGAAGACACAAAAGAUCACACAACAAGGUGUCUCGACCCAAAGAAGUAUGGUAGUGCACAAGAUCACAAAGCAGGGCUCUUAACCAUAGUCCCAAAUUGGGAUAACAUAUAUCAGGUACACAAGAUAACAAAGCAGGGUACCAAAUUCCCUUGUUGGCAAACAUGGGUUCCAGCAAUGAGCCCUUUCACUCAAACGUCUUCUUCGGGCAUCCACCUAUCUCAUGUAAAAUCAAUGCAUUCAAACUUUAUUUAAGUCAAUCAUAUAUCAUAUUCUGUAAGGUAUCGUCAUACCCGACUUGCAAGUCAUCAGUAUCUCAUCAUUCUUUUCAUUCAACCAUUAUAUUCAACAUGUUUCAACAUAAACAACUCUCCUUGCAAGUCAAAAUCAUAUCCAAUUAUAAUAAUUUUAAAAACAUUUCAUGUCAUGCUUUUCAAGAUGAUUUCAAACAAUUCACAUCAUAUGAAAAUUUAAAACAAAAUCAUAUCAGGAGAGGGAUUUCCAUAUAAUUCAUGCUCUCAAGUUAUCAUCUUUUCAAAACACAUGGAUGUACAUAUAUAAUAUAUCAAAUCACUUCACAGAAAGGCCUAAAGACCAAACCAAUAUCAUUGAAACGUUUAAAACAUGAUUAUAUUCAUAAUUUCAAAACCCCCAUUCUUAAAUCAUGAAUUUUAAGCCCAUGAUAUUUUUAGGAUAGCCCCACGUACCUCUAUAUGCGAAGUUAAUAGGUGAUUCUUGAAGCCUACGUUGUGGGGAUUCAAAAUAUGCGAUCAAUUUUUAAAACCUACGAUUAAAUCUCGAACUACUUGGGUUUAUAGGUUGAAACCAUUGAGAGUGUUCUUGAGGAUUUUUGGUGAAAAUAUCAAUAUUAUGCUCAAUGGGUAGUGUAAUCCCAUGUUUAAGUUGAUAGAGUUUUGGAAAAAUACCACAAUGCCCUUAAUAAGAUGGAAUAGUAUGCUGCAUUUUGGCUGGACGCGAUAGGCAGGGCGACGCCCUACUUAGACCCUGGUAGAACCCAGGGCGGCGCCUUGCUUUCACUGGGGGAGAGACUAGGGCAGCACCCCUCUUAGAGCGGGGGUGAACCCUGGGCGGCGCCCCCCAAAUGCCUUUAGCUACUAUUUUCCCCACCCAAAUGCAUCCUUAGGCUUGUCUAAAAAUUCUGAAACUUACCCGAGAUGUACUAAGACCUUUCCCCUUCAUAGCGCAAUAAGAAAAUCUAAAAACGGAGGUCGGGAAGGUUGAAAAUAAAAUCCCCGAAGAUUACGAGCUAGAAAUGAGUCAAAGUCCUUUGACACUUAGAGAAAUUUUCAUGUUUUCAAGUCUAAGACCACACCACUAAGAGUUAGUGCAUGCACGACUUAUACGGGGCGUUACAUUAUCCCCUAGGGAUCAUUCGUCCCCGAAUGAUGAUGUGGGAUUACAGUCAAGCACGAUUUUUCUAGCAUACUAGGACAUAGGAAGCAUAAGUCAAGGAUUGUACCUUCCACCUCGUCAUUCACCGGAUCAAAUAAGCUAGGGUAUCUAAAUCUCAAGUCGUUUUCUGAUUCCCAAGUUGCUUCUUCAACUUUCUGAUUUCUCCACAACAUUUUGACUGAGGCUAUCUCUUUUCUCCUCAAUUUCCUAACUUGACAAUCUAAGAUUGCUACAGGCUCUUCUUCAUAACACAAGGAAUCGGUCACUUUGAUUUCUUUAACAGGAAACACUAAAGAAUGAUCUCCAAUGCAUUUCUUCAACAUAGAUACAUGGAAUACCGGGUGGACAAAACCCAAAUUUGCAAGCAACUCUAACUCAUAUGGAACUCCACCUAUCCUUUUUACAAUCCAGUAUGGUCCUAUAUAGCGAGAACUCAGCUUACCUUUCUUCCCAAAUUGCAUAACUCCCUUCAUGGGAGAAACUUUAAGAAAUACCCAAUCUCCAACCUCAAAUUCUAAAUUUGUUCUUCUAACGUUGGCAUAGGAUUUCUGAUGACACUAAGCUGUCUUAAGUCAUUCCCUAAUAAUCUUCACAUCUUCCAUAGCCUGGUGAAAAGAUCAGACCCAAUCAUCUGCAUCUCACCUACUUCAUACCACCCCAUCGGAGACCUACAUCUCCCACUAUACAGUGCCUCAAACGGUGCCAUCUUAAUUUUGGAAUGGAAGCUAUUAUUAUAAGCAAACUCUAUCAAUGGCAAGGGAUCUACCCAACUACCUUUAAAGUCAAUUACACAGGCCCUCAACAUAUCCUCAAGGGUCUAGAUGGUGCACUCAGCUUGCCCAUCAGUAUGAGGGUGGAAUGUUGUACUUAGAUUUACUUGGGUACCUAAACCUUUCUGAAAAGAUCUCCAAAACUGAGAAAAAAACUGCGUACCUCGGUCAGAUAUAAUGGACACAGGUGCUCCAUGCAAACGAACUAUUUCUUCGAUGAAUAGCUUAGCAUAAUCCUCCCCAGAAUAAUUAGUCCUCACAGGAAAAAAGUGGGCUGACUUUUUCAACCGAUCUACAAUCACCCAAAUGGAGUCAUACUGGUUUCGGGACUUCGGAAGUCCUAUAAUAAAGUCCAUAUUUAUCAUCUCCCACUUCCAUAAAGGCAGAUCUAUCUCUUGGGAAUUACCUCCUGGCCUCAAAUAUUCUACCUUUACUUGCAGACAGUUCAAACACUUGGAAACAAAAUCAGCUACAUCACGUUUCAUAUUAUUCCACCAAUACAAAGUUUUUAGAUCAUGGUACAUCUUAGUAGAGCUCAUGUGAACAACAUACCUCGAAGUGUGAACCUCAUCAAAGAUUCUUUUCCGCAGUCCAUCAACAUUCGAAAUGCACAACCUACCCUGAUAUCUUAGAUACCAUCUCUACCAAUUUCAAAUGACAUUACCUUUUGUUGACCCAUAUCUUUCUUGAUUUGUAUCAAGAUGAGAUCUUCAACUUGCUUCUCUUUAACUUCAGCACAAAGGGAUGACUUAGCUAACUCAUGAACAAUCACCCCUCCAUCUUCGGAAUCUAAGAGUCGCAUACCCAAAUAUGCAAGGCGGUGAAUAUCCUUCACCAUACCUCUCUUCCCCUCUUGAAAAUGAGAAAAACUUCCCAUAGACAACCUGCUGAGAGCAUCGACUACAACAUUUGCCUUGCCCGAAUGGUAAUGUAGGCUCAUAUCAUAGUCUUUUAAGAGCUCCAUCCAACGCCUCUGCCUAAGUUUCAAUUCUUUCUGCGAGAAAACAUACUGCAAACUUUUGUGAUCAAUAUAAAUAUCAACAUGCACUUCAUAGAGAUAAUGCCUCCAGAUUCUAAGUGCAAACACCACACCUGCUAACACCAAGUCAUGAGGGGGGUAAUUUCGCUCAUGCACCUUUAAUUGCCUAGAUGCAUAAGCUAUCACUUUACCAUGUUGCAUCAGUACACAACCAAGUCCCAUACGGGACGCAUCACAGUAUACCACAAAACUAUCGACACCCUCGGGAAGACUCAAACCAGGAGCAGUAGUUAGCUUGUCUUUCAACUUCUCAAAACUAUUUUCACACAAGUCAGACCACAUAAACUUCACCUUUUUUUGAGUCAAUUUAGUGAGCGGAGCCUCGAUGGAAGAAAACCUCUCUACUAACCUUCUGUAAUAACUUGCCAAACCCAAGAAGCUCUGAAUAUCAGUUGGAGUCGUAGGUCUGGGCCAUUUUCUCACUGCCUCAAUCUUUUGGGGAUCCACUCUAAUCCCGUCACUAGACACAAUAUGCCCCAAGAAGGCAAUAACAUUCAGCCAGGAUACACAUUUAGAGAACUUAUCAUAUAAUUGAUGAUCCUUAAGGGUCUGAAGGAUAAUUCGAAGGUGAUCGGCAUGGUCCUCCUCACUUUUGGAAUAGAUCAGAAUAUCGUCAAUGAACACUAUGACGAACAAGUCUAGAAACGAAGGAACAUCCUAUUCAUAAGAUCCAUGAAGGCUGCAGGGGCGUUAGUCAACCCGAAGGACAUGACUAAGAACUCAUAGUGACCAUAUUGGGUUCGGAAGGCUGUUUUAGGAAUGUCUGACUCCCUAACCUUCAACUAAUGAUAGCCCGAACGAAGGUCUAUUUUUGAAAAACACUUACCACCCUGAAGCUGGUAAAAAAGAUCAUCAAUCCUAGGAAGAGGAUAUUUGUUUUUAAUAGUAACCUUAUUCAACUAACGGUAGUCUAUGCACUUACAAAGGGACCCAUCCUUCUUUCUUAUGAAAAGUACGGGUGCACCCCAUGGGGAAACACUAGGACGAAUAAAGUCUUUGUCUAGGAGGUCUGCGAGCUAUUCUUUUAACUCUUUCAGUUCUGCGGGAGCCAUUCUAUAUGGCGGAAUAGAAAUAAGAUGAGUAUUUGGCAACACAUCAAUGCCAAAAUCUAUCUCUAUACCUGGGAGAUCUUCGAGAAAGACUUCUGGAAACUCAUUCACUACAGGGACUGACUAAAGAGGAAGAUUUUUAACCCUUGAAUCUGUUACUCGGAUUAGAUGGUACAUACAACCUCUGGAGAUGAGCUUUUGGGCUCUAAGAUAAUAGAUAAAAUGACCUCUAGGUGCCAUAGAAUUUCCUGCCCACUCAAUUGAUGACUCAUUCCGGAAUGAAAAAGUAACCUUUCAGGUUGUGCAAUCAAGUGUGGCAUAACAUGAAUAGAGCCAGUCCAUCCCAAGGAUAGCAUCAAAAUCUACCAUAUUAAGUUCUAUAAGGUUUGCCACAGUAUCCCAGCUAUGAAUAGACACAACACAAUGUUUAUACACCCUUCUAUCAAUAACAGAAUCUCUUAUAGGAGUGGAAACAGUGAAGGGUUCUACAAUAACUUCGGGCUCAAACCCAAAACCAAUGGCCACAUAAGAUAAGGUAGACCUAGGAUCAAGUAAUUACAUAAACAUUACGGGUAAAGAUUCAUAACAUACCGGUAACAACAUCUGGUGAAGCUUUCGCCUCCUGGUGGUUAGUCAAAGCAUGUAACCAGUUACGACCGCUCCCGACAGCUGAAGGGGUACCCUUAGGAGGAGGAUCCGUGAAGGUGGCUUGGGACUUUGCCAACCCCCUCCCCCCGCAUUUCCUCCCGCAGAAGGAAAAUCUCUCUAAAGAUGACCCACCUUGCCACAAGUAUAAUAAUUUCUCCCCUCAAAAUAACACCUCCCUGGAUCCCGGGUCGGGUAGCAUGUCUCGUUGGGUGAUAAUAGCAGUACAAGAUGUUUGGCAGAUCAUGUGAAGUUGACCUAUAUUUACACCUAGCACUUAUUUUAUUAUUGAACAAACAUAUAACCACACACUUGUUUUAUUAUUAUAUCAACUACCGCUCACCAUUAUUUGUUGGGUUUGUAGUUUUAACAAUUAUAUGGAAAAAUCAUAUGCGCGAUCAAUGGGCACUUGAACUUAGCACUUUAGCAGCAGUUGUAUCAUGUUGCUGUAUAUGGAAAACUCGUGCGUAAGAGUUGUAUCAGUGCAUAUUAUACCAAUGUUGAUAGAUACUUUUCUUAAAUACAGUAGUUUUAGGAUAGCCCCACGGACCUCUAUAUGCGAAGUUAAUAGGUGAUUCUUGAAGCCUACGUUGAGGGGAUUCCAAAUAUGCAAUCAAUUUUGAAAACCUACGAUUAAAUCUCGAACUACUUGGGUUUUUAGGUUGAAACACUUGAGAGUGUUCUUGAGGAUUUUUGGUGAAAAUAUCAAUAUUAUGCUCAAUGGGUAGUGUAAUCCCAUGUUUAAGUUGAUAGGAUUUUGGAAAAAUACACCAAUGCCUUUAACAAGAUGAAAUAGUACACUGUAUUUUUUUAUUGGGCACGAUAAGAAGGGCGGCGCCCUGUUUAGACCCUGGGAGAACCCAUGGAGGCGCCUUGCUUUCACUGGGGGAGAGAUCAGGGAGGCGCCCCGCUUAGAGCGGGGAUCAACCCUGGGCGGCGCCCCCCAAAUGCCUUUAGCUACUAUUUUUCCCACCCAAGCAUGACCUUAGGCUUGUAUAAAAAUUCUGAAACUUACCCGAGAUGUACUACGACCUUUCCCCUUCGUAGCGCAACAAAAAAAUCUAAAAACGGAUGUCGAAAAGGUUGAAAAUUAAAUCCCCGAAGAUUACGAGCUAGAAAUGAGUCAAAGUCCUUUGACACUUAGACAAAUUUUCAUGUUUUCAAGUCUAAGACCACACCACUAAGAGUUAGUGUAUGCACGACUUUUAUGGGGCGUUACAUUAUCCCCCUUGGGAUCAUUCGUCCCCGAAUGAUGAUGUGGUAUUACAGUCAAGCAUGAUUUCUUUAGCAUACUAAGACAUAGGAAGCAUAAGUCAAAGAUAGUACCUUCUACCUCAUCAUUCACCGGAUCAUAUAAGCUUGGGUAUCUAACUCUCAUGUCGUUUUCUGAUUCCUAAGUUGCUUCUUCAACUUUUUGAUUUCUCCAUAACACUUUGACUGAGCCUAUCUCUUUGCUCCUCAAUUUCCUAACUUGACUAUAUAAGAUUGCUACAGGAUCUUCUUCAUAAGACAAGGAAUCGGUCACUUUGAUUUUUUUAACAGGAAACACUAAAGAAUGAUCUCCAAUGCACUUCUUCAACAUGGAUACAUGGAAUACUGGGUGGACAGAACCCAAAUUUGCAGGAAACUCUAGCUCAUAUGCAACUUCACCUAUCCUUUUUACAAUCUGGUAUGGUCCUAUAUAGCGAGGACUUAGCUUACCUUUCUUCCCAAAUCACAUAACUCCCUUCACAGGAGAAACUUUAAGAAAUACCCAAUCUUCAACCUCAAACUCUAAAUCUCUUCUUCUAAAGUCGGCAUAGGAUUUCUGAUGACUCUGAGUUGUCUUAAGUUGUUCCCUAAUAAUCUUCACAUCUUUCAUAGCCUGGUGAAAAAGAUCAGGCCCAAACAUUUGCAUCUCACCUACUUUAUACCAUCCUAUCGGAGACCUACAUCUCCUACCAUACAACGCCUCAAAUAGUGCUAUCUUAAUACUGGAAUGGAAGCUAUUAUUAUAAGAAAACUCUAUCAAUGGCAAGUGAUCUACCCAACUACCUUUAAAGUCAAUUACGCAGGCCCUCAACAUAUCCUCUAGGGUCUGGAUGGUGCGUUCAGUGUGCCCAUCAGUCUGAGGGUAGAAUGCUGUACUUAGGUUUACUUGGAUACCUAAACCUUUCUGAAAAGAUCUCCAAAACUAAGAAGAAAACUACGUACCUCAGUCAGAUAUAAUGGACACAAGUGCUCCAUGCAAACGAACUAUUUCUUCAAUGAACAGCUUAGCACAAUCCUCUCCGGAAUAAUUAGUCCUCACAGCCAAAAAGUGGGCUGACUUUGUCAACCGAUCUACAAUCACCCAAAUGGAGUCAUACUGGUUUCGUGAAUUUGGAAGUCCUAUAAUGAAGCCCAUAUUUAUCAUCUCCCACUUCCAUAAAGGAAGAGCUAUCUCUAGGGAAGUACCUCUUGGCGUCAAAUUUUCUACCUUUACUUGCAGACAGUUCAAACACUUGGAAAAAAAAUCAGCUACAUCAUGUUUCAUAUUAUUCCACCAAUACAAAUUUUUCAGAUCAUGGUACAUCUUAGUAGAGCCCGGGUGAACAACAUACCUCAAAGUGUGAGCCUCAUCAAUGAUUUUUUUCUGUAGUCCAUCAACAUUCGGAACGGGCAACCUACCCUGAUAUCUCAGAUUACCAUCUCUACCAAUUUCAAACGGCAUUACCUUUUGUUGACCCACAUCUUUCUUGAUUUUCAUCAAGAUGGGAUCUUCAACUUGCUUCUCUUUAACUUCAGCACAAAGGGAUGACUUAGCUAACUCAUGUAUAAUCUCCCCUCCAUCUUUGGAAUCUAGGAGUCGCACUCCUAGAUUAUUAAGGCAGUGAAUAUCCUUCACCAUACCUCUCUUCCCCUCUUCAACAUAAGAAAAACUGCCCAUAGACAACCUGCUAAGAGCGUCCGCUACAACAUUUGCCUUGCCCGGAUGGUAAUGUAGGCUCAUAUCAUAGUCUUUUAAGAGCUUCAUCCAACGCCUCUGCCUAAGGUUCAAUUCUUUCUACGAGAAAACAUACUACAAACUUUUGUGUUAGUAUAAAUAUCAACAUGCACUCCAUAGAGAUAAUGCCUCCAGAUUCUAAGUGCAAACACCACACCUGCUAACACCAAGUCAUGAGGGGGGGUAAUUUCGCUCAUCACCAUUAACUGCCUAGAUGCAUAAGCUAUCACUUUACCAUGUUGCAUCAGUACACAACCAAGUUCCACACGAGAUGCAUCACAGUAUACCACAAAACCAUCUACACCCUUGGGAAGAGUCAAAACAGGAGCAGUAGUUAGCUUGUCUUUCAACUUCUCAAAACAAUUUUCACACAAGUCAGACCACACAAACUUCACCUUUUUUUAGUCAAUUUAGUGAGCGGAGCAACAAUGGAAGAAAAAUCUCUACGAAUCUUCUGUAAUAACCUGCCAAACCCAAGAAGCUUUGAAUAUCGGUUGGAGUCGUGGGUCUGGGCCAUUUUCUCACUGCCUCAAUCUUUUGGGGAUCCACUCUAAUCCCAUCACUAGACACAAUAUGCCCCAAGAAAGCAAUAACAUUCAACCAGAAUACAUAUUUAGAGAACUUAGCAUAUAACUGAUGAUCCUGAAGGGUUUGAAGGAUAAUUCGGAGGUGAUCGGCAUGGUCCUCCUCACUUUUGGAAUAGAUCAGAAUAUCGUCAAUGAACACUAUGACGAACAAGUCUAGAAACGAAGGAACACCCUAUUCAUAAGAUCCAUGCAACCCAAAGGACAUGACUAAGAACUCAUAGUGACCAUAUCGAGUUCGAAAGGCUGUUUUGAGAAUGUCCGACUCCCUAACCUUUAAUUGAUGAUAGCCAGAACAAAGGUCUAUUUUCGAAAAACACUUAGCACCCUGAAGCUAGUCAAAAAGAUCAUCAAUCCUAGGAAGAGGAUAUUUGUUUUUAAUAGUAACCUUAUUCAACCAGCGGUAGUCUAUGCACAUACGAAGGGGCCCAUCCUUCUUUCGCACGAAAAGUAUGGGUGCACCCCAUGGGGAAACACUAGGAAGAAUAAAGCCUUUGUCUAGGAGGUCUGCGACCUGUUCUUUUAACUCUUUCAGUUUUUGGGAGCUAUUCUAUAUGGCAGAAUAGAAAUAGUAUGAGUGUCUGGCAACACAUCAAUGCCAAAAUCUAUCUCCCUAUCAGGUUGUAUCCCUGGGAGAUCUUCCGGAAAGACUUCUGGAAACUCAUUUACUACAGGGACCGACUAAAGAAGAAGAAUUUCAACCCUUGAAUCUUUUACUCAGAUUAGAUGGUACAUACAAUCUCUGGAGAUGAGCUUUCGUGCUCUAAGAUAAGAGAUAAAAUGACCUCUAGGUGCCACAAAAUUUCCUACCCACUCAAUUGAUGACUCAUUCAGGAAAGAAAACGUAACCUUUCGGGUUCUGUAAUCAAGUGUUGCAUAACAUGAAUGGAGCUAGUACAUCCCAAGGAUAGCAUUAAAAUCUAUCAUAUUAAGUUCUAUAAGGUCUGCCACAGUAUCCCAGCUAAGAAUAGAUACAACAUAAUUUCUAUACACCCUUUUAGCAACAACAAAAUCUCUUACAGGAGUAGAAACAGUGAAGGGUUCUACAAUAACUUCAGGCUCAAACCCAAAACCAACGGCCACAUAAGGGGUCACAUAAUAUAAGGUAGACCCGGGAUCAAGUAAUACGUAAAUAUUAUGGAAAAAGAAUCAUAACGUACCGGUAACAACAACUGGUGAAGCUUCCACGUCCUGGCGGUUAGUCAAAGCAUAUUACCGGUUACGACCACUCCCGACAGCUGAAGAGGUACCCUUAGGAGGAGGAGCCGUGGAUUUAUAAUUUAAACGUAUUUUUUUCUUUUUCUUGUGGUCGCUACUCAUUCUCUAUGUGUUCAACUUUUAUUCAAGGCUAUUCAAACACAAAAUCAUUCUUUAGCUUCAACAAUUGUUAUAUAAAUACCAUGACUCAACAAUAUAUGUAUCGCGCAAACAUGGUUUCGAAUAGGUGGAUCAAUAAUGCGACGACACAUAAUACUCCUCUAUCGUUCAAUCGUACUCAAACCAGUCUAUAAAUAUAGCAAUUCAAAAUCAAAAUACUACAUUAAAGUCUAACAGAUGAACAAUAAGUACCUAAUUGUUCCUACUAACAAAGCAAGUCUAGUAUAACUACUUUUUGCCGAGGGAGCUAGAAGUAUGGUGCAACAACUCGACCCCUCAUUUUGAGCAUCUGUGAACAUAGAGACGAGCAGACAGACUCCGCGUCAACUGUAGCUUCAUUUGCGGAUACCAACACCAGGGCAGAAUAGCUGGUCUUUCUUGCUAUUAUAUAUCCUAUAUAUUUGGCGAGAGUAUCGAAUAGCCAGUGUCUUGCAUGUGCAAAGAUCUUCCGGUCCAACCUCCGAAAUUGUUCUCUUGAGCUUGUUUUCGAGAUCAUCACGACAUAGAAACACCCCUAAAGUAGUAAUCCUGAAAGAAAAAGUAGGCAAAAUGGAUUACAAAGAUUGUCUUUUCAUGAACUAAGGAAAAACUAUCGAGAGGUUGAUACAUACCUAUUUUUGUCGAUCUUACUCAUCGAGGAGAAUUUGUUUCCAAAAAUUUAUUGACGGUACAAAGCACACACAAAAUUCAGACAAAGCUCGGAAUCCGUAUAAAAUGUAGAACAAAAAUCGUCUUCAGACGACCAUUCUAAACCCGACCUAUUCCCAGCAUUAACCAAUUCUGGAACAAAUGAUGGCAUUUGACCCUCAUUCGUGCUUCUUUUUCUCGUUUGCGUCGAAUUAGAGGAGCCUUUUGAGUGCACUUCCUUUUUCUGUCCAUGAAUUUUUGAAACACGAGCGAUUUCAGUUAAUGUCAGUUCAUCAUCACUAUCGUUCAUUAUAGAAACAAGCAUAGUUUCUGGUUCGUCUGAUGCUUCACUCAAUACUAUUGCUUUGCAUGCCGAUGGAUCUGCAAGAAUAUUAUAUGCCAUAACAUCUUAAAUUUUGGUCUUUAAGCUGAUGUACGAAACUUAUCUGUCCAAUAAAAGUACGAAAGGAACCAAUAUCAGUCACACAACAACAACUUACCAAGUACGCAUAAGAUUACACGGUUGCAGGGAUCGCUCUGCAUAAAAUGUCAUCGGUGUCCAAAAGUGCCAGACAUAUUCAAUGGACAAGUGAGCUAAUUAUGCAACAACCAAGACGGUUGCUGUGUCUGUUGUCACAAGUUAUUUCUUUUCAAACAGGUACAUAAGAGGAUGACUUUGCUUUCUAGGCAAGGACUCAUGUGAAGAUAUGGUAAAAGAAUAUAUACCCUUUCAUGAAUUGUGUUUAGCACUAACGAUUUUUGUUUGAGACAUUGUCAAGAGCAUCCGAGAGGAUGAAAAUCUCAAAUAAAACCAUAGGUGCGGACAACUGCUAAAAGGACCUCACCUCGUGGUAGAGAGGCUGUUUAAGAUAGGCACUCAACUCAAAAGAAAGAAAAAUGAAUCACGUUUGCAUGAAAACACUACAAUAUCCUAGUAGGAUACAACGCAACUAAAAGGGGAAACGAAGAUAGACGAGAAAGGAAAAAAUUAACCGCAGCAAAGUGUCUAGAUGGACACAAUGUGUAACAGUGGAUGAAGUGGACGUAGAAAGUGUUUUUUCGGAAUUGCUUUCUACUCGAGCAUCUAGUCUUUCUUUUUUUAUUUUUCGUGUGUGUCUGUGUCAUUGUGGUGGUGUUAUUUUUAGUAUAUCAUGAAGAAUCAUCAGAAAAUAUCAUACCUAUAACCGUUUAACAGCACGACAGUAACUACUAUACCUCAAUCCAAUGAGUUGAGAUCAGCUAUAUGAAUCCUAAUGAAAUAUCCACAUAAUAUAGACAGAUCGUAACAACAGCAAGUCGACUAUAAAUCACAAAACCGUUAUACCUUUCUGUCUCGAUUCAUCAUAAAGCACGAUUACUCGAUCUUUGCCUUGAGUAGAUUCCAUGUUGUUAACACCAGUCGCAGCAAUAGCUUGAAGUCUUGUUUCCACCACCAAAUCUAUAGCAAAUUUUCAGAAAACACACACAUCAACAUAAAGAAUUUUAAAAAUUAGUUAAAUAAUUGAACGCGACAAAUAACUUAAACAGGUUUUGCAAAUGCAGUAAAAUCAAGAUAUACUGUCAACACACAUUAUGAAACGAUAAGUAACAAGACAUAAACGGGAAGCCCGGUGCACUAAAGCUACCGCUGUGCACGGUAUCCAGGGAAGGGCCCCACCACAAGGGUGUAUCAUACACAGCCUUACCUUGCAUUUCUGCCAGCGGCUGUUUCCAAGGCUUGAACCCGUGACCUCCUGGUCAUAUGACAACUUUACCAGCUACGCCAAGACAUAAUAACAACAAUACCUUCAUCACUUUUUCUCUCAUUUUCCACCAUAAGAGAAACUUCAUCCCUUAACUCUAUCAGUUUCUCCACGUAGCAAGCCACGCUUUCACUUGUCGCGUUCUCUAUCUCUUCGAUUCUUUCAGAGAACAAAUCAUUGUCCUUCUUGUAGUACUUGUGAUGAUCUUUGAUUAUCUUGUUAUACGUUUCUUCCAUUUUCUUGUUUUAUUCCUCGAUUUUUUUUCACGUUUCAUUAGAGCUCCAUGGACAAAAGAGUAGUAUUCAUCUUUAACAAUUUAUUUUCCUUAAAGAUCGCAAGUGCUUCUGUGAUCGAUGUCCUCUUCGACGAAGAAUCCAUUAUCAAAAAUGUGAUAACAGGAUUUUCUUGAUAUAGCGAAAAAAUGCGACGCAGUUAAAACUGCGAAAAAUUGAGAAAUGAUGAUGUGAAGUUUUUUUAGUUGAAAUAUAUAUAUAUAUAUAGGAACUUUGGAAGCGUGAAAAGAAGAAAGUGUACUAAAUACAUUGGGAUUUGGGAAGUUAAAAUUCAAAAGAGCUAAAUGAGAAAAAUAAUAAUUAGUAUUUGGUCAAGAUUUUAUGAAUACAAGAGUAAUUACUAUAGGCUCUAUAUUAUUUAUCACAUUAUGCCUUUAAAUUGGGUGGAUAAGUUCAAAAAAAAGUAAAACGAAAAAAACACAUCUAAAAACAAUAAUUAAUAUUUGAUCAAUAUUUUAAGAAUACACCUUGGAAUUCGAGUAGAUAAGUUUAAAAAAAUAAAACGUGAACAACUUAUUAUUUGUGGCAUAAGUCUAUAUUUUGUAACCAAGCAUAAAUUCGAUUGCUAAAGGACAAAAUCUAAAGAUCAGCCUAUUUAAAGGGCACAACUCAUGAAAUUUCUUCCUAUUGCAUGUUUAAUAGCUCGUAAAUUACGAGUGACUAUUGAAUAUGUUUUGGAGAAGAUCUGUCAAUAUAUUUCCACAAAGUUUAACUUACGCCAUAUAUAAUUGAGACACCCAGUAGAUAUAUUGUAACACUCCGACGUCUUCUUAGCUAAAUUUCGUCCAUGGAAAGUCUAAGCAUUAGCUUCUAGAAUGGUCUAAAUUAAUUUUCAUGUAGAAUUUCCUACAUUUCAACCUUUCAUUACGUAGAUGACUAUAUUAGCUUUCCAACGAUAUAAGAUUCGUCCAAAACGGACCCUCAGUGAAGAAGUUAUGAAUAAUUUAUAGUUCCAGUCGUAAACAUCAUCAUUUUGGUUUCUAGCGCGUCGCGGAGAGGGUAAAAUUGACAAUCGUCAAAUUCCAGUGGGGCUUAGCGUUGGUGGCGCAUCGCGGAGGCACCCAAUUUACCACUCAUCAAAUUCCAUUGAACCACCGCGAUUGCGGCGCGUCGCGGUUGUUUUGCAAAAAUUUUUGAUUUUUGAAAGAGUCGCCACUUAAUUUUGAAAAGGAAUUAAGAAACCUUUAUAAAACAUUUUAAACGAUUCAAAAUAGGGAAAUCGUAUAAGUUAGAGAUUCUAGAUAAGCGGUUCCUAUUAACGUUUUAGGAAGGUGUUAGGCAUGUAAAACGUUCGCUAACUUGCGGUUAUCCGAACUGCUUGAAAAUUGUCUUUUGAUUAACUUCGAAAAGAUUAAUUUGUUGAAAUAGUGAUUUGAUUUUUUCAAAAAAAAAAGAAAGACGUGUAAAAUAGAUUUAGGCGACUUAGUAGGGAUUUUAACUAAGUCUAAACAAAACUAAUAAAUAAAUAAACACAUAAAAGGGGAAGGGAGGAGAAAGUAAAGGAUUUAGGCCAUUAGGCCCAAAUCAACGAGAUCUGUCCUAGUCUAGUUGGGCUUCCAACCCAUUUCACCAGUCCUAAACAAUUUUUCGAGCCUUUGGCUAGAGUCUUGCUCCACCUGUAUUAAAUACAACUUUGGCUUCGAGACCAAAAUGAAUAAAUGACUAAAUGAAUAAAUAAAAAGAAGACAAUAAUAAAAAUUGAGACUUUUCAAGUCUUUUAGUGACCUCAUCAAUGGGUUUUGACCCAUUUUCCUUCUUUGUCUAUCUUUUAGCACCCGUACGCCAUGUAGUGGACCUUGGGUUUAAACGUCGAACUUGACUCGAAGGGGUGAGCCUCAUUUACCCAUUACGAAAUGCAGGAGGAGAGGAGUCCAUUUGGACUCGAGAUAUUUUUUUGCAUGCAAAGAAAAGAUAAAGAAAUUAAUAUAUGUUCAAGGCAUAAAAGUGACAUAUUUCAAAGUAAAAGAAACUAUCAAGAACCAAUUUUUGAAUGACAAGAAUAACCACCCUUGCGCAAGAAUGAGAGCCAACAAAUAAAAAAUGCAAAGCAAAAGUUUCACAAUCAUACUAUGCAUGAGUCAAAAAUAUCCCAAUUAAAGAUAAGGUGAGGCGGAAGAUAAUGUGGGGGAAAAUAGUACAAUGUAGUACAAUCUUUGAAUUUCAAAUUAGAAAAGGACAAAGUUGGGGGGAGUAGUACAAUUUGAAUUUAUUUUUUGAUGGGAAUUGGGUAAAAGUUAUGAGAGUUCUUGAGAAUUUUGGGGUUAUUUAAAAUAUAACCCCAAUUGGAAUUUAAAAUUUAUCCAUAUUUAUUUAUUUUGACCAAAUUAAAAAUUAAUUGACGAAUUGCAUUGCAAUUAUGUCCAAUUUUCAAUUAUGGUCAAAUCUAAUAUAUUGGCUAAAUUAAAUUAAAAUUCGAUACAAAUUAAUACUUUUUUUUUUAAUCCCUAGCUUCUUGAUUUAAUAAAAUGAAUGCAUAUUUAUCUAAAUAAAUUAUUUUUGAGAAUAAAUUAUAUUUAAAUUAAGAUUUUAAUCAUUUGAAUUUAUUUUCAAGAUAAGCCUUAAUUAAAUCUGAUAUUUUGUAAAAUAAAUAUUUAAGUAACAAAUUAUAUAAUCUCGUAUAACUGAACAUGAUAGUAUAUAAUCGCUACUUAAAAUAACAAAAUCAAGUACGAAAAAUAUUUUAAGUUUUUUUAUUUGGAUGAAAUAAUUAUUUUGAUUUAUUAAAAGCUGAAGAAACUCAGGAUUAAAUUUAGUUGUGGAGGGCAAAAAUUAGGUGUCAACAGUGGUGGCACCUGAAAUCGGGUUUUUUAAGUUCAAAUUUUCAGUUCCUUUUAGGAGUCAUUAAGGGUAAUUUUGACUUUUCUCUAACCUUUAAAACUGCCCAAGCAAAUGAUUUAGGUUAUGUUUGAGCAACUUAACCCUAUUUUCAUCAAUAUCAUCAAGAAUCCUCUCUAGGGUUUCAAAAAUAAAAACUCAAGUAGUUCAAGAUUCAACCGUAGAUUUUCGAAGUUGAUCGCAUAUUUGGAAUCCCCAGGUCGUAGGCUUCAAUAAGCACCUAUUGUCUUCCUAAGUCGAAGUACACGGGAUUUUCCUAAAAUCUCAUGGGCAUAGAAAUCAUGUUUUAAGAAUAGGGUUUUGAAGUUUAUGAAUAUAAUCAUGUUUUAGAAGUUUUAACGGUAUUGUUUUGAUCUUUAGACCUUUCCCCCAAAUUGAUUUGCAAUUAUGUAUAAAUGUACUUAUGUUUUCAAGAAUGGUUAUUCAAUUGAGAGCAUGAAUUAUAAUGAAUCCCGCUCUUGUUAUGAGUUUUCACAUCUUCGUAUGAUAUAAAUUGUUUCGAAUGCAUUUUGAAAAGCAUGACAUGAAAUACUUUGGCUUUUUGCUAUGUUUUGAAUAUGAUUUUGAAUACGAAAGAGUGGGUUGUGAAUGUUGAAUAUACAUAUAAUGAAAGAGUGCAUGGUUUUGCCCAAAGCACAUGACCACCAUAUGUUCGAUGAAAGUUUUUGCAUGGUUUUGACUUAAGUUUUGGAACAUGAAAUCUUUUAUGCGAAUUACAUGUUUGGGUGGUCUAAACCUACAUUUUUAUGAAAGAUCAUGCUUAUUCCAUUAUGGCUCAGAAAUAGAACUUGCAAGUCUUGGUGUGACAACACCAACUCAGAAAAUGUCAUGAUAAAUUCAGAACAGAAUAGAAUGCAUAUUUGAAAUCAGAUUUACAGAUUUUGUGAUUAGAAUGUUGCAUGAUUAGAAUUGGUUAAAAAUUGGGCGGAAAGAGAUGUUAUGUGGUUCCCCGAAGAAGGCAUGAGUCUAGAUACUCAUUGCCCGAAAUCGUGAUUUGCCGACCCGGGUAUAUCUUAUAUUACACUGGCCUAGUGCCGUGUAGCGUAUUAGAAUCAGAGACUCCAACCCUUGCGGCAUACUCGGGUUGGAGGCUUCUCUUCCGAGUCAAUGGUGGAUUCCAUAUAGCCCGUGGAAUAUCAAAAAAUGUAGGGAAGUGCCGCCUAACUCAGAAGUAAUACAAAGGUCAGAACUGUUUUGACAAGAAUGACAUGAUUUUUGAAUGAUGCCCAUGUGUUUUCAGAAACUUUUUUAUGCAUGAUAUUUGAUGAAAAAUUGCUCGCAUAUUAUAUAUAUAUAUAUAUAUAUAUAUAUAUAUAUAUAUAUAUAUAUAUAUAUAUAUAUAUAUAUAUAUAUAUAUAUAUAUAUAUAUAUAUAUAUAUAUAUAUAUAUAUAUAUAUAUAUAUAUAUAUAUAUAUAUAUAUAUAUAUAUAUAUAUAUAUAUAUAUAUAUAUAUAUCUAUAUAUAUAUACCCCUCCUCCCUCCAGGUCCUGAGGCAAAGUCUAGAGGACCAGAUAAACAGUAGAUAUUUUAGAUCGCAAAUCAAGUUGUAUAGUGGUGAGCCUUCUAUGAUCAAGAAGGCCUGGUUAUCUCAGAUAAUUAUCUUUAGUUAUGUUUUGGUAUACUGGGGGCCUUGUCCCAGUUUUCAGACUUUUUGUUUUAGUCCAUAGUAGAGAUUUCGCAGACUGAAUCAGACAUUAUUAUUCAGAUAUAUGUUGGAUUUCAGUUUUCAGUGUUAUGAUCACAUUCAGGUUGACCAUGUUUCCGUAUUAGAUUUCUAUUUCCACAUUAUCUUUUAUUAUAUGAAUGUUGUGCAUCAUUACUAAAUAAAGAAGGGUGUUCCGGGCCUACGUGGUUCAGAAUGCUCGUUACGGCCAGGGCCUUAGUUCGGGUCGUGACAAACUUGGUAUCAAAUCACGGUUCAUGGUCCCAGGGUGUCUGUGAAAUCACGCCGGGUAGAGUCUUUUUAUGGGUGUGUAGCGCGCCACACUUAUAAGCAGGAGUGUACUAGGCGUUUAGGAAAUGUUUUCCUUCUUUUUGAUUUAGUUCGUGCUUCAGAGUCAAGUCUGUUCCUAAUCAGUGAUCUUUCUUCUUAUAGAAUUAACAGUCAUGCCUUCUCGUCACAAUACUAAUCAGAGUACUCAAAAUGAUGCAGUUUGUCCCACUCAUGGGAUGAGGACACGUAACAGAGCUUCCACUCCAUACCCUAUCCCUACUUCAAGAGUCCCUCUAGUCCCGACCAGUCCACCUCAGGCUCGAUGGACCAAUGUUAACCAUCCCCCGACUUCUCAGAGGGAUAUUUUGAAUGCCGAAUUUAGAUAGUCUAUUCAUAUGCUGGCACAGUUGGUGGCUAAUCAGGCUUAACAAUCGGAAGAUGUUGGGUCUGCGUCAGUGACGUCGGAGGCUACUAGGGUAGGACAGUUCAUAAGAAUGAACCCACCCAAGUUUACCGGCACCAAGGUAUAAGAAGAUUCGCAAGAAUUCAUAGAUGAAAUAGAGAAAAUUUUUAAAGUGAUGCAUGUGGAUCAGAUGAAAGGUGUUGAGUUGGCAGCCUACCAGCUGAAGGAUGUAGCAAACCAAUGGUACAAUGAGUGGGAGAAUGCAAAGGGUGACAUAUCUGAGCCCACAGUUUGGGAUGAGUUUGUAGAAGCUUUCCUUGAAAGGUUCUUUCCUCUGGAGCUGAGGGAAGCUAAAAUAGAGGAGUUCAUGAACCUCAAGCAGGGUAAGAUGAGCGUUCAGGAGUACACUUUAAAAUUUAAUCAGCUGACCCGUUAUGCUCCCAAGAUGACGAGUAGUAUGAGGGUCCAAAUAAGGAAGUUUGCUUUCGGCCUUUCAGAUGAUCUAGUUCUUGAGUGUCAGGGAGCUAUGCUGAAUAAGGAGUUGAACUUUGCUAGGCUGACAGUUCACAUGCAAUAGAUAGAGGAGAAGAAAAAGAAGAUUUCUGAAGCUAGGUAGAAAGAAAGACAAGAAAAAAGAUCUAGAUCUGCCGACCAGGGUUACAGUAAGCCUCAAAGUGGUAAGUGGAGAAAUAAAUGGUAGAAGAAGAAGAAUUGGGGUAAUGCACAGUCUGCUGGCAGUGCUCCAGUACCCAAACCACCAGCAGAUAGAUGGUCUCAAAGUUUCCAGGCUCAUCAUGGAUCCAGAGCACCGGAUACUCAGUUGCAGGGUAGUGUGGCGCAGCAACAUCGUACUUUUCCACGGUGUGAGAAUUGUGGUAGAAAUCAUCCAGGGAGAUGUCAGUUGGGCUCAUUUGUAUGUUAUUUAUGUGGUCAACCGGGUCAUAUUUAGAGGGACUGUCUAUCUGCUAGGAAGAAUGUUGGUGGUGCAAAGUCUUAGGCAAAUUCUUCGGCACCACCCCCGCCUCAAAAGGGCUCCACAUCAACUGCCGAGAGUGGUUGCCACUAGUUAUAUGCUUUGACCAACUGCCAGGAGGCAGAAGUUUCCCUAGACGUUGUCACUGGUACAUUACAAAUCUUUUCUAGUGAUGUUUAUGUAUUACUUGAACCCAGGUCUACCCUAUCCUAUAUGACCCUUUAUGUGGUUGUUGGUUUUGGGUUUGAGCCCGAUAUGAUUUUUGAACCUUUCUCUAUUUCCACUCUGGUGGGUGAUUCUAUUGUGUCUAGGAGGGCGUAUAAAAAUUGUGUGGUAUCUAUUCUUAGCCAUGAUACUGUGGCAGAUCUCAUAAAACUCAAUAUAGUUGCUUUUGAUGCUAUCUUAGGGAUGGAUUGGCUCCAUUUGUGCUAUGCCACGUUAAAUUGUAGGACUCAAAAAGUCACUGUUUCUUUCCCAAAUGAGUCAGUGAUAGAAUCGGAGGGACAUUUCUUAGCACCUAGAGGGCACUUUAUAUCCUAUCUCAGGGCCCGCAGACUCAUUUCUAAGGGCUGUUUGUAUCACCUUAACCGGGUUAAGGACUUUAAUUUCGAGAGUCCUCCUCUUCAGUCUGUCCCUGUAGUAAAUGAAUUUCCAGAAGUCUUUCCAUAUGAUCUCCCAAGAAUACCACCUAAUUGGGAGAUAGAGUUUGGUAAUUAUGUGUUUUCAGAUACCUUCCCCAUCUCUAUUUUACCAUAUAGAAUGGCUCCUAUAGAACUAAAAGAGUUGAAAGAACAGCUAGCAGAUCUUCUAGGUAAAGAUUUUAUAUGCCCUAGUGUGUCUCUUUGGGGUGCGCCUGUACUUUUUGUGCGAAAGAAAGACGGUUCACUUCAUAUGUGCAUAGACUACCAUCAACUGAAUAAGGUCACGAUUAAAAAUAAGUAUCCUCUUCCUAGGAUUGAUGAUCUUUUUGACCAGCUUCAGGGUGCUAGAUGUUUUUCAAAGAUAGACCUUCGUUCGGGAUACCAUCAGUUGAAGGUUAGAGAGUGAGAUAUUCCCAAAAUAGCUUUUCAAACCAGAUACGGCCAUUAUGAUUUCUUAGUCAUGUCCUUCGGAUUGACUAAUGCCUCUGCAACUUUCAUGGACCUAAUAAAUAGGGUCUUCCGUCAGUUUUUGGAUCUGUUUGAGAUAGUAUUCAUUGAUGACAUUCUUAUAUAUUCAAAAAGUGAGGAGGACCAUGCCAAUCACCUCUGAAUUAUCCUUCAGACACUUAAAGAUCAUAGAUUGUAUGCAAAAUUCUCCAAGUGUGAAUUCUGGCUUAAUGCCAUUGCGUUCUUAGGUCAUAUUGUAUCUAGUGACGGUAUUCAGGUGGAUCCCCAAAAGGUUGAGGCAGUAAGAAAAUGGCCUUGACCCGCGACUCCAACUGACAUUUGGAGCUUCUUAGGUCUGGCAGGUUAUUAUAGAAGGUUCGUAGAGAGUUUUUCCUCUAUAGCUGCUCCGCUCACUAAAUUGACUCAGAAAAAGGUGAAGCUUGUGUGGCCUGACUUGUGUGAAAAUAGCUUUGAGAAGUUGAAAGACAAGCUGACUACUGCUCCUAUUUUGAUUCUUCCAGAGGGGGUAGAAGGUUUUGUGGUAUACUGUGAUGCGUCCCGUGUGGGACUUGGUUGUGUUCUGAUGCAGCAUGGUAAGGUGGUAGCUUAUGCGUCUAGGCAGUUAUAAAAUCAUGAGCAAAACUACCCCACUCAUGACUUGGAGUUAGCAGCUAUGGUGUUUGCACUUAGAAUUUGGAGGCAUUAUCUCUAUGGAGUGCAUGUUGAUAUUUAUACUAACCAUAAAAGUUUGUAGUAUGUUUUCUCACAGAAAGAAUUGCACCUCAGGCAGAGGCGUUGGAUGGAGCUUUUGAAAGACUAUAAUAUGAUCCUGCAUUACCAUCCGGGCAAGGCAAAUGUUGUAGCCGACGCUCUCAGCAGAUUGUCUAUGGGCAGCCUUUCUCAUGUUGAAGAGGGGAAGAGAGAGACGAUGAAGGAUAUUCACCGUCUUGCAAAUCCGGGAGUGCUACUAUUAGAUUUCAAAGAUGGAGGGGUGAUUAUUAAUGAGAUAGCUAAAUCAUCCCUUUGUUCCGAAGUCAAAGAAAAACAGGUCAAAGAUCCCAUCUUGAUGCAGAUUAAGAGAGAUGUGGGUCAAUAAACAGUAAUGUCAUUUGAGAUUGGUGGCGAUGGUAUUCUGAGAUAUCAGGGUAAAUUAUGUGUGCCUGAUGUAGAUAGGUUACGGGAAAAAAUCCUUAGCGAGGCUCACACGUCGAGGUAUGUUGUUCACCCAGGCUCUACAAAAAUGUAUCAUGAUUUGAAAACCUUUUAUUGGUAGAAUAAUAUAAAGCGUGAUGUGGAUAAAUAUGUUGCCAAGUGUUUAAAUUGUCAGCAAGUCAAGGUGGAACACAUGAGGCCGGGUGGUACUUCUCAAGAGAUAGCAUUGCCUUUAUAGAAGUGGGAGAUGAUCAAUAUGGACUUCGUUACAGGACUUCCGAAGUCCCGAAACCAGCAUGAUUCUAUAUGGGUAAUUGUAGAUAGGCUUACCAAGUUAGCGCACUUUCUUCCUGUUAGGAGUAACUAUUCGGGAGAGGAUUAUGCUAGGUUGUUCAUCGCUGAAAUAGUUCGUUUGCAUAGGGCACCUGUGUCUAUCAUAUCCGACCGAGGUACACAGUUUUCUUCUCAGUUUCGGAAAUCUUUUCAGAAAGGUUUAGGUACCCAAGUGAACCUAAGUACAACAUUCCACCCUCAGACUGAUGGGCAAGAUGAGCGCACCAUCCAGACCCUUGAGGAUAUGUUGAGAGCCUGUGUAAUUGACUUUAACGGUAGUUGGGUAGAUCACUUUCCAUUGAUAGAGUUCGCUUAUAAUAACAAUUUCCAUUCCAGUAUUAAGAUGGCACCAUUUGAGGCGCUGUAUGGUAGGAGAUGUACGUCUCCGAUAGGGUGGUAUGAAGUAGGUGAGAUGCAGAUGUUUGGGCCUGAUCUUGUUCACUAGGCAAUGAAAGAUGUGAAGCUUAUUAGAGAAUGACUUAAAAUAGCUCAGAGUCAUCAGAUAUCCUACCCCGAUGUUAGGAGGAGAGAGUUAGAGUUUAAGGUUAGAGAUUGGGUAUUUCUUAAGGUUUCUCCCAUGAAGGGAGUUAUGCGACUCGGGAAGAAGGGUAAGCUGAGUCCUCGCUAUAUAGGACCAUACCAGAUUGUGAGAAGAAUAGGUGGAGUUACGUAUGAAUUAGAGUUUCCUGUAAGUUUGGGUUCUGUCCAUCCGGUAUUUCAUAUAUCCAUGCUGAAGAAGUGCAUUGGAGAUCAUUCGUUAGUAGUACCCGUCGAAGAAAUCAAGGUGACAGACUCCUUGUCCUACAAAGAAGAGCCGGUAGCAAUUUUAGAUUGCCAAGUUAGAAAGUUGAGAAGAAAAGAUUGUUUCGAUUAAAGUGUUAUGGAGAAAUCAGAAAGUCAAAGAAGCAACUUGGGAAUCAGAAGAUAAUAUGAGAGAUAGAUGCACAAAUUUAUUUGAUCCGGUGAAUGAAGUGAUGGAAGGUACAAUCUUUGUCCUUUUCUUUCCAUGCCUUUGUCUGCUUGAAAUCGUGCUUGUCUGUUUUCCGCAUCAUUAUUCGGGGACGAAUGAUCCUAAGGGGGAUAUUGUAACACCCGGACGUCUUCUUAGCUAAAUUCCUUCAUGGAAAGUCUAAGCAUUAGCUUCUAGAAUGAUCUAAAUUAAUUUUCAUGUAGAAUUUCCUACAUUUAAACCUUUCAUUAUGUAGAUGACUGAAUUAACUUUCCAACGAUAUAAGAUUCAUCCAAAACGGAUCCUCGGUGAAGAAGUUAUGAAUAAUUUAUAGUUCCAGUCGUAAACAUAGUCAUUUUGGUGUCUAGCGCGUCGCGGAGAGGGUCAAAUUGACAAUCAUCAAAUUUCAGUGGGGCUCCGCGAUGGUGGUGCAUUGCGGAGGCACCAAAUUUUCCACUCGUCAAAUUCCAGUGGACCACCGCGAUUGCAGCGCGUCGCGGUGGCACCCGAAAUCGGUUUUUUUAAGUUCAAAUUUUCAGUUCCAUUUAGGAGUCAUUAACGGUAAUUUUGACUUUUCCCUAACCUUUAAAACCGCCCAAACAAAGGAUUUAGGGUAUGUUUGAGCAACUUAACCCUAUUUUCAUCAAAAUCAUCAAGAAUCCUCUCUAGGGUUCCAAAAAUAAAAAACCAAGUAGUUCAAGAUUCAACGGUAGGUUUUCGAAGUUGAUCGCAUAUUUGGAAUCCCCAGGUCAUAGGCUUCAAUAAGCACCUAUUGUCUUCCUAAUUCGAGGUACGCGGGGUUUUCCUAAAAUCUCAUGGGCAUAGAAAUCAUGUUUUAAGAAUGGAGUUUUGAAGUUUAUGAAUAUAAUCAUGUCUUAGAAGUUUUGAUGGUAUUGUUUUGGUCUUUAGACCUUUCUCCCAAAUUGAUUUGCAAUUAUGUAUAUAUGUUUUGACUUAUUCUAAUCAACUUUCUGGUCCCAUUCCUAGUGAAUUGGGAAAAUGCAAUAAAUUGACUGAUUUGCAAAUAGCGAGAAACAGAAUUGGAGGUAGCAUACCACUAGAGAUUGGAAAUGUCAAAGGGCUUCUAGGACUUGAUCUUUCAUCGAAUCAUUUGAUCGGGCAGAUUCCAAAGGAAUUUGGAAAAUUAACCUCUCUGAUUAGGCUUUUGGUGCAAAACAACAGUAUUUCAGGCAAUAUACCUCGCGAAUUUGUAUCAUUGGCAAAAUUAGAGUACCUUGAUCUAUUUGAUAACAGAUUGAAUGGAUCGAUCCCGACAUGUAUAGGAGAUUUCGUGCACUUGUUUCGUGCAAUAGCAAAUUUGGCCAAAACAUUCCAACUGAGAUAGGGAGGAUGACUCAUUUUAAUGUACUUGAUUUGAGUCAUAAUCUUCUGGUUGGAGGUAUUCCCCCUCAGCUGGCAAAUUUGAAGGUGUUGGUAGACUUAAAUCUUUCCCACAACGGCCUGUCCGGGCACAUUCCCGAAGAAGUUGAAAGUAUGACUGGUUUGCAGGUUGUUUUUCUGUCAUACAAUGAGUUGGAAGGUCCAAUCCCUGAAUCAUUUGAUCGGGCAGAUUCCAAAGGAAUUUGGAAAAUUAACCUCUCUGAUUAGGCUUUUGGUGCAAAACAACAGUAUUUCAGGCAAUAUACCUCGCGAAUUUGUAUCAUUGGCAAAAUUAGAGUACCUUGAUCUAUUUGAUAACAGAUUGAAUGGAUCGAUCCCGACAUGUAUAGGAGAUUUCGUGCACUUGUUUCGUGCAAUAGCAAAUUUGGCCAAAACAUUCCAACUGAGAUAGGGAGGAUGACUCUGCUUAAUGUACUUGAUUUGAGUCAUAAUCUUCUGGUUGGAGAUAUUCCCCCUCAGCUGGCAAAUUUGAAGGUGUUGGUAGACUUAAAUCUUUCCCACAAUGGCCUGUCCGGGCACAUUCCUGAAGAACUUGAAAGUAUGACUGGUUUACAGGAUGUUUUUCUGUCAUACAAUGAGUUGGAAGGUCCAAUCCUUUUUUUCAAACACACUUAAAUAUUCUUAAUCUGAUUUACGCAUUUAAAUCGUGUUGUAACAGAGCUUGCAUAUACAAUGAAGGUUACACAAAUGUGUGAUGUCUAUAGCUUUGGAGUAUUAGCAUUGGAGAUAAUCAAAAAGCAUCUUGGUGAGUACAUUACUGUGCUAGCAAAUUCAUCUAGUAUGGAUCAUCAUGUGCAACUUAGUGAUUUUCUAGAUGAACGCCUUCUGUAUCCUGAAGAUAGAGUAAAUGAACUUUUGGUUUUUAUCAUCAAGCUAGCAAGCUCUUGUUUGGUUGAAACUCCAAAAUCAAGGCCAACAAUGCAAUUCAUCUCUCAUAAGUUAUCAUCAAUGGAUGCUUAUGCCCACCCAUUAUUCCUGUAAGGCGAUCUUUCUAAUUCCGUAAAGUGUCUUUGAAUGAAAAUGUAUGUAUAGCUUUUGACCCACGACGAAAUUAUUACCGGGUCUAGUAUAUUUGUAUUGUUAGGGUGCUUGUGUGGUUUAUUGUAUUAGUGCGUACAAUUUUGAAGGUAAUUGUUCCUUGUGCCAAAAAGUAAACAAAAAAACAAGCUUCAUGUUUUCUAAGUACUGAUGUUAUAUAGAGGAUUUACUAGUCUACAUCGUUUAGUAAUUUGAAGGUGAGCCUUGGAGUAACUGGUAAAGUUGUUGCCAUGUGACCAGGAGGUCACCGGUUCAAGCCUUGGAAAUAGCCUCUGGCAGAAAUGCAAGGUAAGGCUGCGUACGAUACACCCUUAUGGUAGGGCCCUUCCCAGACAUAGCGCAUAGCGGUAGCUUUAGUGCACCAGGCUGGCCCUUUUUUUUUUUUAUAAUCAAAAGAAAGCAUCACAGGGAAUAUAUUACUUUGCUAGCGAAUUCCUCAACCGUAGAUCAACCAUGUGCAGUUCAGUGAUUUGCUGGAUGAACACCUUCCUUAUCCUGUAGACGGAGUAAAACAAGUCUUGGUUUUCAAUUUUCAUCAUCAAGCUAGCAAGCUCUUCCGGGAGUCCAUCAGAAACAUCCUCUCUACUUCUUUGGAGGUAGCGGUAUGGACUGCGUACAUCUUACCCUCUCCAGACCCCACUUUGUGGGAAUACACUGGGUUUGUUGUUGUUGUUUUUGUUAAGCUAGCAAGCUCUUGUUUGAUUGGAACUCCAAAAUCGAGGCCAACAAUGCACUUCAUCUCUCACAGGUCAUCGAACUUCAAUGGAUCCACGUCCAUCUACUCAUGUAAAAUGAGCUUUGUAAUCUCUGAGAUGUAAGGUGUCUUUGUAUGAAAUGAAUAACCAUUGAAAGUUUGAAACCAAGUGGUUGUGUAGGUAAUACAAUGAGAAGGUCUAAGAUAAAAAUUAUUACUCAGACUAGGAAUUUAUGUGAAUAUGCCUUUCAGGUACUUUAACUACUUAAGAAAAUAAGACAUUUAACUACUAGUUUUGCUCAAGCAAGUUUUUGCCACGACCCGAACCGGGGCCCUAGCCGUGAUGAGCAUCCCAAACCAUGAAGGCCCAGUAUGCACAAUUCUUAUAUAAAAUAAUGCAGAAAUAUAAUCAUUACGGAAUCCUGGUCAUGUUCUGGGUCAAGUUUAUCAAUACGAAAGAAAACCCAUCAACAUCUAAACAACAUCUGUUUCUGUUUCCGAAAUCUCUAAUACAUACGAAAUAAGCAAAUUGUCUGAAACUGGGACAAGGCCCCCAGUGGACCUAAACCAAAGUAAAUGAUAAAUGUCUGAAAAGAAACAGGGCUUCCGGAAUAAAGAAGGCUCACCAACUGCACACUUCUGUAUGAUAAUUCUACGGCUUAGCAGGACCUCUAGAUUGAGCCUCAGACCCUGAAAUAUAGGGGGGAUCAAUAAAAUUGUACUAGUAUGUGAAGCAACUCAAAAUAACAUGUUUUUAUACAAAAUAGAUGAGAGCAUUUCACAAUAAUAAUAAACAUUAUAUAAGUGGAAAUACAUGGGCAUAUUUAACAAAUUUAAAGUUCAAUUCUUGACAAUCUUAACUCACUUUUUGUCAUUAUUUUGAGCUAAUCGGUACACCCUACAAUUUGUAAUUCCAUGGGCUAUAUGGAAUCCAUCAUUUACUCGACGGCCAAGCCUCCAAUACAAGUGUGCCACAAGAAUUGGAGUUUUAGUAACAUGGUAUACCCCUUACAAGUAUACUGUGGUGUCACCCUUGCAUGAUGUCCACAUUAUCCCCCUUAUAGGAUAAUACCCGUAUCAGCAACUACGGUUUCCAAUGAUGAGCCCUUACACUCAAACGCCUUCUUCGGAUAACCAAUUAGCUCUCUUAAGCCCAAAUUUUAAUUAUUCAAAAUCUGGCAUCACCCUUGGAUGCUUCGUGUUUUCAAACGUUCAAUACUUUUUCUAUUAAGGGCAUGUCAUCAUCGGGUAUCGUCAUACCCUGACUUGCAAGUCAAUAUCAUAUCAAAUUCACAGCCCAUAUUAUAUUCAAAACAUGCACAUGACCACCAAUGAAAUUCAUAACAUUACAAUAGAGUCAUCACUUGGAAACCUCAAGAACAUUUAAGCAUUUAUCCUCUCUUGGCAAGAUUUCAAAACAUGUGGUGGUCAUGUAAAAUUGAUCAAUCUCAUGUGAUUCUCCCCCCUUUAAAACAAGAAUAUAGUUAUAGCAAGAAACUCCCUCUCAUCACAUAUAAACCAUGUCAAACACCAUAAUAUUGAGAAGAUCACUUUCAAAUCUUCAAACAUGUGUUUCAAUUCCUUCACAAUGAACAUAUAAACUUUAGUUAGCAACGAGAGGGGAUUCAUACUCAUGCUCUCAAUCAAUUUUACAAAAUACACAAAAUCCCAUACAUAUAUAGUUAUAAUUCAAUUUCCAUGAAAAGUGGUUCAAGACAAUAUAUAUUUUCAUCAAAACAAUCCCAUGAUGCAUACCUUCCGAAAACCAUGUAGAAUACUUCAUUAAAAACAUAAUUGGGGAUCUUUAAUCUUGAUAAACAUAUUUAAACUUAUGCCCAAGGUUUUUAGAGUAGUCCCACACACCUUAGAUUAUCAGAUCUGAAAGAUUGAACCCGAAUGUCUAUAUAUUUCCUUCAAAACUUGGCUUAAGAGUUAGGGAUUUUUUUCUUGUUCUUGGGGAAAUGGAGGAUGAUUUUUGAUUUGGGGAGAAUAUGAAUUUGGGGAAAGUGCAGAUUUGGGGCUAAAAUUUGGUGUUAUAGCUGAGGUAAGAUGAGGAAAAAGACUAAAAUACCCCUAAGGAAACAAAAAAGGUCCCAGCAGUACUCCCUCAAUUGACAGGCUGACAUGCUGAAGUAAGUUGGGCAUAACUUUUGACUUCGAUAUUGGACUUGGACGAAAUCAGUUGAGUUGGAAAGAAGACUCAAAUACCUUUCAUUUGACAUAUAUAAGGCCCCACAGUUCGUUAUAUACACAAAUUUAUGGUCGACGAAAGUUGACCCAAGUUGAACUGUCCACUAAAACUUAAUCGAUAGAAUUGUUUUCAACUCGUCUUAGAGUUACGGGAUUCUUGUGACCUCAAUUCAUAUUCAAAGAUUUUCCCACACUAUCGGAGUGAUCACCACACAUACAUUAACAAGGAAUAAUUUAGUUCAUGUGUAUACGUGUUGGAAUGAUGGUCUAAAUUUUAGCCCAAAAGUACGGGGUGUUACAUUAAAAAAGAAAAAGUUUGUUGUUGAAAAUGGUGGUUUGAAGUACUUUUUCAUGGGAGAAGUUUUUGUGAAGAAGAAAAAGAUAAGAAAUAAGGAAAGUACAAGAGUGUGUUACUGAUGGUUUGUGUUGUUUUCAGGAGAAAUUUAUAGCAAGAUGAAAAGUGUAUUUUUUUUUGUUCCCAUCCGUUGUGUUGUCUGGUGUUCACAUUGGAGCUCCAACUAAUCCGAAUUGAGCGUUGUAGGGCCCAUUAAGGUGGUAGCGCUUCCAAUAGAGUUUUCUUCAUACCCAGGAUCGAGCCCUCGACCUCUGAUGAAAAGUGUACUAAUAUCCAUUGGGAAGGUAACUUCUUAAGGUUUUUUUUUUAAUAAUUGAAUUUUUUCAUUCCAAAGAAAAUCUUUUUUUCCCCUCAAUUACCACCAUAAAAGUAUUAUACAAUAUAUAGUUUUCUAUGAAGUCAAGUAAUGUUUCUAGUUACCCUCCACACCCUUCUAUCUAAGGUCACGUUCUCAGUAAUCUGAAGCUACGUAAUAUCAUGUCUAAUCACCUCUCCUCAAUAUUGUUGCUAUAUAUUUGUUAGAAAUUUUGCACCCAAUGAGCAAAUAGUGUUAAGCAUUUUCUUACAACAUACUCCCUCCGUCUCAAAUUACCCAUCCCAAAUUAAGAUGGCACAUUGAUUAAGAAAAAUAAUUAAUAACAUGACUAGUUUAUCAUAGUACCCCUAUUAAAUGAAUACCGCUAAGGAAACAAAAAGGUCACAGCACUCCCUCAGUUGACAGUCUGACAUGCUGAAGUAAAUUGGGCAUAACUUUUGACUCCAACAUCGGACUUGGACGAAAUCAAUUGCGUUGGAAAGAAGACUCAAAUACCUUUCAUUUGAUAUAUAGCCAGACCCCCAAUUAGUUAUAUACACAAAGUUAUGGUCGAUGAAAUUUGACCCAAGUUGAAGUGUCCACUAAUAACAUGGCUAGUUUAUCAUAGUACCCCUAUUAAAUGAUGUUUACGUUUUAAAGAAAAAAUAAUUAAUGCAAAGGGUAAAACAUGGAAAAAAAUUAUCUCAGUAAAAUAUGAAGUCAAAUUAGAAAAUUUGGGACGGAGGGAGUAGUAAUUUUCCAUGAACAAAUAUAGUUAUACAACCAGCAUUUAUGUCUUAUCAACACUGCCAAACACUAACUGAUGUGAACUUAUCCUUGUAACCUAAGUUGAUCGGACUCUCCAAAUUUGUUGUUGCACCCAUGUCGGAUCCUUCAAAAAUUCAAUACUUUUGAAGGAUCCGACACGCACCCAUCAAAAUUUUCGAAGACUCCGAGCAGCAUAGCUUGUAACAGAUCAAGCAUUCGCACUAAAGCUUCCGCUAUGUGCAGGCCAAGCAGGUACUCGAUGUUCCAACAAAACAAGCAUAACAUGCAUCCAUAUGUCUAUAAAUAUAGCAAUCCAUAAUCAAAAUACUACAAAGAUGACCAAGAGAUGAACCAUAAAUACCUAACUGUUCCUACUACAGCUAGAUAUCUUCCCAGAACAAACCAAGUCUAGUACAAGAACUUUUUGCCAAGGGAGCUCGGAUUCUGGUGCAAAAACUCGACCGCUCAUUUCACAACUUGCUAGUUUACUCGGAAGCAACAUUAUUUUGACCCUCAUUCAUGCUUCUUUUUCUCUUUUGCGUCGAAUUAGAGGAGCCUUUCACAUGCACUUCCUUUUCCUGUCCACGGCGUUUUGAAGCACGAGCAAUUUCAUUUAACGUCAUAUCAUCAUCACUGUCGCUCAUCAUACGAAGAGACAUAGUUUCUGGUUUGUCUGCGAGAAAAUAUAUGAAACAUAUUAAGUUAGCUCCUUUUAAAUUGACGUACGAAACUCAUCUUCCCAAUAAAAGUGUGAUAUCCUCCAAUAUAAGUCACACAACAACAACAACGUACCAAGUAUAAUCCCAAAAGCGAGACCUGAGACGGGCAGGGUAGGAUGUAUGAAAACUUUACCUAUACCAUUACGGGGUAGAGAGGCUGUUUAAGAUAGUCCCUCGGCUCAAAAGAACGAAAAAUGAAUCAUGUUUGCAUGAAAACAUGACAAUAUCCUACUAAAAGGGGAAAACCAAGACAGACGAGAAAGGGAAAAAAUUAACUACAGCAAAGUGGCUAGAUCGACACAGCUAAAAAAGUGUAACAGUGGACGAAUUGGAAGUCUUGAGGAUACGAUGCAACUGUUUUUCGCAGUCGCUUUCUACUUGAGCGUCUAGUGUUUCAUUUUUUAUUUUUUCUAUGUGUGUUUGUGUGAUUGUGGUGGUGGUGUUUUUAGUAUAUAACGAAAAAUCGUCAGAAAACAUCAUACCUAUAACCGUUCAACAGAACAACAGUAACUACGCUAUACCUCAAUCCAAAGAGUUGAGGUCGGCUAUAUGAAUCCUAAUAAUAUAUGCACAUAAUAUAGACAGAUCAUAAUAACAACAAAGUCGUCUAAAUCACAAAACCGUUAUACCUUUGUGUAUUGAUUGACCACUGCUAUUUCCGGUUGAUGUGCCAACCAGUUUUGGAUCAUCAUAAAGCACAAUUGCCCGAUCUUCACCUUGAGAAGAUUCCACGCUGUUAACGCCAGUCACACCAGUAGCUUGAAGGCCUGUUUUCACCUCCAAAUCUAUAGCCAAUUUUCACGAAACACACACAUCACAAUAAAGAAUUUUCCUCGUUCAGAAUGAGAAAAUAUAACAUCUAACUCUUUGAACAACAAAAAAGGUAUGAGAACAGAAAAUAUAAGUCACACAACUGAUCAAAAUGUAUUCAUUUGCUUUUCGUAGCAUCAAUCAUCAUUUACCAAACUAUAUCCGACUCCAAAUUAGUUGAUUAAUUGAAUACCACAAAUAAUUAAAAAAGGUUUUACAAAUACAGUAAAAUCAAGAUCUACCAUUAACAUAACAAGUUGUAAAGAGGAAAAACUAAACAAAAAUAAUCGACGUAUAUUCACAUAAUGUCAAGAAUGAACCUUGGGUCUAACUCAACCACAAAAGCUAGCUCAAGAGAUGAGGAUUACCCAAGUCCAUAUAAGCAAACCACUAGUCCAUUCCCCAACCAAUGGGGCAAUUUUACCCACUCUAACACCCCCUUCAUGCCCAGGCCCAAUUGGCACUGGCACGUGGAUCGGGAGCCCAAAAUGGGAAUGGACCUGGCUCUGAUACCAUGUCAAGAAUGAACCUUGGGUAAUCCUCACCUCAUGAGAUAGCUUUUGAAGUUGAGUUAGGCCCAAGGUCCAUUCUUGACAUGGUAUCAAAGCCUUCUCUUGGCUGUCUUGUUUCAUAGAGUUCAUUUGUGGUUUCUUUCAGUCUUUUUGGAAAAUUUUGGUUUUUGUUGAUUGUUCCUCGACAAUUAACACCUUGUAUUUUGAUCUUGGUCAUUCUUUUUAAGUCAGUGUUUCUAGUUUUCAUAAAUAUGACUUCAUAUCAGUUUGAAUCAUUCGGUUUCACUGGAAAGAAUUUCUUGUCAUGUGAGUUUCAUUUUCAGUUAUUUGUCACUGGAAAAGAACUAUGGGGCCAUAUAGAUGGAGCCGAUCCUGCUCUUAUUGAUCCUACAAAGUUAGGUGAAUGGAAGAUUAAAGAUGCUCGGGUAAUGACAUGGCUUUUAAGGUGAAUUGACCCUCUUAUUGUUCUUAAUCUCAGGUCUUACAAGACAGCUAAAGCCAUGUGGGAUUAUUUACAAAGGGUUUACAAACAAGAUAAUAGUUUCCAACGCUGUCACUUAGAGUAUGAAAUUGCUAAUUACUCUCAAGAAGAUCUUUCUAUUCAGGAUUAUUUUUCUGGAUUUCAGAACUUAUGGGCUGAAUUUAUAGAUAUUGUUUAUGCCAAAAUACUGGAUGAAUCUCUUUCUGUAGUUCAACAAGUUCAUGAGCAAAGCAAGCGAGAUCAAUUUUUGAUGGAGUUACACUCUGAGUUUGAGACUGUUCACUCCCACUUGAUGAAUCGUGACCUGUCUCUCUCCUUGGAUGUCUGUUUAAGGGAAUUACUUCGGGAGGAGCAGUGUUUUGUCACACAAAAUGCUUUCAAUCAAGUUGAUGAUAUAGUUGUUACAUUUGCUGCCCAAGGUAAAGGAAAGGGUAGGGAUAUGACUAGAACUCAAUGCUAUAGUUGCAAGGGAUAUGGUCAUAUUGCUAGCAAUUGUGGCAGGAAGUUUUGUAAUUAUUGCAAACAAUAAGGACACAUUAUCAUAGAGUGUCUCACACGCCCUCAAAACCAUAAGGUUAAUGCUUUUCAAGCUGGGACAAAUGGUUUCACUACUGAGAACUCAUCUUUGGGACAAGUUCUUACUCCUGAAAUGGUAAGACAAAUGAUCAUGUCAGUUUUUUCAGCUUUAGGGCUACAAAGUAAUGAUCUUGCAUCUAAUAUUUAGCUUGUUGAUUCAGGAGCUUCCAAUCAUAUGACCAACUCAUCUAGUAUGCUAAAAAAUAAUCAUAAGUAUCAUGGUCCAUCGCAAAUUGAAGUUGCCAAUGGUAGUAGUUUACCCAUUACCAAGGUUGGGGAUAUUACUAAAACUUUCAAUAAUGUUUUUGUGUUACCAAAGCUCUCCACUAGUCUUAUUUCAGUUGGACAAUUGAUAGAUAACAAUUGUGAUGUGAAUUUGUCUCGUAAUGGUUGUCUUGUGCAGGAUCAGAUCUCAUAAAGUUGGACGACUGUUUCCUAUACACUUUUCCAUUCCUCGUGUUCUAUCAUUUGCUUGUACUUCUACACCUAGUAAGACUGAGGUAUGGCAUAAUAACAACUUCCUAACUAACUAAUGGGUUAUUUACUUAAUUAAUUCAACUACUUGGAUAAACAGUAGAAAAUAACUGCUAAGUAAUGCAUUCUCCUUUUCUUUAACACUUAGGACAUCCAAAUUCUAUUGUGUUAUCUCAUUUAUCGAAUUCGGGUUUAUUGGGGAACAAAAAUCUAUUUUUCACUGCUUCCUUUGAUUGUUCCACUUGUAAAUUAGGCAAGAGUAAAAUCUUCCUUUUUCUAAUUUUGGUAGUUGUGCUACAAAGUGCUUUGAUGUCCUUCAUAGUGAUGUUUGGGGUAUUUCACCAAUUGUUUCUCAUGCCCAUAUCAAGUACUUUGUGACAUUUAUAGAUGAUUAUAGUCGAUUUACGUGGGUAUAUUUUCUUCAUUCCAAAUCUGAGGUAUUUUCCAUAUUCAAGACAUUUUUGGCCUAUAUUGAGACUCAAUUUUCUACUUGCAUCAAAUUAUUGAGAUCUGAUUCUAGUGGAGAAUAUAUGUCUUAUGAGUUCAAAAAUUUUUUUCUUGAAAAAGGAAUUGUCUCAGAACGCUCUUGUCCAUAUACACCACAACAAAAUGGGGUUGUUGAACGUAAAAAUCGUCAUCUUUUAGAUGUCACUUGUACUUUAUUAAUUGAGUCCUCUGCUCCAUCUAAGUAUUGGGUGGAAGCUUUGUCUACUGCUGUUUACUCAAUUAAUAGACUACCAUCUUAAGUCUUAAAUCUUGAAUCUCCAUAUUUUCGUCUUUAUCACAAAAAUCCAAGUUAUGAUAAUUUUCAUACAUUUGGCUGUAUUUGUUUUGUGCAUCUUCCUCCUUCUCAGCGUAAUAAACUUUCCGCUCAGUCUACUAAAUGUGUUUUUAUAGGUUAUAGUACUUCACAGAAAGGCUUUCUCUGUUAUGAUCCAUGUUCUAAUAAAUUUCAUGUUUCUAGAAAUGUUGUUUUCUUUGAGAAUCAAUAUUUUUUUCCUACUCAUGUUGAGUCAUCUCCUGCUUCUCUUCUUCUUCCUACUUUUGAGAAUUUGCCAUCUUCUUCUAAGAGGUUGAAACCUGGAUUUGUGUACGAACGUCGUCCGCCAACUUUACCCCCUCCUGAUAUUGAUCUGCCACCUUAAACUGCUACACAACUAGAAUUGAGAAUUCUUCAAUGCCUGCUCCUCUUGAGCCCACUCGGCGAUCUACCAGAGUAUCUUGUCCUCCUAAUUGGUAUGGAUUUUCAUUAACUUUAUCUGCCAUUUUUGUUCCAACUUGUUACUCACAAGCUUCCAAGCAUGAAUGUUGGCAGAAAACAAUGGAGGAAGAACUUUUGGCUCUUAAAGAAAAUGACACAUGGGAUAUUGUUUCAUGUCCUUCAAAUGUCCAUCCAAUUGGAUGUAAAUGGGUUUAUUCAAUUAAACUUCAUUCUGAUGGAAGUCUUGAUUGGUACAAAGAUCGGUUGGUUGUUCUUGGUAACAAACAGGAGUAUGGUGUGAACUAUGAAGAGACUUUUGCACCGGUAGCAAAAAUGACGACGGUGCAAACUAUUAUUGCCAUUACUGCUUCACAAAACUGGACGCUUCAUCAAAUGGAUGUCAAGAAUGCUUUUCUUCAUGGUGAUCUCAAAGAGGAUAUUUAUAUGAAACCUCCACCAGGUUUGUUCUCAUUACCUACAUCAGAUGUAUGCAAGUUGAGGCGGUCUCUGUUUGGAUUAAAACAAGCUCCCAGAGCUUGGUUUGACAAAUUUCGGUCUACUUUUCUACAAUUCUCUUUUGAGCAAAGCAACUAUGACUCAUCUUUCUUUCUUUAGAAAAAAUCCAUAGGUUGUGUCCUUCUUUUGGUAUAUGUUGAUGACAUUAUUAUUACAGGAACUGAUUCUUCACUAAUUACUAGCGUGCAACAACAACUGAAGGAUUCUUUUCAUAUGAAAGAUCUUGAUACUCUUACAUAUUUCUUGGGUUUGGAAGUUCAUCGUGAUUCAUCCGGUGUGUUUCUAAAUCAACACAAAUAUACCCAAGAUUUGAUUUCUUUGGUAGGUCUUUAGGAUUCAUUCUCUGUGGAUACUCCAUUAGAAUUGAAUGUAAAGUAUCGCCGGGAGGAAGACGAUCUUCUUCCUGAUCCAACUAUAUAUCGGCAUUUAGUUGGGAGGUUAAAUUACCUUACUAUUAUUAGGCCUGAUAUCUCUUUUAUAGUUCAACAAGUUAGUCAGUUCAUGCAAGCUCCCCGUCAUCUUCAUUUGGUGGCUGUCCGUCGCAUCAUUCGAUACCUCUGAGGAACAUCUAAUCGUGGAUUAUUCUUUCCUAUUGGUUCACCUAUUCGUCUUAAUGCUUUUAGUGAUUCUAAUUGGGCGGGAUGUUUUGACACUCGUCGUUCGGUUAAUGGUUGGUGCAUGUUUCUUGGAGAGUCUUUGAUAUCUUGGAAGAGUAAUAAGCAAGACCGUAUGUCAAAAUCUUCAACAGAGGCUGAAUAUCGAGCAAUGUCUACUGCUUGCUCCGAGAUUGUGUGGCUUCGUGGACUACUUGCUAAGAUUGGAUUUCCAUAAUCUAAUCAUACUCAUCUCCAUGCUGACAAUACAAGUGCUAUUCAGAUUGCUACUAAUCCUAUUUAUCAUGAGCGGACCAAACACAUCAAAGUAGACUGUCAUUAUAUACAAGAAGCUGUAGAUAAAGGUGUCAUUACUCUUCCGUACGUGUCCGGUGAUCUUCAAAUAGCUGAUGCAUUUACAAAAUCAAUGGCACGACAACGACAUCAGUUUCUCGUCGGCAAAUUGAUGCUUCUUGAUCUCCAACAUCAAUUUGAGGGGGGAUGUUAGCAUGAUGUAAAUAUUGUAUAUUAAUGUAAUCAUAUAUUGUUGUAUAUUGGUGUAAUUAUAUAGAUUUGAUUUAGUAGUUAAAGAGAAUAAUAGUGACUUUAGUAAGAGCAGAUUUGGUGGGAUAAAAAAGCGAAUUUAGAGGGAUAGAAAAAUUGAUCUUUAGGGAUAGGAAGACGGAUCUUUAGGGAAUUAAUCAUUGAAUAUUUUCUGUUUAAUGACAAGACUCUCAAUAUUGAGAGGUAUUCAGCAGAAAAUUGACACAUAACAGCAAUACCUUCAUCAUUUUUUCUCUCCGUUUCCUUCAAAUCAGAAAUUCUACCUCUAAACUCGAUGAUUUUCUCCUCGUAGCGAGCCUCUUUAUCACUUUUUGCCUUCUUUAGCUUUUGAAUUCUGUCAAACAGCAUUUGUCUUUUUGUACUGCUUGUAGUCCUCUUCUAUUAUUUUACUGUACUUUUCGUCGAUACUUCUUUUUUCUUCCUCGAAACCUUUUUCGCAAUCCAUCAGAAUUUCUUGUGCAAAAGGGAAGUCUUUUUCUUCAACCAUUUGUUUUUCCUUCAUAAUUGCAAGUAAUUCUGGGAUCGAUGUCAUCUUCAAUGGAUAUCAAAGAUGUGAUGUAAGCGGUGUGAAGUGGAAAAUGACAAUAAUACAGGGAGCAUGAAAAUACAUCUAAGAACAAUAAUUAGUACUAUUUGAUCAAGAUUUCAAGAAUUUUUGAUACUUUUACAUUAAAGAUUAGUCAAACACCUCAGCUUUUAAAGUAAAACAUUAAAUGUACCUUUGAUUUCUGCAAAAGAAUGAAUGUAGUUGUAAUCCUUAAAAUGUACUUAGAUAACUUAAAUAGUAAUUAUAGGAUAUCCUUUUUUGCUCUUUCCAUAAUAAGAUAUCGAUUCAUUCCCUCAUACCUUUAUUACAUGGCAUCAGAGUUAUUGUCUGAGUUGGUAUUUUGUAUUAGCCGGAGGUCACUAUGACUUCACUGAGCACAUUUGAGUAGUUGUAGACUGCAGUUAGCAUUUAUAUGUUCUUUACGCGGACAUUAUAUGGUAAAAUCAUACUUGCGAUCAAUGGCAACUUGAACUUAGCACUUUAGCAGCAGUUGUAUUAUGUUGCUGUAUAUGGAAAAGUCGUGCGUAAGAGUUGUAUCACUGCAUAUUAUAUCAAUGUUGAUAGCUACUCUUCUUAAAUACAGUAGUUAUGUUUCAUUUCUUUUUGUAACUAUAUUACAUUUCAUAAUAAAGUGUAAAUAUUUGUCGCGUCGCAUGGUUUUUCCUACAAAUAACUUAACUAUAGUAAAGCGACAGAAAGUUGAGAUGACAAAUAUUCAAAGUUCAUAUGAAAAUAUUUCCUAUAUAUUGAUUAGUUUGAGGCAGACACAAGAUGCAAACUAAGUGUUUUCAACGAGUAGUUUUCCCUGGUUGUUCCUUUUAUGGACUGUUGUUUAGUAAAUAAUAUAUUAUGGUCCAUUGAAAAAUGUUCCACAUUAGUACUACAAAGUAUUUGUGUGGGUGUUUAUAGCCUUGCGCUAUCCCACCUUAAUAGCUAUCUUUUGAAAUGUGGUUCUCCUAAGGUUGUAAUAGUGAUAUCAAAGCCAUCCAUUACCUUCCUUGCCCACCGUUCCUGGGAUGGUGACGCAGGUAUGGCAGUAUUUGUUCGGUGCUAGUAAUGUCUAGUGCACAACCAUCGUGGCACCUGACUCAACAAGAGAAAUCUAGGAAAGAGCUACCUACAAAAGUAGAGAGUGGAGCCAUCGAGGACGAAGGAUUCGAAGCGUGAUGGUUUGUUAUGAUCGUAGCAAAAAGUCCCACAUUUGUACUACAAAGUAUUUGUGUGGGGGUUUUAUAGUCUUGGGUUCUCCCACCUUAAUAGCUAGCUUUUGGAGGCGUAGUUUUCUUAAGGUUGUAAUAUUGGUAUUAGAGCCACCCAUCACACUCCGUCGCGGGAGCUGUGCACCUGACUUGGAAAGGGCUACUUAGGAAAGAGCUAUCUAGAAAAGUAAGUGAAAGCUACCCACUUGAAAAGGGCCUUCCAUGCCCACCAUGCCUGGGAUGGUGACGUUGAUAUGACAGUGUUCGGCCGGGGAAAGUAAUGUAUAGUGCACAAUCGUCGCAACAUCUGUGCACCUGACUCGAAACCUGAGACGAUGAAACCAUCCGAUCAAACGAUGAGACGUCUUGAAUUUAGUCAAAAAAACAUCAAGUACAAGGGCAGGCUUUCUCUCUUCCCAAACCACACGCGUCUUUUCCUUUCAUUACCCAAAAUGCACAAAGAAACCAUCCAUCUUUCACUCUCUCUCCAUCUUCCUCAUCUACUCUAUACCCAAAAUCAAAACCACAAUCCACCAUAUCUUACCAUCCGCCUGCACUACAAGGAUUCAUCCUAUUUUCAGCCUUUCCAAUCCGCUACUUCAAUAAAUCAACGAAAAUCAGUUCCCAAUCGGUGAUACAACGAAAUUAGAUUUCAAAUCCAUGUUAAAGACACAAAAAUCGUCCAAAAUCGUGAAGUGAGUUGUCUUUUUCAACUUUUUGAAUUUCAAAUACAUCCCUUUGAUUUGGCCGUUGGUUUCCUUGAAUUUUGGUUUCAAAUUCGGACUUUCAAGUCCGGAUUUGCAUAUAAAUACCUACGGUUUUACCUAUUUCGAAGGGGGGGCGGGGGGGGGGGGGGGGGGGAGAGAAGUUUUUUAGAAGGAGAGACAGAGGGGGAACACUCGAAAAUUGGGGAAUAUUCACACAAAUUCACAAACAAAGUCACAAAAUCAGAAGUUUUGUUUCUUCUUUUCGGUCUAGGUUCGGGCUCCCGGAGUUUGAGUUGGAUAGCUGGAAAAUCUUGGCAUCGAAGCCCCAUCUUGCUGCCCCAUAAAAGUUUCAACGGAAACUCGGUUUUGACCCAAAGUUUGGGUCGAUGGGUAUAGGAUCACAGAGUUCGGGGUCUAAAUUGCUAGGAGCCAAUUUGCUUCCAUAGGAAUUGAUAGUAUCCCAUCCUUUACCUUUCUCAUGACUUUCUUAUUCACGUUUGUUUCAUUAACUUUGUGUCAUUUUGAUAAUUUAUUUUAUAUGUCUUUGAUUGAAACCGAUAUCACUUAACUUUGUUUAGUUUUGUUCGAACUUUAAACCACCUAGAAUUGAUUUUAUUCGGUCAUUUUUUAUUCGUCAUUCAUAAAUAUAAUAACGGUAUAUAGUUCAACCACUUAUUUUUAUAAUUUUGCACCUACGAAUCUACCUUUAUAAUAAAUGGCAAACUCUGCUUUUUAUAAUUACAAUAUGGAAUACAUCUCUGAUUGAACAAAACAACUGGUUAUUAUUUUCGAUUUGCAAAAUAUUAAUUAACGGUUUUGUCACCUUAUCCAGAGUAUUGUUUUCCAAAUGAAUCAACAUAAGUAUUAAAUAGGUUUCAUUUAUUCCAUCCGCCAUGUUUGCAAGUAAAUAAUCCACCAACAUCGAUUUUUUCAUUCAACGCUGUAUAAUUUAAACACCUACUACAGGUCAUAUCUGCUUCUCAACUCUAUUUCAAAUUUUCAGAUUUUAAAGGCUUUCUGAACACAAGAUAUAUAUAUAUGUUAUACACUACCACAUACAAGGUAUAUUUUACUACUAUCAUUAUAAUUGCUAUUACUAUAAUAUUACCACUUACAUUAUUAUUAUCAUUGUUAUUAUUUUCACUUUAUUAUACCUAUGUAGGCUACUAUCACAUUUAUGUUUACCUUAGUUCAAUUUAAAUCUAUUCGGGUUGCACAAGCGAAAAGAAUUUUAUACCUUUUCAUACAUUUCUAAAUCCUCAUGCAUUUAUAUUUAUUUUAAAUAAAUUUUUUCACACUUCAAAAGUAUACUUUAUUUACCUUGUAAUGAAUUUUAUUCACGUAUUUAACUUUGCAAAGUCAUAAGAUCUUAUACUCGCUACUUUACAUAUUAUAACAACAGAAGCUACUACUCUCUCUCAUAAUUUUUCAAAAUAUUCAUUUAUUUAUAACUAUAUUAUUUCGUUGUAUGUGAUAGUGUUACAUCUUUAUGUGCCUUGACUACUAUUUUUUAAAAUUUAUUUAUUUAUUUAUUUAUUUUUUAAAAAAUGAUGACGGUUUUCUUAUCAAUUUUAACAAAUAACUAAGGCAAAAUAUUCUCCAAAUAUUUCUAAAGCUAAGUUUAAGGACUAUCUUCGGAUAGGCUCU